GGAAUUCUAUUGGCACCGGCAGCUUCUACUGAUUCCAGUUCUGCCACAACUAUAGUCCUGGAAGGCCACUCGUUAGGAGUCAUUUGGAGGCAUUGUAAAGCAAGCUGUGCUAUUUGGAAUGCAGAAUCUAUAUAUGUAAGGUAUAGGGAUGGUAUAAAUUUGGUUCCCAUUUCCUGCAGGCUGCAAACAUCGUGAGCCACCGGCUUCUUCCAAGAUAUCCAGUGUUUCUUUUUUGGGUAAUUGGAGCAUCUGCAGAAAUGAAAAGUUAUGUAGGCAAUACAACUGUAGAUUCCAUGCCAAAGGAUUUAAGUAGCUAAAAGGAAAACACACCUCGUAUUUCAUAGAGGGGAUUAUAGUGAACCUCACACCAGAAACUCAACCAAAACUCUGCAUCAAUUGAAAGUAAGGUUAACAAAAGGAAAAACUCAAAAAAUAUGGAGUUUCAAAAGACCAGUUGCACAUUGAACAAAAGCAACAGUAGAUCAAUUGCAAAUGUUUACACCUAGGUUUAAAAUCAAUCAAAUAUAUAUUGAGCUGUACCCAAGCAGCUGUCCUAAGCAAGCAAAAGAACAGAUAUUUAAUUUCCCAGAUGAACAACAAGCAAAGCAUCACAAAGGAGGGUCUAUGCGUAUAUGUAUGCAAGAAACACUCUUUUUUCCAAGACAAAUGAGAAGUAAAAUAUCAACUUCACAUUCAUCACAUUGCACUGACUGAUCAUUUGACCCAACAAAACAACUAUGAAGAAGACUAGCAAGCAAUACCCAAGACAGAGGGAACUUAUAAAUCCGAUGGCCCAACAAUAAUCAAGCUAUCAGUAUCAAGAGGUUUUAGACCUCCUUCAGGCUCUCCAACAUCAACCAAAUAAGCAUUGAACAUCAAUGACUCACCGGAACAAUUAACUUCAUCAUUCUUCAAAAUUAUGCAUUUUGACAGCUGCUCGCUGCCAUCAUAGGGCAUUACCUAUCAUAUAUCCGACCAUCAAUCACAGCAUGGACUAAUCUACUCCAAACAAGCUCAAUCACGGAGAGUAUUACAACCAAAAGCACAGAACAUAACAAUCCAUGAUGAUAGAAAAAAUGAAACCCUAGGCAGCAUCGAGCUGCUGCCAUUAAGUUUGAUCAAGCAAGCCAAAUAUGGGGGAAAACGGUAAUAAAUCAAUAGCCACUGCAAUUUUGACACAGAUUAGCCAAUCAAACCAAAUCAUGUCCAAGCCCAAUCAAAGGCAACUAAAUUGCCCACCAGGUUGAGCUGGACAUCACUAGAAGAGAUUAGUAGUGAAAGCAAAGGUACCUUGCUGGUGGAGGUGCAGAGUGAGAGGAAGCCGUCGCAAUAGACCUUGCGCUUCAGCUUCUGCUUCAGGUGCUUCUUGAAGGUGACAUUCCAGCACACACAGACUCAAGCACAUAACUCAUUUCAUCAAACACCAAAAUUGCACAUGAUCACCAAACACUGGACAGGCAAAACUUAGAUGGUUCACACUUACACGAAGCAUAAUUCGCACACUAAUUACAAACACAAUCCAAAAGCAGUUCAGGAUUGAAAAAGAAAACAAGAGCACAACACCGAUCCGCUCCUAGAACCUGUAUUGCCGGCUCAAAAUGCAGGCGUUGAGUCCAUCACAGAGCUGAAAGCUCUGAUGUAUUCAUCCGUGGGAUUCUGCUGAGUCCGGAUGUUCUGUAUAAGGGCAACAAGGAUGGUGAUGCCAGAUUUCUGUCCCUCAAGAUUCCGUUUGAUGCGAUGUUCAUUUUCCUAAUCAAAACUCCAGAGUUAGAGCUUAAGCUGGCAGACUUGAAAUCCAUAUCCUAGGUGCAAUUUCUCCCUCUUAACCCAACCUUGAUUGAGGAUGAGGACCACAAUACCAAUGUGUGCGCAGAAGCUCUCCCUGAUGCUCAUAGAGUUCAACUUGACUAAAAUUUCUGAGAUUCUACACCCAAAGACAGUCAGCCAUUGCUUCAGAUUUUCACUUGGUGAUCUGUCCUGUGCAAAUGUGAAUGAUGUUGAGCUACGGGUGGCUCUGGCAUCGACUCCAGAUAUGGAUCCCAAGUUGCUUUCUCAGCUGAAAGUAGCACAGCGGAUUGGAAAUCUUUUGGAGUUUGUACAUGGGAAGAAUUUGGAAGAUUUUCUCAAAUUGAUGCUUGGCUUGUGCAAAGCUCUUCUUUUAUGAUCACCAGGUUCCACGAAAGUUUUCACGUACAUGGAAGAGCCAACACUACCUGAUGAAAGUUCUUCUGAGGCAGCAAGUAGCAUAUGACACAUAGCUGACUCUGGUGGCAGUGCCAGUGUUUUCCUGGAAUUGAGUGGGUCUCAUGACAGAAACAAUGCUGAUAAUGCUUAUGAAUGCACAGUUCUAGUACUGAAGGCGGCCCCAAGGGAAGGUGCUCUCUUUUCCUUACCAAUCUUUUGUAAGUGAGUGCAAUUCUCAAGUCUCGGCAAGACAGCCUCCUUCUCUACUGGUACAGCAAAUGCUGCAUUCUAUCAGUUACAACUGUAGGCGAUGUUUGCUGCAUAGAAUGAUCUUUGUCAGUGUGCCCGUCAAAGAUUGCUAUGAUUGAAGGCAUCAUUGCUGAGAUAAAAUAUUCUGGUGCUGCUGUUCAGCCAGUGCUGCCACACUGGUAAUCUCCGAAUUCCAGUGGCUCCCUCAUUUAUGACUUCUCCAUAACAUUUGCAAAUCCCACUAAGAAGCACACCUUUCCUGAAAAAUAAACUGAACUUAAGCAUGGCAAUACAGAGUGUCUAUCUACUUCAAAGUCACAACAAUGAGUUGAUUGUGCUGUAAAGUCCUAGAAUGAGAACCAUAGUUGUAUGACCUUCCAACACACAUUCCAUCUAUUUGUUUACAGCAUAGCAAAUUUAUCUCCCAUGCAAAGUGAGGUUAUCAAUUUCAAAAUAUGUGUGAAGCAGCAAAUCAACGACGAUCUCUAAUAAGUUGUUACAUAUCAAAUAAAAAUGAUGCAAUCGACAUGCAUAUGUCACGGACCGAGAGAAGGCCGAUCCGUGAGGUUCCCCGAGGACGACCCCGACUCGUCCAUGGAAGACCUCCUACUCCAACUCGGGUUCCCAUCAAAGCUUCUCCCUGAAGCUUCCAAGGGAGGACGACACCGUCAUUUUGCCUGACUCUAGAAGCUUCCGUUAUUUAUGUCGGUAGACGGUAGUUAAAUAUUUAUGUCAGUAGUUGAGGCGGUGCGAUCUCGCCCGUCAGAUAAAAAGUAGAUCAACGGAUGUAAACCGAGGCCCUCAACUAUAAAAAGGGGUGCCCUCCUUCAUUUGUAAUCACCCAACAUUUCAGCAAUACAAAGUUCAUUUCCUUCCAGAGCUCCUCUCUCUUACUUUCUCUCUCAACGAUUCGGGUAAGCGAGCGGGUUAGCGUUCGAUCGAGCAACGCUUGGCCCGGGUAGUCCAAAAUCGCCCGAGUCGCCGCGCGGUCAUGAUCCCAAUUGAUCGGCCCGUGACAAGUGGUAUCAGAGAAAAAUAGAGAUUCGUUUGAGAGACCAAGGAGCGCCAACUGUUCGAAGGAAUGUCGAGCCAAGAAGCUGUCAUGGUUGGAGAGACCGUGCAAGUCCAAGAGGACCGCGGUCGUGGAAAGAAAAGAGACGCCUCGAGGGACGUCAUAGCUGUGUUCGAUGAGAAGAUCGCGAAUGUCCGGAGCGCUGUGCACGAACUCAUGGAAGGUCUUGACGACGUGCGAGACCGGAUCAUGGAGGUUGACAGUUCACUCUGUGAAGACUUCACUUCAUGCAUCAAUGAAGCUACCGCGCCAUUACACGACAAGGACGAAACCCUUGAAGCAUCGAUCGAUGUGUUGAAGGAGCGUGUCCAAGUGGUCGAGGAAGAAGCUCCGCGUAGGGACGAGGUCGAAGCCAUGAAGGCCGAGAUCCAAGAGCUCAAGACCGAGCUUGCCCUGUGCAAACUAAGCAUCACCAAUGGUGCUGUGCCGAACCAAGCGGUGCCCAAAAUUGAGGCGCCAAAGCCGAAAGAAUUCAAAGGCGAACGAUCCGCCAAGGAGGUGGACAACUUUGUUUGGAGCAUGGAACAAUACUUCGGUGCCGUCAACAUGAACGACGAGAUGACCAAGGUACGAACCGCGUCAAUGUUCCUGUCUGAUACGGCAAUGCUUUGGUGGCGCAAUAGGUGUGACGAGGUUAGACGAGGCGCUGAUCCCGUGUGCACAUGGGACGACUUCGUACGAGAGUUCCGGGACUACUUUUUCCCCCAGUUCGCUCAACAAGAGGCCCGUAGCAAGCUCCAUCCCUCGAGCAAAGAGGCACGAUCCGAGAGUACGUGAAGGAGUUCACCAAGCUCAAACUCUAGAUUCGCAACCUGAGCGAAGAGGAGGCUCUCGGAGCGUUCAUGGAUGGAUUAAAGCCAUGGACACUUCUCGAGCUCAAGAGACGGGACGUGAGUAGCCUGGCGCGUGCGCUGAGCGUGGCCGAGUCGCUCGUCGACCUCACCAAGACCGAACCAAGGAGUCGACAAAGAGAUUGGAGGACUGAUCGACCUUGCGAGGAUGAAGCUGGAAGAAACACUCCCCGGGCUGCGCAUGAUCAAGGCGGUCGAGCCAAAGCAUGGGGAGAAGGGUCUUCAAAGCCAGCCUUCCAAAAGGGUAGACCACCGACAGACUACGCGAGCAGGUUUGAUCAACCCCCGCCUUCUCCUUGUUUCAUUUGCCAAGGUCCGCACUGGACCCAAAAGUGCCCAAAGAAGGGUCGAAUCAACGCCCUCCUUGCCAUCGAGGAAGAAAAGGAGGAGUCCAAAGAAGACCGACGACAAAUCCGACUUGGAGCCGUGAAGAUGAUCAACUCCGUCCAAGCUCGGUCCCCAACCAAAGGAAAAGAAGCUGCGUCGGACAUAGAAAUGUUCUUCGUGCAAGUCAACGUGUGCGGCCGAACGCUACACGCCUUGGUCGACACGGGUGCGUCGAACAUGUUCAUGUCAAAGGAAGUGGCAAAGGCCUUGAACCUUCGCGUGGAGCCGACCGAGAACACCUUCAAGCCAAUCAAUUCGGAAGGCGUCCAUGGCGUAGGAUCGACUUCGAAUGUGGACGUCAAAAUUGGCGAUUGGAGGGGCAAAAUGGAUUUCGAGGUAAUCCCGCUUGACGAUUACGAUCUCAUUCUUGGUAUGCAAUUUUUCAAUAGUGUGAGAUCCAUGAUCGACAUGAGGACCAAAUGCCUCGUGAUUCUCGAUCCGGAUUACCCGACGACGGUCCCAAUGAUCAAAGGGAUGGUCGACACCAAGACCAUCGCGUCGAUCCAACACCUCAACAAGAGCUUGAAGGCCGUCAUGCGCAUCAACAAGUUUCCAAGGUGAAGCCGAAGGUCAAGUUGGAUCCUACUCCAACAAAUGCCAUGCCAAUCCAAGCGCUCUUCCCCGAGGUUGAGUACGCACCGCAUGCUCCGUCCAAGCCAAAGGCCGAGUCACGUGCCAAAUCCGACUUCAUCAAUGAAGGUUGCGGUCCGUCAUAUGAGAGCGUCCGCACCAAAUGAAACAAGAACAAGAGAGCCCGUGCCAAAGCCCGUGCUCGUGCCAAGAAGGCCAACCUCCGAGCUGUGAGCGACGAGGGCGUCGCUCGAAUGAGUGGGGGAGAAUGUCACGGACCGAGAGAAGGCCGAUCCGUGAGGUUCCCCGAGGACGACCCCGACUCGUCCAUGGAAGACCUCCUACUCCAACUCGGGUUCCCAUCAAAGCUUCUCCCUGAAGUUUCCAAGGGAGGACGACAUCGUCAUUUUGCCUGACUCUAGAAGUUUCUGUUAUUUAUGUCGGUAGACGGUAGUUAAAUAUUUAUGUUGGUAGUUGAGGUGGUGCGAUCUCGCCCCUCAGAUAAAAAGUAGAUCAACGGAUGUAAACCGAGGCCCUCAACUAUAAAAAGGGGUGCCCUCCUUCAUUUGUAAUCACCCAACAUUUCAGCAAUACAAAGUUCAUUUCCUUACAGAGCUCCUCUCUCUUACUUUCUCUCUCAACGAUCCGGGUAAGCGAGCGGGUUAGCGUUCGAUCGAGCAAGGCUUGGCCCGGGUAGUCCAAAAUCGCCCGAGUCGCCGCGCGGUCACGAUCACAAUCCCAAUCGAUCGGCCCGUGACACAUACCUCUAGGAGAAACCAUCCUAAGAAAAUGUAGCAAAAAAAGGCAAACGAAACUUGGAAAAGAACACAAAUACUUGUACAUAAUUAAGAGCCCUCUGGCUGUUCGGAGGCAUCAUAAUUUAAAUACCUUCAUUAGAUUUUCAGGCAAGAAUCCGCUAAAAGGUCAUUAAAAAGUGCAUGCAAAACUUCUCUGUUCAUAUCUAUGAAAGAAUUUGAUUGCCAAAAAAGGAAAACAUUGGUACUUACCUCAAUUUGUUUAAGGUUUGAACACAAGGGAACAAUUUGUGGUCGUGCAUCAAAAAGCUUCCAAGUGCAACGUGCACUUAUUCAUCUUCUUGCCCAUUAUCCUCUUACAUAUCUUAGUAUUCUUGUUACAUAUCUCAGUAUUCUUGCCCAUCGUCCUCUUACAUAUCUUUGUAUUCUUGCCCAAACCAGUAAUUUGUCUUCUUCAUCAUCUUAUCCCACAAAUUUGAUUGACUUCUCCGAGCAAAGCCGAGAAAUUUCCUCCGCUGCUAAUUUCCCACAACGUCUUAUUGUAACCUCUUGCAGUCCCUUCAAGCUUGAUAGAUCAGACAACUUCUGUAAAGAUCCACACCAUUGAAUCCACAAUGUUUUCAAAGAUUGAGGUAGUUCGCCUUGAAUCUCAACCAGAUUACCGCAGGAUUCAAUGUUCAAGUAUUCCAAAGAUUGGGGUAGUUCAAUCUCAACCAGAUUACGACAAUAUUCUACUGAAAGAUAUCUUAUUCCAUCCAUAUUGCUUAGAUCAGGGAUCUGUAUAUUCAAACCUUUGAUUGUGACCCAUCGCAGUCUCUUCAAGCUUGACAGCUCAGGCAACUUCUGUAAAGAUCCACACCAUUUAAUCCGCAAUGUUUCCAAAGAUUGGGGUAGUUCGUUUUGAAUCUCAACCAAAGAUCCACAGCUGUCAAUAUCCAAUGUUUCCAAAGAUUGGGGUAGUUCGCCUUGAAUCUCAACUAGAUUACCGCAUGAUUCAAUAUACAAUGUUUUCAAAGAUUGGGGUAGUUUGCCUUGAAUCUCAACCAGAUUAUGACAAGAUUCUACUCUAAGAAGUGUUAUUCCAUCCAUAUUGCUUAGAUUAGGGAUCUGCAUCUGUUUAAUGCCAGAAAGCUGCAACCGAUUUCCACUUAAAUAUUCAAAAACCUGAUUGCCACUAUGCACAUACACAUAAACAUGUGUCUUACCCAUUAUGCUGAACGGAUCGGGGAACUUUUGUAACGAAUCACGGGAACCAAUUUUAAGUUCAUCCAAAAAUCGUGGUAGUUCGCCUUGAAUCUCAACCAGAUUACAACACCCCGAUACUGUAAUACGCCUUAGCUUGUUUAACUUGCUUAGAUCAGGUAGCAUCGCCAGCUGUACGACGUCCCGAAGGCGGAAAUCUCGUAGGUUCUCCAAACAACCAAGGCCUUCAAUCUUUGCAACUGCAGAGCAGCAAAUGUCGAGAUCCGAUAGUUUCCUCAAAUUCGAUAGAUCCAUCGAGCCAAGUGAGUCGCAACCAGAGAGACGUAAGACGGAUAAACUUGAGGGAAGCCUCAGGAGGAGAGGCGGAUGAGGAGGGAGGCUGAGGUCUAUCGAUGAGGCGGUCCCCCCGAAAAAGCACAGUAGCAGAGAUUCCAAUUUGCUUAAGUUCCCAAUCCACCAUGGUAUCCGUUUUUCCAGGAGCCCAUAAGAUUUCCCAUCACAGUUAGGUGGGCCAAAGCCCAGAUGCAAUACCUUUAAGUUAGCGAGAUUUGAGAGAUCUGGAAACGUGUCCACCCUCAACUCCUCCACUACUAAUUCGAUGAGACUUUCAGGAAACCUUGGUAGGGCGUGUACUCCCGGCCAUCCCAAUAUCUUUUCCCAUGAACGCCCGUAUAAGCAAUAGCCACUUAUUGCGUGGGCAUGCGUGACAUGAUUAUAACGGUCGGCGAUUUCCAUUCCCUUGACCUUCCCCAUCUUCUUACAAGCAUCAUUGUUCGUUCUGUUUUCGAAACCAUUCUGCAUCUUCAUUACUUUCAAAUUCUUCGACAUUCCAAUGGAAUCGGGUACUUCUUCGAUGCUCGUAUGACUUAUGUCCAAAGUUAGCAAAUCCAAAUUUCUAACCAUCUUUGGAAGCCUCUGAAGAUUCCAACAAUUGCUUACAUCUAAGAAAAUUAAGCGUUUCAACUGACAAAUUGAUUCAUCAAUUUCGAUUAAUGAUUCACAGCCUGAUAAGAUCAAAUGUUCUAAAUUUAAAUGAGCAAAGAAGUUGGGGGUUCUCUCCAAGCAUUGGCAAUGGGCCAGAUUCAGAACUUUCAAAUUCUUAAUCCCCUGUGAAAGAAAAAUCAUGCACAGAUUACUUUCAAAUUUAAUGAGAUAGAAGAACAAGUAUCGUCUAGCAUAUGACAUACCUUCAUGUGGCUCCACCCUUUCCAAUCAUGAGUAAUUUCACUCCGAGAUAGAUCAAGGAUAGUCAAAUUCUCUACGGAGAAAUUUGCAAUCUCAAAUGUUGGGUGAAUAUUAUGCCAAGAAAGCCAGCGUACUUCUGGAAGGAGAUUUGAAUCCAAAACAUCAGUUGGAAGAACACUUGAUGGCCCUUUGUGCUGAAGAAGCAUCUUUUCUACACAAAAAGUUUGCUCCGAGUCAUCAACUUCAAGGAACCUUAGCCUUGAUAGGCUCUUAAAGUCAUUGUAGGUAAAACCAUGCUGAUGGUCCAAGCGGAGGCGAAGAGCUUCAACUUUUUUCUUCGUCUGCCCAAAGGAAAUUUUUUAAAAACAAGAGAGUUGAAGGGAAACACAUUUAGCCAAAUUCACUAUUUUAAGGGACUGAGUUGAGUACUACCGUUCCAUUAAUCUUAAAAAAGCAAAAAUGUCCAUAAGUAACUUGGAAAUUAAUGCACAGGGGAUUUUACCUUAGGGCUCUUCAACAAAUCCAACGCUUUCUCACGAUCCCACACCCUACUUUGUUUAUUUAUAUUGGUUUCUUGACAAACUAUUUGUCUUCCAAGGUCUCUAAGUUGGUCGUGCAUCCACACCUUAUUAUCCUCUUUAAUCUUUACCAAAGACAUGUUCUCCAAAACAUCCAUGGCAUAUUCCGGAUGGAAUUCAAAUUCCCAAAAAUGAACUACAAUGUCUUUAUCAUAUCCAAUUAAAAGACAAGCUAUAUCAAGGAACUUUUGCUUUUCCUUUUCUUCUAAUUCAUCAUAACUUAUUUUCAAUCUACUCUGGACAUCCUUAUGAGGAUCACUUUCCCACUUACGUAAUUCGAAAUCCCACUUUUUCUUUUCAGUAGUGCAAGAUAAAAGUGAACCCAUGAGCUCAAGAGCUAGUGGAAGACCUCCAGCAAUUUUUAUCGCCCUCUCGGAUUGGUCGAUAUACUCGUCCAAAGGAUGAUCUCUUCUAAAGGCAUGUUUGCUAAAGAGUUGAAGAGAUUGAUCGUGAUCCAUGCCCGAAAGCUCAUAACAACUGUCCACUUUAAGAACAUCAAGAACUUCUUUGUUUCUAGUAGUAAUAAUAAUUAUGCUCCCUUUACCAAACCAAUCACGCUCACCAACAAGUGCAUCGCUAUGAUUCUUUUCAUGUACAUCAUCGAGAAGGAGGAGGACUCUUUUGUUAGACAACCUGGCUUUGAUGGUAUUAAUCCCAUCAUCAAUGUUUCUUAUAUCGGUGCAUUUGUCUUUGAGGAUGUCGGAGAUGAGCUGAUUCUGCAAAGAUUCAAUGCCCUUGCGUUCUGACAUUUCACGAAUGCUGGACAGAAAGCAACAACCCUCAAAUUUUUCUAAAAGCUGAUUGUAGAUGAUUUUGGCAAUUGUCGUCUUUCCGAUGCCACCCAUCCCAUGAAUUCCUAUAAUCCGUGUUUCACUUGUCUGAGCACCUAUUUGUUCCAUGAUUUUACCCACAUGGUCGUCCAUAUUGACCAAGUUGUUUGAUACCACCAAAUAAGCCUUUUUCAACUCAUUGAAAACCUUCUGCGUGAUUGUUUUUGCAAGUUGACCUUCUUGCCUAUUGUUUGUUGAAAGUCAAAAGGCAAUGAGUUAGAAAAUUGAGUUAAGCCAAACUAUGCUCUGACAAGACCAAAUUCAAAACUACAGACCUAUUCUAAAUGCGUUCCUCAACGAUUUAUACCGUUUUGAUAAACUAGCACUAGAACUUAGGGUAAAUGAAUGACCUGAACUAACGAAAAAUGUUUCUUGUUGGGAAUGAAAUGGGACAAAAAUUGGCAUUGUGAUAUUAUUUAGCGUGAUUUUGCUGCAUAAUUUCAAUUGCAUACAAUUCAAUUUCAACAAGACUAACACAAAUCUAGAAAAGAAACCAAUUAAAAUGCAUCGAGUUUAAAGAUAUAAGGCACAUGAGAUGGAAUCCUAAAAGCAGUCACCUGUUGGGCAUGCUUUGCAGGUCCCAUCCAUUUACAUCCGCGACUGUAGUGAGAGCAUUCUUCCACUCUGCUAUAGUCUUUUCAUCAUAUCGCCCCUUUGUUUUGUGUGAAACAAGAGCUUUUUUAAAACUCCCGAUUUGGUGUCGAACCUCCGAAGGUGUCACAUCAUAAAAAAUGGGCAUGAUCUUUUGUCCUUCAUUUGUCUGGUGCUUGACCAUCUGAACUAGCUCCUUGAGACACCAUAUGCUAGAGGCAUAAUCUUUUGAAAAAAUAGGUAUUGAGAUCCUUGAGUGAUUGAUUGCUUCAAGAAGUUCUGGGGCAAACUCUUCUCCAAUGUGGAGGUCUUUGUCGUCCUUAAAUGUGCGGAUUCCCACAUUUGUAAGGCUAGUGUAGAGGUAGUCGGUAAAACCUGAUCGUGUAUCUAGCCCUCUGAAACUCAAGAAUACCUCAUAGUCAUGUCCGGAUGAUGUUGCAGUUUCCUCAACUUGUGGUGUAGUGCAAGUACGAGCAGCCCUCUCUACGAUACCAUUCUCUGUAGCUGAAUCAUUAUCUGUACUGCCCUCCACAGCGGUCUAACCUGCUCUUUUCUUCAGGAAUCCUUUGAACAGGAUGGCAGAGAGAGAUAUGGCAGCAAUUGUCACCAUACAGGGCAACCGCAAGUGCUCAAGCAUUUUGUGAGUUAGCAAAGAGAAUGUUUUUAGUUAGAAAUACAGGGGAUGGUGGAACAACAGAGAUGAGAGGCAGCACUUAAAGGUCAGGAUGGAGUAACGAGCAACGGCGAGCCCGCGAUGGCGAGAGACCGCCAGAGAAAGAGUAGAGAGUGAGGCGAGGGCGGCCACUGAUGCUGCGACGGAUCGGCAACGAGGCUGCAACUGCAAGUGAGGAAGGGCCGAAGGCGAGGCGGAGGAGGAGGAGAAGGAUCGAGAGGAAGAGGAGAGGAAGGGGGUCGUGUGGCGAGGAGGAGGAGAAGUAUCGAGAGGAAAAGGAGAGGAAGGGGGUUGUGCGGGUGCGGCGAGCGGCGAGAGGAGGAGGAGAAGGGGGCGCUAGCUAGGGUUUUGGAAACUCAAAAAGAAUAAAAUAAAGAGGCUGAUGGGGGUGAAGUGACAGCCUGUCACGUGGGUGGGGGAGGGGAAAGGCAAGCUGGUUCAUGAUGGACCAUUGGUAGUCCAAGUCUUCGUAGACUUUGACUUGGGUCAAUCAUUUGUUUCAGUCUUCUUGCACCACCCACAAGCUGUUUUGUCUGAUUUUUUUUCUCUUUCUAAGAGUGGUAGCUCAUGCUAAUACCACGUUAAGACGAGGCACAUGGAGCUUAGGUUUUGGAUUGUUGGCGUCCUUAUCAAAAUCACAUCAACCCAUCUCACGCAAUUCUUAAUCUAGUGAAUGUAUUUUGAUGCAAAAUUAUAUGUAUGCAACACAUUCCAUUUCUAUUUAGUUAAAUUAGAUGAUUCCAACUUUUUCAUUGAUUGAUGACAUGAUUGACUAAAUUUUUAAGAAAAAAGUUUUUUUUGGACAUAUAGUGUUUCAUUGCAAGUAUUUUUCUAUUUUUUGAAUUGAUUUUGUGAUAACUAAACAUUCCAUGUUUCAUAAUAGAAAACAAAAUCUCUCUAGAACUGGAGGUGUAAAAUUGUUCCAUUUUGUAAUUCAAUGUUCAUAAGUCUUUUCAAGCAUAAAUCCGAGUUAAAUCCGAGUGUGACAAAAAAAAAUUAAGAUUGAAGUUAUUAAAUCACAUGACUCAAUGAGUUAAAAGGAAGAAUCUUGGGAAGAAUCAAAUUUCUUGAAUUGAGAUUGAUGGAAGAUCGAAUAUGUUCUCUGAUAGCUUUAGCUUUCAUUAUCACUCCACUGAAAUUUUGUUUUAGUAAAACCAAAAUCUCGUCCCAAUUUUUUUUUUUUUUUUGAAAUUAGACACCAUCCAUUUGAAUCAAAAUUGAGCUUCCUCCAUUAGCUCAAAAGCUCGGGAAGAAGAGAAAAUAUGUGGGAUCCCAUUGCCUAAUUCUUAGUCUUUUUGAAGGAAAAAAAAGACUUCUCAUACAAAUGUGGGCCUUAAUUAUUGAGACAUUUUUUCCUUUACCCUAGAAUAUGCAGAGAGUCAUGGGCCAGUUUUGCUGCAGAAUUGAUCGACAAGGAUGCUUCCUUGCAGCAUCAUUGUGGCCUGUCAACCGUGACAAAUAUUACGUUUCUUAACGCGGAAAAUCACUAAACUAUGUGGUGCAGAAAUUUUGGGAUGAGAAUCUACUUUUACCCCAAAAUAAUUCAUUUGAAGUCAAGUCAACAAAAGCAGACACGGAACUUCCAAAACAAGUUCGUUUCCCCCAUCCUAAAUAAGGUGAACUCCGAUCGGUCUAGUUUAAUGGGUUGAUUAGGCCCAGGCCCGGAAUAGCUUUGAAGCAUAAAGCCUAGUGGAAUUAUUGGGCUUGAUCUUCGUCAAAGCACUCCCUAGUGAUCAAUUGAAUUAAGAAAAGAUCACAUUUUAUUUCGGAGGUGAACCAUCCUUCGCAUUUAACCUGUCGUUAGUGUCAAAAAUUGCUUGUCACAAAACGUUGUAGUUGGACAUUAAAUCCAUGCAUUGUGCUGAUUAUUAUACAAAACAUUACUAAAAUAGAGUACACAAAACCAAUGUGUAAGCACAGUCUUGUGUCGUAUUAAAACUUUGAGCCACCAACAAGUGUGAUAAAUAAGCUCACGAACAUGAUGUGACCUAUUAGCUCUCAUUUGGAAUUUAACUCAUUUAGCAUUUCCACAUUCACGAUUGAACUUGAAAGCCUCUAUGAGGAUUGGGAAAAGUUUAGUGAAGCCUCUUGACUAUAAUGAUUAAAAAAAAAAUAUUGACUCCCCCUGAAUUCAAGUAUGAAAAUUUUCUAUUUUAGAUAAUGUUUUCGGAGGUAUGACUCUUCGCUCUCUCAGUUAAUGCAUGUGGAUUAUCUAGCGGAAAAAAGAGGCAAAAAUGAAAGAACUUAUGGACAACGUGAGACUAUUCCAUGUUAAAAUUUGAAAAUCAGAAAAAAAAAAUAGCCACACUUCUAUUAAUUUGAAAUUAAAUGAUUUGGGUUGCUAUUUCAGAUUUACCUCGACAUUAGAUGAUGUCAAACCAAGUCCAUUUGCAGCUAGAAACAUUUUUUUAGUAUAAUUAAGAAUCGGAAUGCCUCCUCUUCAACUUCUAUGAAUCCAACUUAAGAGCCAUGCUUUACUUGAAAAACAAAUUGGAGAUGCGUUUACGUUGUAGAGUAUUCAUUUUCUUCACGUCGCAAUUUUGUGUUGGUUAUUGUCAUAAAGGUGAUGCUAUAAGUGCUAAUAUACUUUCACACACAUUGUAAUAGCUACUUUGACGUAUACGGUAUGAUGAAAUUAUCGUUCUCUUGCAUGAAUAAAGCAAAAAUGAUGCUUAGCUCUUCGUUGGUUGAUCUCCAACUUGAAGAGUUUGCUUUUACAUGGAAAUGAACAAAUAUUGGACAGGGAAGAAAAAAGGGGAAAAACUCAGGUCUAAGCGCAUAUGGCACCAAAAGGAAAUCCGAUUUCGAUAAGACUGGAUAUGAAUUGUAGUUCAGAUUCAAGUUGAUUCAGGGAGGGCGACCGCAAAAGUCACCGAAUGGGUCAAUCUUUUCCUUCAGUUUGUCCUAUUUAAUAAAAUAAAAAAGCGUGGGAAGAUGUUGCAGAUGUCUAGGACGGACACGACUUCUUGUAACACUAGAAAACCACUAGAAGAUACCCGGGACCAAAGCAUGUCGUGAAAGAAGCACAUUGGGGCAUUGACCAAUUUCAUAUAGUAAGACAAAGCAACAAAUUAUAAGGUAUCUAAAAAUCACCACAUAAUAUAUCGACAAAAUAUGGCAUUUGGAAUUUAUAUAAUUUGACCCGACCUCACUAGGUAAGUUAAUUAGCAAAUCAAGCCAUUGAAACAUAUAAACCAAACCAAAACAAAGAAGAUCUGAACAAGGUUAUUUGCAGAAAUAUAUCACUAGUCAACAUGCAAAAGUGCACAAAAAAAGAAGAUUUACAUAAACCUCUUUGUAAGUCAUAUGUUUAACAGGAUAGGAAGCACUUCUUAUCAGAUAAAAAAAGUACUCAACAGGGCAGCUGUCCAUUUUUUUUUUCUUUCGCAGAAAUUUGCCAAGUUUGAUCAAGCAACUCCAUAAUGUGCUGAGUUUCCAAAUCUCCCGUGGUGAAGAAUGCCUAUUUGUUUCAAUUUCCUCCACAUUGAUACAUCAGAAACAUCAGGAUAGAGUUGCCAGAGAAGAUACGCAAAUUGUCCAGUGAUUCUGGUCAACCAGAUUACCACAAUGAUCUAAAUGAAAAUCCAUUAGUUUCUUCAAGCCACUCAGUCGGCCAAUUUGUCCAGUCGGUUGAGUUUGUUCAGCUCCAAAUUCCAGAUUUAGUCAGGUGGCAUCUUUAUCCACUUGCAGUUUCUCAAAGACUAGCGUUCAAGGCUUAUGAUGGUAACCAAUCGACUCGGGAAGCUCCAAGAUCCCAGCUCCUUACAGAGAAAGCCUCAACAGGGAAGUCGGGUAACUGAUCGAAGGUUUUGUAGUCGGUGAGGAACGAUGGCAAGCACAGAGAAUUUCUAGACUCUUCAAUCCUUGACAUUCAAGCAUAUGUUUCAUUGAUGUCCCAUCAAUCAAGGGUUCUCUCAAACAUUCCAUUUUACUAGGCUCCUAGGGAGAUGGUGGAGAUCAAUCUUUCCAAAUUCACAUGUACCUGAGGUCUAGCAUCUAACAGAACCAUUUUGACAUCGAAAGGUCCACCUGAUCUGACUGAAUUGAGGUCAUAAAGCAAUCCCUUUUAAGGCAAGUCCAUGUCAGACUUUCCCCUUCCAUCUUGGUAGUUUGUAGAUGUACAUUUCCGAUAAGUUAGGGACUUGUUUGUCCAUCUUGGUAGUUCUUACAAUACUCUGUUCGUGUGAAGUCCUCUGAGAUGCACUAAUCGAGAUAUACUCCUUUCAUCAUUUUAUUCAAAUCAUUUCACUGUUCCCGCUGCUCCAUGGUUUAUAGCAGCAUCGUCAUAUGGACUACCCAUCUCCACUGAUCUUACUUGUGCUUAGACUCCUCUGGAAGAAAUAUUUGAACAGAACAGCAGAAACAACGAUGGUAGCAACUGUCACCACACACAGGACAACCUCAAGUGCGUCAAUCGUUUUGCGCCAGCACAAGUGGUCCACCUUGGCAGAAACAACAAUUGUUGUGCUGCUGCUAUUGCUCCUCCUCCUCGGAGGCAUGGGACGACGCCUGCUGGUUCCAGCUUGGUCGUCACUGCUCGUUCGAAAGAGAGGCCGAAUCGGAAUCCGAAGUGACGAUCCGAAAUAAAAAUGGGAGGAGGAGAGAGUUGGAGGGGGAUGGUGGGAUAUUCGACCUGGCCUUGCUGCCUGACGCAACCAAUUCUUAACGUUGCAGUCUCACGUACACUGGAAGAUUAAGUUUGAACCAAAACUACUCAGUUCACGUACGUAUACAGGCCUGUCAUUGCUGUCUUACCAGCGUGCUAGAAGCCUGGAAAUACCUUCAUAUGAGGUAGCAAUAUAUGCAGGAUACAACCUCGCCAAGGAUUCGCUCACAAUGUGAUUCAAAUUAUUCAAUUCAUGGAAAAUAGUGUGACCCACCUAUUGUUAAGUCACCGCAUUUGGGGGUGGCCUACAAUUUUUUCACGUUCAUUGUUCUUUCUUUUUCAAAUUGUUUCACAUGAAUGAGUCGUGUAUGAAUUUGAUAAAAGCACGAGACGUGUAUAAAUCUAUUUUGUGCUUAUUAGCACCUAAGUUUGACGAGUGACUGAUUUAUUAACACUGGCCAUAAAUGAAGAGAUUUAGGGAUUUUUCUUUGCAAAAAAGUUAUUGUUACACCAUUUACGCUCUUGAAUCACACCUUGUUCUUCACUUUCUGUUGUUGUUUUGUGUUCUAACUUCUCUGUAUUUUGGAAUAACAUGAAUUUUCAGAUUAAGCUUGAAUCUGAAAAUAUUUGACUGGAGAAGUUUGCCAUCAUAAUGAAGUAAUUGCAAUUUCAUAUACCUCCACUAAUAUAAAUAAACAUUAUACCAACUAAUUGAACUGUAGAGCACCCAUUUGUCCAACAAAAUGUCUCAUUCUCUUUGGCUAAAAUACAACAGAAGGCAUCCCCACGAAAUCUUUCUAAAUGUUCCGAUUAUAGCAAAACUUACUUCAAUGCUCUAAUGCACACAACGUAAAUCACCGAAUGUGACAUUGAAAAUGCCCAUUGACAAAAUAAGAUCCCAAGGGCAAAUCGGAAAGAUCGUAAAGAAUCUGGAAUGGAACAGAUCGCGUUUGAGGGUGAUGGUUGUUCUGACAUGCUUGAUUGCUGCAAAGUGAGGCGAUACUCAAGCUUUUCAAGUUCAAGAGAUUGGAAAUGCUAUCAUCAGCUCGUCGCUCGGUAUGAAUAUGUAGACAGAGAAGAAUUUCUAGGAGUCUUGGCACUUGGGGGUAUCUCAACACAUGUCGGUUUCAAAAUCUUCCAAGAUGAACAUCUCCAGAUAUCAUAGGAAUUUUUUAUUAGCAAAUUUUCACUAAGCUUUGCAUCUAUUUUUCUCGCCUUUUAUGCUUCCAUUUUGCACUAGUUAUCAUUCUGAUGACAGAGAACCUCAUCUUCAAUACUUUCAAAUACUUCAUGUUCUCGAUUUCAAAAAAAAAAAAAAAAAAUACUUCAUGUUCUCGACCAAACCAGGCAGCUUCUCUAUGUCCAUGUUCAAUUUAUCGAACUCAACAAAUGAUUCCAAAUUCCAGAUUGAGUCCAGUAGUGUCUUUAUUGACUUGCAGUUCUUGAAAGACUAGUGUUCGAGGCUUACGAUGGAUCCACUUGAGUUGGGAAGCUCCACGAUCCCAGCUCCUCACAGAGAAAGCCUCGAUAGGGAAGUUAGGUGACAGAUUGAAGGUUUUAUAGUCAAUGAGGAACGAUGGGAAGCACAGAGGACCUGCAAGCUCUUCAAUUCUUGACAUUCAGGCAUAUGCUUUAUUGAAGUUAUACAACAAUCCCUUUUUAAGGCAGUUAAGUCCAUGUCAAACUUUACCCUUCCAUCUUGGUAAUUCGUAGAUGUAUAUUCCCUUUUAAGAUAGAGAUUAUCGAUGUUUGUCCAUAAAAACCAGCAUGCAAAAUUGCAAAUCGAUCAAAGUCAACGUGGCUAGCAAGCUAGUCACCAUAUCUUUCUCCCAAAAAUCAUGUACUUUUAUUCGUGUGAAGUCCUCCAUCAGGUACUAACCGAGUUAUCCAGAGUUAGAUUCAUCUACUAGUAAGAAUACUUUGAGGGACCUUGUUUAGAUUUCUUAUACUUGUUUCAUUGUUUGAUUCCAUCAUUUCUCCGUUCACGCUGCUCCAUGUUUUAUAGCAGCAUUGUUAUUUGGUUUGCCCUCUCCAGUGAUCUUACUUGUUGCUCUCAGUCUUCUCUGCUCCAUGGUCUAUAUUAGCAACUGUCGCCACACACAGUGCAACCUCAAGUGGUGAAUCAUUUCGCACCAGUACAAGUGGUCCACCUCAGUAGAAACAACUGUUGAGGUGCACGAGGAUUGGGGGUGGUCUGACUUGGCCUCCCCGCCCGAGUUGCAAUGGGUUAGGAUUUUUAUUUUAUUUUAAUAAAUUAAAAAGUGUGGGAAGAGAUGACCUACGGUUUUCCAUUCUUGUUGUUACAUAAAGUGUUAUGUACGUUACAAAAUAUCUCCAUUGAGCCAUAACCACUCGAUCUAUCGACAAGUGUGCGAGACUAUCACCAUAACUAAUAUGCCAAAAGCCUGAAAAUCAUUCCACGUAACGUGGUGAAUACCUAAAAUAUUGACAAGUGAAAAGUUUACUCAUGACAUGAUUCGAACUCAUGAAUUAAUAAAAGAUGGCAUGAUCCCUUCAUCAUUGGGUUAUCGUGCUUGGGGUUGGAUUGCGAUUGCGACUUUUUCAUGUUCAAAUAUAUAUAUUUUUUGUGCUUAUAAAAUUUGACUUAAGUCAAAUGAGGAGUUAAUGUGUUUAUGUUACCAAUAAAAGAAGAGGUUUGAUGACUGGUUUCUAUAAAAUUGAUUAAUUUACUCUUCAUAAUUUUCUCUUGAGGUUCACUUAUUAUUUAACUUCGACCUUUUUGUUCUGUGUACUAACUUUUAUGUGCUUUUAUAAACAUUUGACUGUGAAUAUAAAUAUGUGAGAGCCACCAAACAUCGAGCAUGCCACGCAUCGGGGUUCGUAUAUUAUUUUGUUUGUGUGAGUUAAUUGCGAUUUAAGGAAAACAAAUCUUCCACAUUAUUUGAUAAUUUGAAAAUGACAUUUUGUGACUUUUGUUGCGUGAGGUUACAAACUCUUUUUACUUUGAACACAGCCGAUGAAAAAGUCUAAUGACUUUUGUUCUCAAAGAUUAUGGACCUUUUUACUUGUUUAAAUCUUUUACAUGUAAAGUAUUCAAUCCCAAUGAUUGUAUAACUCAUAUAUUAAAUAAGCAAUUAUGAGAUGACGAUGGCAUCAUUUUAUAAGAUAGUGAUUGGUAUGAUCGUAUUCGCACUAAAUAUUUUGUAAAUUCUAAAUAAAACAACCCAGCUCAAACUAUUGCAUAUACGUUCAUCUAAAAAUAAAAUUAAAAACUAUCGAAUCCACUUCCAUAUAAAUUUUAAAGAAAAGAAUUCAUCCGUCCUAAUAAGUCACAUACUCAAACUCUUUUUCAACUUGAGAGAAGUGGGCUCCACAAUCCACAAUUAAGCUCAACUCACUUGUCUUGGAUGUUGAAUAAUAUUCUUUUCAAGUUCGAAUAUUAUUGGCAAAGAAAAAGUUUGAAUAAUUCGAGUUAUUGGAUUGAUUCGAGCGGAAAAAUUUUACUCAAGAAGCUUGUGAUCAGAGGAAGCGCCAAAAGAGGAAGAGACAGGGAGAACGGAAAUUUGUCCAGGAGGACGCCUCAUUUUAGCCAAAAUUCCUUUAUUGCCCUCACGGAAACGACGAAAUCACCGGACGUGACACCGAAUUUGCCCGUCGACAGAGCGAGAGCCCGAGGUCAAAUCAGGAAAAUUCGCAAAUCCGUCGUCCUCUCCUUCUCUUCCCCCCACCCAAAAAUAAAAGCUCGCCGUAGCUUUCGAUCGCCAUCCGCCGCGAAAAUCGCUACGGAGUCCACGAACGCUGCGAAGACCACGAUUCGAAGGUUGAAUUCGAGCAAUGCGGACGAAGACCGCAAUCGAUCUCUCCACCUCGCCGGGCGAUCGCGCCAUUUUGAUUGCGUGAGAUUGGAAUGAUGUUGUUGCUCGGCAGAAUGUGGAGUUGAGGGUGAUGGUUGUUCUGAAGUGCUUCAUUGCCGCGGGUGGAGGCCAGAGGUAAUUGCAAUUCAUGUUCAUGUAAUCAGUUACUGCUCUGAUCCUCCCACUUGAUUGGGAUUGAGAGUCUAGUAUCGACCAUGUCGGUUUUGAGGUUGGACAGUGAGGUUUGUAGCGUGAAUUUGGCGGAUUAGGCAUUUCAGGGUUGGGGGGAAUCGCUGACCGUGUUGUGGAGCUGUAGUGCCUGAUUUAAUGGGGCAUACUAUGGCUGAAUUAUUUGGUUGGAUUAGCUAAGCUCUUGGAUUACUGAGUUUGGAUCAAUACUACAACUGGAAUAUGGUCAUAUUGAUACAAAUAUUUCAUCCUGCUGUUUCUAUUUUGGGGGUAAAAAUUUGUUGAGUGUCUCACAGUGAUUGACUAUCGGCUAUUUGGCUUUUCUCCAGUCAAGUAAUGGACUGUAGCUUGUAGGUUUCAGCGGACAAGCUUUAUGGGAAAGAGGAGCCUUAUGUUGUUUACUCAUUCGCCUUUUGUUGCAUUUGAACAUAUAGUUCUUUAAGUUCACGAACAUGGAUGGCAAAAAUAUACUGAAAUAUUAUUUUGAGUUGAUGUUUCCUUGAAGUGUUCCUCUUACUUGAUUGUCGAAAUAGCUUGCUAGAGACAUAAGAAACUUGCUCUAUUGCUUGUCAUUAAAUGAGUUUUUGACCACAUUUUCAAUGUGAAAUUUUCUCAACUGGUAAAUGCAGAACUCAGAGUGAGGUCCAAGGCUUGUAAAGCUGUUUACAAUCACAUUCUUGCCAUGACAUCGGCGGAGUAUGCAUCUGCUGUAAGUGUUCUUUAUAAGGAUUUUCAUAUUUACCUAGAGCUUGUUGUUGUUAUUACUCUUCAGGUUUCACCAUUUAAAUACAAUAACAUUGUAACUAGAUGCGCAGCUUUUUAUUUUGCAGGUUUAAUGUCAUAUUUGACAGAGCUUGGUAGUUGGACUUGUCCUAGAUGUGAUGGAAAGACCAAGGUAAUUUAAUAUGGUUUGAUAUGACAUUGUUGCUAAGGUUGCCUGAAGAAUGGAUCCUCAGUACAGUAUUAAAUGCCAAUUCUUCUGAUGAGAUUUUGUGGGCAUAUGCUGCCUCCUCUUAUUAGAUUCUGAACUGGUAAUUAAUGCCUUUUGAUAUGAAAGCAGGGGUUUGAAUUCAUUGAAUUGAUAGUGGGCAUUCACCACUGCUUACACGCAGAUUAUUUGGUUGCAGUGGCUUACCAAUCUGCAAUGCUUGCGAUGCCUAUAUGUUUAAAUUGCAUCUAAUAGUUUAUAUCUAUUUCUAAACGUACAUAUAUGUUUCCUGUAGGCAUACGUUGGGGUGGCCAAGGAUCUUAAUGCCGUGAUUAUAGCUUUUAGAGGUGCACAAGAACAUAGGUAUGCAUCUUAACUUUAGCAACUCUUCUCCUUACAAAUGACUUGCAAAGGUUUUGAUGAAAAUUUAAGCUAAGAAGAGCAGCCUCCUGUGAGUGUGUACACGAGACCCAUGGGUCGACUGUCCAUAAGAAGGGAAAAGGGUGAAUCAUUUCCACCAAGAUGCGAAAGUUACCUUUUUGUAAUUUGAGAUUGGUUCAUGAGAAGAUCACAUACUUCACUAAUUUUGUUCUGUGAAAAAUUCUAUCACCUCUCUGUGUCAUUUGAGCUUUUCAGUUAGUGAUUACUUCUUUUUAUGUCUACAGCAUACAGAAUUGGGUUGAAGAUCUCUAUUGGAUAGUGGAAACAGCUUGAUGUACUACCCUGGCAUGCAUGGUGCCCUGGAUAGCUCUAAAGAUGAUUAUGCCUCUUGCAAGCUGUGGAUUUUUCUCGUUUGGAUUGAGUUACAGUCUUACUCUAUUGAUUUCUGCUUGGGUUAAUCAUGGAUUUUACUAUUCUUAUCUUGAUAUGACAAUUCAACCUGGUUUUUUGGAUGCUGUUAUAAGAACCAAGGAUUUAUAAGGGGACAUCAAUUUCAUGGUGACAGAGCAUUCUAUGGGAGGGGCUAUGGCAUCCUUUUGCGGAAUUGAUCUUGUGGUAAGAUAGUUAAAAACUGCUAUGGUCUGGAAUUGUGAAUUUUAUCGUUUUUUUUUCCUAUUGUGUUCUUCCAAUAUUCAGAUGAUAAUCUGUUAAGAGUCAUCUAGAAUUCUCUGCCAAAUCUUUGUUGAAGAGUCUAGGCUCUUUAUGUCGAUCUUGAACUUUCUAUUGCUCUCAUAUUUAUAUUCACAAUUCAUCAUAGACAGCAUCUUGUUUUCUUUCAGUUUUGGUAAGUCAAACCAUAGACAAAACACAAGCAGAAUGGGGUGCAAAUAGCCAUUUAUGCUAACCACCAAUUGUUUAAGUAUCUAGCAAUGUAAAUUGAGUCUUACCCAUAAAGCUAUGGAGCUUCAAGUUGGUCAAAUACCUAAAUAUAGUGGAUAAGGUCACUUCCAACUAAUCAUUACAAGGUUUACUUACUUGCUGGAAAAUUUAUGGAAUUGUCGAUAUGUUUAUGGUCUGGACAUAUAACUUUUUAAAGGACUUGAAGCUCAAGUUAUAUGUCAUGUAAUCUUGAAGUGCUAAUGCAUUUUAAGAUAGAUUAUAUAUCAAUCCUAAAUUUGUGUUUGGUGUACUGUUUCUAUCUAAGUCUCUCUCUAAUCAAAAGAAGCAGCUCCUCUUCAGUAGGACUACAAGGCCAGAUAUGUUGUAGGCUGGAGCCAAUGCUAAGAUGUCUAAAAUAUGCCUUUUUUCUCAGCUUUAUUGGACAGAGUGUUCCAGGGUACAUUUGGAGGCACCUGUUGCUCAACUGGUACCAGAAAUGGUGCCCAAUCCAAAAUCAUGUCCCAUUGAUUCUCUUCUCCAUGAAAAGUGGUGAUUUUUUAGAGUUAAACUUUAUCUUGAAGUCUGAUUACACUCAUGUUCAUGUGGCCUAUGAUAGGAUCAUAGGUUGCAUGGACUUUAGACUAUACCCUUUCUCAAAAUAUUAGUAGCAAGUAUAACAUCUUGUCAUAAAACUUUUAAACGAUUUAAAAUUUUAUUUUUGUUUACUGGUUUCUUGCUGAAAAUUUUGUCGAGCCAAUUGUGACGUCAUGCCCAUUCAUUGCGAUCCUUUUUAAGAUUGACUUUGUCCUUCGCUACUUUUGACAGUAAGUUUUGUAGUUCAAGGGGCAUUUUCACCAUGAACCAAGAAUUUUUUGUUUAUGUUAUUAGCAGGAUGUGACUCACCCCACCAACAUUCAAGUGCUUCUUGUGGAAGCAAUUAAAUGCGCUUCUGUUGUAAAUUCAUGUCCAAUCCCACUAUUCCAUAUUAUUAACACCUUUUUGUGGUGCUGAGGGUGGGUUUGGUUUUGUUGUGUGUGGGGUUUGGUGUUGGGAAACUUAUGGAUGGGAUCUUGACGGAGUUAACGCUAGACCUUCAAUUCUUAUGGAGACAAAGGGCUGUUCUAUUGUUCACCUUUGUAUAUGAAAUGCAAUAUAUGGUUAUUGAUGCAUAGUGUUUUUUUCCCAUCUUGGAAGGGCUAUUGAUGUAUUGACAUUCAAGUUAUUUGGCUGUCUAAUUAUGUGUGCUGAAACUGUCUUUUCCAGACCAGCAUUCGCCUGAUUUACUUAACCGAAACACUUUAUUUCCUGGUUAAUCAUGAAGCACAGAAUAUUCAGGUUUAAACAUUUGGACAACUCUGUAUUGGCAAUGCAGUGUUUGCAUCUUACUACAGUGACUGCAUACCAAAAACAUUACGUAUUCCUCCUGGACAAGAUUUUUUGUCUUAUUUGCCUCCGUACUAUUUUUGGUUCCCACAGAAGACAUACCAUCAAUUCCCUAGAGAGUUUUGGUGUUGAUCUUGACAGAAUAUCAAAUAAAUUAUGGGGAAUUGUUGAUGACUGAAUUUGAGGUUUGCUUUGCAUUUCUUUCAACCUGUCUAACAAGUGAAGUAUCAUAUAUUCCGGCAUUGUAUGUGUCACAAAACUGAUUAGAGAACCCGCAGCAAGUAGAAAGAGAGAAAGAAGGAAGAGAGAAGGAGGAGAAAGAGAACGUAAAAGAAAGAAAGAGAGGGCUGUAGUUUUUCUGUAAUCAGAAACCCUACACCCAUUGUAUUUAUAUUGAAUAUAAAUUGUAUAUAACAAUAAUAUCCUUAUGUAAGUAAAAAAGGAAAUAAAACUCUGAUAAUAAAGGAAACUCAAUUAAAGUAACUUAACACUCCCCCUCAAGCUAGAGCAUAUAGGUCACCCAUGCCUAGCUUGGAACAACCAACAACAAAAGCAGGAUGAAAUAAUGCUUUGGUAAACAUAUCAACAAAUUGAUCUCUAGAGGCAACGUAAGGAGUAGCAACCAUAUUCUGCUUCACAGCAUCACGAACAAAGUGACAGUCAACUUCUAUAUGUUUAGUUCGCUCUUGAAAAACAGGAUUCCCAACAAUAUAAAUGGCUGCUUGAUUAUCACACAUCAUGUCAAUAGGUUGAUUAAUAGAAAAUCCAAGCUGCUGGAGAAGAGAUUUUAACCACAACAAUUCAGCCACAGUAUGUGCCAUAGCACGAUAUUCAACCUCUGCACUAGACUUGGCAAUGGUAGUUUGUUUCUUACUUCUCCAAGUAACCAAAUUACCACCAAUAAAAGUGCAAUACCCAGUUGUAGACCGUCGAUCAUAUGUUGACCCAGCCCAAUCAGCAUCAGAAUAGCCAACCAAAGUGGAAGAACCAUUAGAUUUAUAAAUGAGUCCCUUACCAGGAGAGCUUUUAAGAUAUCGAAGAAUGCGACAUACAACAUCCCAAUGAGCUUUCUUAGGUGACUCCAUAAACCGACUCACCACGCCAACAGCAAAAGAAAUAUCGAGACGUGUAACAGUAAGAUAAAUUAGUUUCCCAACUAGACGCCGAUAUUGAUGCUUGUCUUCAAUUUCUUUUCCAUCAUCAACUCCAAACUUUUGAUUUUGAUCCAUAGGAGUAUCAACUGGCUUGGAAGCUAGUGUACCUGUCUCAGACAAAAGAUCAAGAACAUACUUUCGCUGAGACAAAUUAAUACCUUUUUUACUUCGUAAAACUUCAAUUCCCAGAAAAUAUCUAAGAGUUCCCAAGUCCUUAAUCUGAAAUUGCUGCUGAAGAAAUGAGUUAAUCUCAAAAAUGCCAGUCACAUCACUACCAGAGACAAUUAUAUCAUCCACAUAUAUCACAAGAAUGACUACCCCCGAUUCCUUCUUGCGAACAAAAAUAGAAUGAUCAGAAUAAGAUUGGUGGAAUCCACAUCUGGAAAUCACCGAACUGAAUUUUUCAAACCAUGCUCUUGGAGACUGUUUCAACCCAUAAAUUGCCUUAUGUAGCCGACAUACUUUACUACGAUUCUCCCCCUGAGCAACAUACCCAGGAGGUUGCUCCAUAUAUACUUCUUCAGACAAAUCACCAUAAAGAAAAGCAUUUUUGAUAUCUAAUUGAUAUAAUGGCCAAUCGAAAUUCACAGCAAGAGAAAUAACAACACGAACAGAGUUGAGACGUGCCACAGGGGAAAAAGUCUCAAAAUAAUCCACUCCAUAAGUUUGAGUAAAACCUUUAGCAACGAGUCGAGCUUUAAGACGCUCGAUUGAGCCAUCCGGAUUGUACUUGAUAGUGUACACCCAACGACACUUCACCACAUCUUUCCCAAGGGGAAGAUCAACUAAUGACCACGUUUGGCGAGAGACUAGAGCUUCCAUUUCCACAUCCAUAGCUUUCUUCCAUUCAAGGCGAGACAAAGCCUCAGUGGUAGAAGUAGGGAUUGUGUGAGUUUGUAAUGAUAGAGCAAAGUCAUGUAAUGGAGAAGGAAUAUGUGAGAGAGACACAUAACGCUCAAUAGGGUAAGCCAAAGAGGAUUUUUGUGUGCAAGACCGAGUACCUUUGUGAAGGGCAAUAGGAAGAUCGUCUGGACUAGGAGACAAGGAGGAAGAUUGAUUGGAGGGCAUUGAAGAGCUUGAGACUAGUGGUGCCGUAGACUGCUUUCGCUGCUGAUACACCUACAAUGGAGGAAAUACUAGAGACGGACUAACAGAAUCUAAGGAGAUUUGUUGUGGGAUAGGAGGAUCAGCUACAAUGUCAGUUGAAAACUCUUUACCCUCAGUAGAAUAGUAUGGUGUGCCCUCGAAAAAAGUAACAUCAGCACUAACAUAUUGAGUAUAAGUUGUAGGAUCAUAACACCGAUAUCCCUUCUGUGUAUGUGAAUACCCGAGAAAAAUACAUUUAGUAGCACGAGGAGAUAGUUUAUCAAAACCGGAACGUAGGUUAUGAACAAAACAGACACACCCAAAGACACGCGGGGUAAGAGAGAAUAACGGCUUGUCAGGAAAUGCAACACUGAUUGGUGACUGAUGAUUGAGGACAAUGGAAGGCAUACGAUUUAUGAGGUAACAUGCGGUAAGGACAGCAUCACUCCAAAAUGAUUUUGGCACAUUCAUAUGAAAUAAGAGUGAACGAGCAACUUCUAGAAGGUGACGGUAUUUUCUCUCGGCCACACCAUUCUGCUGAGGGGUAUAAGUACAACUUAUUUGAUGUAUAAUGCCAAGAUUAGAACAAAACAAAGAAAUUGAUUUCUGUGUAUAUUCUAGAGCAUUAUCUGUUCGCAAAAUUUUCAGGGAUGUAUUAAACUGAUUAGUAACCUCACGAUGAAAUAAUUGAAAAACAUGUAAAAAUUCAGAGUGGUCAUGAAGCAUAUAGAGCCAUGUUAAACGAGAAUAAUCAUCCACAAAAAUAACAAAGUACUUAAAACCAUUUCUACUAGCAAUACGGGAAGGUCCCCAGAUGUCCGAAUGAACAAGUUCAAGUAAAGUAGAUGCACGAGAAUCACUACGACUAGGAAAUGAACUACGAUGAUGUUUCCCAAGUUCACAAGCCUCACACUCAAGAGUAGAAAUUGAUUUACACUCGGGAAUUAUUUGUUGUAACUUAAAUAAAGAUAAAUGCCCUAAACGAGAAUGCCAUAAUAGGGGGGUAAUAGAACUAGCAGCUAGACCAUUGGCGUCAGCAGUGGAGAGACCAUUGAGAUAGUAGAGUCCAUCACAUUCAUGUCCUCCACCAAUCAUCUUCUUUGUCUGAAGGUCCUGAAAAAUGCAAUGAGAUGGAUAAAAUGUAACUGAACAACUAAAAGCUUUAGUUAACUGACUAACAGAUAACAAAUUUAAAGGAAGUUGGGGGACAUGUAAAACAGAGGACAAAGAUAAGGAAGAUGUAAGUGAAACAGUCCCUGAUCCAACCACUUGAGUCGAUGAACCAUUAGCUAAAAUAACUUCGGAUGAAGGACUAGAAUUAGUGUGGGAAGAAAAUAGUUCUUGCUUACCCGUCAUAUGACUAGAAGCCCCCGAGUCAAUGACCCAAGAGGCGUUAGGAGACAAAGUAGAGAAAGAGGCCAUGUUACCUGUACGUGCAAGAGUAGCAGUGGAUGAGAAAUUGGAAGCCUCUAGUUGUUUGACACGUUUGAUGAGUUGUGCAACCAUAUCAUCUCGAGUCGUAGACUCAGAAGAACUACCCCCAAGUGGAAGAGAUGGGUUCAUGUCGUUGUAAGACACAUUUCGAGCACUCUCUUCAGACAUAGCAGCAUUUGCAAUAACCUUGGCCCAACAAGUGUCAACAAUAUGACCGAAUUUGCCACAGUGUAUACACUGACGGCUAUCUCGAUCAGAACUUUGUCCACUACGUCCACCACCGCGACUACGAUUUCCCCCGAAACCACGACCUCUAUUGGAAAAUCCACCACGACCACGACCACCACUACUAGCCACAAAUGCUGAAUUGUCUUUAGAUGAAGUAGAAGACGGAGGGAUAAUGCGCUGAAUUCGACAAAAUGCUUCAUUCAUAGAAGGAACUCUCUCUCCAGCAAGAAGCUGACUCUUCACAGGCUGUAAGUCAACAUUCAAGCCAGAUAGAAAUUUGGCCACUUGAAAUUCAGCUCGUUGUGUCUUUAGUCUCUCAAGAUUAGUAGUGAUGGGCUGAUAAAGAUUGAGUUCUUCCCACAUACCUUUCAAAGCACUAUAAUAUUCUCCAAGAGAUUUGUUUCCCUGUUUAAAAUUAAAAAUCUUCUCAUAUAGUUCAUAAACUCUAGACAUAUUUUUGUCUUGUGAGUAACUCUCCAUAAGAUCAUCCCACACUCCUUUAGCAGUUGUGUGGAACAUGACAUUAGCAGCGAUGGAUGGUUCCAUGCUAUUCCAUAACCACACCAGAAGUGUAUCAUUCUCUCUCAUCCAACCAUUAUAGUCUCUAGAAUUUUCAUCAGGAGGGUCUCUGGUAAGAUAAUGAAGUUUCCCUUUGGCAUUAAUAUAGACCUUCACAGCUUGGGCCCAUAACAAGUAAUUGGAGGAUCCAUUUAAUUUAAUAGUGGUAAUUUGAACGUUGACACUAUUUGUAGAAGCCUUAGUAUCACUCAUGAUGAUAAUCUCAAUAUAAGUAUAUCUACCACUAAUCAAGGAGGCUGAAACUUUAGUGCAAGUAACAAAGCAGCAACGCUAAUGUAUAAUCAGAUGUAAUUGGCUUCAUCAAUUAACCAAAGGGAUGCUGAAAACUCAUAAAUAGAGACUGCUGUAUAGAAGAAAAUAUCUGACUAGAAAUCUCGAUUCAAAUAAUUAUAUGUUUGACGGAAAACCAGCAAGACUAGUCAACCAUAAUCAAUAGAAUAUUCUGAUUCUUGAAUCCGCUGAUCAGCAAGUGUUGUAAUCCAUGUUCAUAAACCGAACCUGAUGAAUCCGAUAUCUUCUGAUCUCAUAUGUAUCGAGACUUGAAGAGAAAACAGAUAAAAAUUGCAGCUUUAGGUGGCUACGCACCAGAGAAGAAGUAGAGUUACUAGGGGACUCUCAAACCAGCAAUAUGAUUAAGUAAUCAGAUAGUUAGACCUACUCUGAUACCAUGUCACAAAACUGAUUAGAGAACCCGCAGCAAGUAGAAAGAGAGAAAGAAGGAAGAGAGAAGGAGGAGAAAGAGAACGUAAAAGAAAGAAAGAGAGGGCUGUAGUUUUUCUGUAAUCAGAAACCCUACACCCAUUGUAUUUAUAUUGAAUAUAAAUUGUAUAUAACAAUAAUAUCCUUAUGUAAGUAAAAAAGGAAAUAAAACUCUGAUAAUAAAGGAAACUCAAUUAAAGUAACUUAACAGUAUGUACUCUCUUUUUUCAGCUUAUAAAUUAUGACUGUCUUGUUUGUUUUUCUUCUUAACAAAGCAGGGUAGUAUGUAGGACUCAUCACGUUAUAAUUUACUUCAUGAUGAGUUUUUCAUAUCAAUUCCAAAGUUUAAGGCACAUAAUGAUGUUUAUUAUACUCUCUCUCUCUCUCUCUCUCUCUCUCUCUCACACACACACACACACACACACACACACACACACACACACACACACACACACACACACACACACUAUGUAUGUCUACUAAUGCGUAUAAUUAUUAGUGACUAGCUCAAGGACAGCCACGGUUGAACAUAUUAAUGUGAGAUGAAAAUGAUUUGAUUCCACCUGCUUCUCUAAUGACUAAUCAUACUAUGUAUGUCUACUAAUGCGUAUAAUUAUUAGUGACUAGCUCAAGGACAGCCACGGUUGAACAUAUUAAUGUGAGAUGAAAAUGAUUUGAUUCCACCUGCUUCUCUAAUGACUAAUCAUACUCGUAACAGUUUUCAUGUAAUCGGAAUCUUCCCUUUAUUGUAGGUAUGGCUAUAUAACAUAGGCUUUGGUAGUUAUCAGGUUGAGAAAGUUUGUGAUACCUCAGGAGAAGAUGCAUCAUGCAGCAAGUGAUGAGCUAGUUUCAGUCGAAGCUACUUGUUCAAACAAUUAUUUUGUGGAUUUAUCAUGCAAAAUGCAAUAAGCCGUGAUGGACCAGCUUGUCCUAGAGAAUGUCCUUUGUUACUAGGAAUAUUUGUGGACAACUGAUCAGGGUAUUUUCCUGCAGAUUGGUAACCGGUAACAGCAUUGUGGACCAUUUAGUCUCUCUAUAGUGUGCAAUUAAUGGCUAAAACAUGAGAAUCAUGCAAAAUCGUCACGGACACUAUUGACGAAAUGUGGAGGCGAAGAUGUCAAAGGAAAUCUUAUGCUUUCCAGGAAUCCUUUUGUUUCUGCAUUGAGGCCGCAUUCAGACUCUGAUGCCAAGAGGAAAUUCAGUUGAAAUGCUCCUGGGUCAGUACCUGGAUUCUCAAAGAUCAUCAGGGACCUUUGUGAUGAAGUUUGGUCACAAAAUGCAUUCCAUCGAUCUGUUGUCCAUAUCCAUCACAAGAUACAGAGGAGCUCUACUCUAAUUUACUCUGAAUGUAAAUAGCACAAAGUUGAAGGUAUCAUCCUUGUAAAUACAACUCCAUGGUUUCAAUUGAAUAAAUAUGUUCGCAAGUUUGCCUGUCAAUCUGUUAUUGGGCUUGGGGCUUUGUUACCUGACUUGAUGUGUGGAUGCUGAGCUGAGCUACAUUCAUAGUUGAAUGACGCAGCUAUUUUCCCUUGGUUUAAUGUGUUGAAGAAAUCCUUGAAACUGUAAACAGAAAAGACAAUCGCCAGAGAUGACCAAAAGCUAGUUUGCUAGACAUGGUUAUACUGUUUCGAUAGGAUAUUGCAGCGUAAUUUCACUGUGACAAAGUCAACGAUGCCUGGUGUACACCGUCCAUUCGUUUCCAAUGUACAGCCAAACAGCAGUGUGGUUUUGUGCUCUUCAGUAUCUAAUGCAUAAUGUAAGGUUCAUCAGUGAUUUCGUGGAUGAUUCCGACAAUUUGUUUUCAAUAAUCUAACCGCAGCGAUUGAGAGUCCACUGGGGAAGAAUGGACACAAAACAUCAGAUCCCUAUCCGAAAUUAGGACGGGCACAUGCCCACAUUGUCAGGCAUAUCGGAGAUAAAGAUGUCCACUGUUAAUGAUUGUUCAAAUAAGUUUUAGCACUAGGCUCCAAACUCAUCAUAGAGUACAAUUUAGGAAAAAAAAAGAAUGGCUCCUCAUAUCUAAGCACGAAAAUUGGUUCUUUAUGUGCUGCGACGCUCUCAAAAUUUUCUCUGUCAAGGACUUGCGGACAUCGUGAGACCAUUAGUCUAUAGGAAUUUCAAGCUCAGAAUAAAAUACUGAUACACUGCUAUACAUUUGAUAUGUCAAAACAAAAAAUAAAGCGCCAAUAUUGUGGUCAUUAUUUCAAGUUUAGCUCAACCGCAUUUGAACAAGUAUAUUUGUUCUAAGUCCUUUAAAAUCUAACUCUGCGACUCUAUCAUUAUGAUUUGACAUGUGAUUCAAGGUCCUCUUGUUUUCAACUUCUACUUCUGAUGAGUGUAAAACCACAAGGCGAUAGCAACAAGGGGAGUGAUAUGUAGGAACAACGAUCAUCUCUCCAACCCCAAUGCGCACAUAAAAAAUCCCAUAAAUCACAUCCAGUAGCUCCAACCCUUGAGUCUGUUCUCUGUUUGACAAUUUUUGGUGUCAAGAACCGAACUACAUCACUGUAAUUUUACGUAACUAAGGUAUAAAAGCUGCUUAAGAUUAGUUAUGGGAUUCUCGCGAUGCUGCUUCUUCGAUUCAGUUGCUCUUUGCUACUUCUCCGGUUGCUAAAUGAGCCACAAUUUCCUGCAAAGAAACAUAGUUCCAUUAACUUUGUUAAGAGUUAACCAUCUCAAUCAGAAAACCAGCUCAAAAAGUCCGUCUGAGAUGUUUGUACCUCUUGGUCUCAACGUCAAUGUUUAAUGCGUAGUAAAUGUAUCAAAAUCAAUGGAAAAGAAUGGGUUGUGUAGAUUAGCGUGAAUAUAAUCCACGUCAAGACAUAUGUCUGCGAACCUGUACAUGUGAUCUUAUGAUCCCGAAUACAUGUAUCUAUUAUUCUAACUCAGCAGUUAAAUUCUCGGAAGAGUCAUUCAAGUACAUCAUCAGGAGCAGAGUCAUUUUCCUUCUUCCCCAAUUCCUCUUCCUUUUCCAGUCCAGUUGGAUUCUUCUCUUCCACCACCACUUUAUCUUACUCGCCCUCCUUCACACGUUCAUGCCGAGGCAAGUUGUACUCGGAGGAGAGGCCCUCAGACACGAUCCCUUCCGGCACUUCCUCGUCUCUUCUGGGAGAGAAGUAAUGAUCCGGCGAGUCGUGGGAUGUGAACCUCCCUGGCUCUGCCUCUUCCUCUUCUACUAGCGGUUCUGUCUCCGGCUCUAGCUCCUGCUCCAGCUCAAUCUCCUUUUCUUCCUCUACACGCUUCUCUUCCUCUCUGUCUUCAUCCUCGGCCUUUGUUUCUUCUUCUUCUUCGUUCUCUUCUUCUUGUUCAGACUCGGGAUGUUCAGUUAUGUCCUUAACAUCAGCCGCAUUUUCUGUAUCCUGGCUCACCGCAUUAUUGAUUUCUUGUUGCACGAGUAAUGCCGCACCUCUCCCAAUUGCUUCCAUCUAAAUAACGUUCUGUUCCACUUGUUUGUUCUUCUCGGGAUUGGCGCUCGAAACUCCUACUUUUGACUCCCCGCAACCCAUUGUCAUAAAAAGGAACGUCAAUCGAGAGGAAUUUGAUUGGGGUAUUGAUUCUCUCUGCCUUUGUGCAUCAGAUUGAAAUGAAGUUUCGGCUUUUGUCUUCUUUGCCCGUUGCAGUUUUGAUUUGCUGAAGCGGGUUGUAUCCGUGGUUGACAAAACGACAGAUCGUUUCUUGUUAUCGGUGGGGUUUUCCUUUCUUUGUCUUUUUUUUUUUUUUCAACCCAACCUUAGUUCAAUGAAAAACAUACUUUACAAUUAACAUAUGAUGCAUCCAAGCAAAAUUCAAUAUUGAAAAGACCGAAUUAUUCCCACUCAAAAACUUGUUUAAAUCUCUUGCUCCAUGUUUGAGUGAUUUAAUUUUCAGUUGGUUUUAAGUGCUUUUGAUAGGUAAGAAUUUAGGAUUUGUGAAUUGACAUUUUUCGAGAGAUAAUGACAUUCUUUUAUAAAAAGAAACACAAGGCUAAUAGAUGUAAAAAUGUAGAAAAUGAUAUAUAUAUAUAUAUUUAUAUUUUUUAACAUCAAUCGGCCUCAUGAACCAAAAUUCAUAUGGUCGUCAAACAUGGAAUUGCUUACACUUAAUCACGUUGAAAAUUGAACUUAGCCAAUUUUUCAAAUUCACAUAUAAAUUAUUUUCUGAACCACUAAAUCAAAAUAGACAAAGAGUAAAUAUGUUAGAAAGUGAAAUAUCAUAAAAAGAUGAAUUAUAAUAAUGUUAACAAAUUAACAAUCCAAAUAUUACUAAUUAAUCCCACAAAUGGUUUACUUCACCAAAUGGAAUUUAAAUUUCUCUCGAGUUGCCAUAAUUUAUUUUUUCCUUAGGCUAAAUAAUAAGCAUCUCCAAACAUAUAUCCUCUCUACAUAUAUUACGCCAUCUUCUUCCAUCUUGAGAGUGUCGUUUGCAAAAGUUCUUUUAAUUGUUCCACACCGUAAGUGGCCAUGGACGCCGCCACAGGAGAACAUCAAACUUCAGUAGUUAUCAGUUCGAGCUGUUUCUAGUAAUUACGCUCUUCAUAAUUUUCAAGAAAAAUAAAUCUAAUCAAACUGCAGUUCCAUGGUGUAACUCAUUUUAGGAGAUUGCAGCAAUUAAUUGUCACUGGGAGUACAUGAUUUAAUCAGAACCUAUGUCUGUAAAUCCUUACUUAGGCUAAGAAAUUGAAUUGCAUGGUUCACUUAAUCCGUGAUGAUAGAGACUAAGGGUUGACAAAAUUGUAGGUAAGAAGGCCUUGUGGGAGCAUAAUGUCUAUUGAUUGACCCCUACAAUUGGCUCUGCAAACCAUCUUUUGGUAAUGAUGAAGUGUAUCUAUAUCAGGCAAUUCUUUUUUCCAUUUGUUUUAUUUACACUAUUCUUCUGCUAACUUGGGGUAUUGCAAUGCAGCAAUAUGCUAAAGAGCACAAAGAUGCUAACCUCAUGCAGGAAGUUAUGAAGCUUUUGAAGAAGAAUAACUUGCCAUUGCAACCCACCACGGCCGAUAUUGUUUUCAGGUUCACUUCGGUGCUGUUUCUCCUGAGAAGGAUGUUAUUAUCAUGUAGUAAGCCAUUAUUGCACUUAAUUGUGUGUUAUGUACUGCAUAGUUAUCAAGCAAUUUAUCCAAUUUAUAAGUGUCAUUUAUAUACGAUUUAAUCAACUUGUUUUUAUUUUGAAUUAUUUUGUCUGCACUGCUACUCUCGAUCUAAUAGUUUGCUCAUGUUAUUUGACAUCCUUUCUUUCCAUGGAAAAAUUUUGCAGCAUUUGUGAUGAUACAGACAAUUGGGUGUUGCUCACAAAGUAUUCAAAGAGAUUUGUCAAAAUUGGAGUGAAUUUGCAUAAAGCUGCAUUUGACAUCUGGAUGGAGUUUGCUGCAAAAGUAGGUGAGAAACACUAGCUCUGUCUCCCUUCGCUGCUCUCAAGCCCUUGUCCCUCAACAAUCUUAUUUUCCAUUUCUUCCCACAAAUAGUUUUCUCAUCCACGUCCCGCCACUUACUACAAAAGAUGGGAUGUGCUAGAAUAUUUUCUUCUGUACGGUGAUUUCUUUCUCUCCUUAAACAAAAGGGUAGAAAUAAGAAAUAAAAAGAAUUUUCGCUGCGCCAUGUCUUUCAAUGUCUUUGUUUCUUUAAUUGUUCUGAGAUUAUGCUUCUUUAUCCUAUUUAGUGGUUUGACGAAAAUUACCCUUUUCAGGAGAUUUGAAUCUCUAUGGAAAACUGAGAAGUUAAGAUGUGAGUCCAUGAAGCAGCACACCCUGGGCAGUGGAUUCUCAUGUGCGAAGGUAGUUUACAAAGGCAGACUGUUGAAAUCACAAAUAUCAGACCCUGAAAGCACUAAGUCUUCUUGCAUUAGAAAAUCUGAUAAUGGGAAAAUAUUAAUAUUGCAAUACAGAUCAGUACAAAGUUCUUGGUAAACCAGGUGAGAGGUCUAUGGCCGAAAAAAGCGAGAGUUAAUGAUUGAAUAAACCAAAUUUUGGCUCACAUCCUAGGACAUGAAACACCUAUGGGCAUGAGAAUGCUUAUUGUCACAACACAAAGGAGAUAAUAACUACUUUUUCGGUAUUUGGAAGCAUUUAUUGUGGCUUUUAGCACUCUGGUUUAAUAUUAAAAUUUAACCGACUGUCAUUUGCUUGUUUUGUGGCAAGCUAAAUGGUUUUAUAACCAAUUUUUUGUGCAGGGAUCUUUACUUGAAGGCAAACCUGAGGAGGCUGCGACAGUCAUUCAUGUCUUGAAUCAGGUCCUCCUUGCUUCUCCGAGCAUCUAUAGCUAUUAUUAAUAUGCUCAUCAUCACCAUCUGGCAUGAUUGCAAUCCUAAAUUACCUCAGCCUCUGAAUUAGUCUUCAAUUUUCCAUAUACUGUCAAGGAAUAAAGCAAUUAGUGGAAAAUAUACAGAAUUGUCCCCCAAAAUGUGCUCAGAUAAAAUUACCAUGACAUAUCCUCUCUCGAGGGGGACUGAGUGAUUUGGGUUUCAUAUUUGGUGCAUGCUAUACUAUUAAAAUAACACGGCUUAGUUCCAUGGAUCCUAAUAGAGUUCGAAAGAUCAUCUCAGACUCCUCCUGAAUUGAAUAAAGUUGGAAAUUCACCUAUGUAGGCUCUGUUUGUUCAGAUGUUGCUUCUUAGGUCUCACAAUGUGAAUGCCUUGGAUUGAUGCGAGAGUUUACCUGAUGCUAAGAGGUCCAGCAUUGUGGUUGAACUUCAAAAGCUUGUCAGUGAGUGGGUUUUCGAGGUCAUCAAAUGGAAGAAAGAAGAUGACCGCAAGGUACUUCCUUUGACUAAAUAUCCAUCACUUUGGGUAGAAGUAGAAACGUUGCUUGUUUGCAGUUAUAUAUUGCUCUGGUAAUGUUUUCUCAAUCGUUCCCUUUGCUGGAUGUAUAUAUGCUGCAUUGAACUAUCUCAAAAUUUUUAAAACCUCUCAUUCUUUUCGCUCAUGUAGGCAUUGGCUGCUUCUUUCAAAUCCAAUAUCCCGGCCAUGGUUAGUUUCCCUAUCAAACACGGGCUUGGAGGUGAAAGUGAAUAUGGAACAACUAACCACCAAAGGCGCCCUUUGUUAAAGUAUGACAGAAUUGGAGAUUAAAUGCACUAGCUGCAGAUCUGUCUCCUAUGUGGACCGCUAAGGUUGCCAUUUUAAUUUAAACCGAUUCCGCUGAGAAGCAAGACAAGCGUGGUACUCACGUCUCGAGCAACAAGCAUCUGAAGUUCUCUUGUGAAGGUCCCUGAACCAUGAAAAGAUCUGCUCCUUCUUGAUUUGAAUGUUGUCACUUCUGUACUCUGGAAUAAUGAUUCUUUUCUUUCCCCAAAAAAUCUGAGUGUAUUAGAUACGAUAGGUGCAUCGUCAGCAAUUGAAUUCUGAGAACAACCUCGGAUGACUAGUUUUUGCAGAGAGGAUUCUUUUGGCUCACGCAUUUUAGAUUGGACCAAAUGGGCAGUUAAGAGAGACAAUUGAUAAGGUGGUCCUUUCAAUUUCAAUCUGAUUUGGCAGCCUAUUUUGUUAUAUUUCUGACACAAUUUCGCUGUCCAAAAUUAAGAGUGAAUUUAAUGCCGACUCAUUUGAUGUUGGCAUACAGCGACCGCCAUGGCUUCCUGAUUUAAUCGGAUCGAACCGUCCAAUCGUGGUGCCAAAGUGCAUAACAUAAAUUACAUCCCCUUUUACGUCAUGAAAGAAAACGAAAACCUGAAUUACCAGAAAUGGCUUCGGUACCCACAUGCGUGGGUGGGUGGGUGGGUGGGUGCGUGCAUUUUGUGCAUUUUGUGCAUUUAAGGCGUAAAAGAGGCGACAAAUGCAAUCCUCUAGAAUGAAAACAUGCGCAAAUUUUAACAAUGAAUUGACAUAAUUGUAAUAGAUAUGAGACUUUUUUGGUAAUAUAGGACCAAAUUUGAAUUCAUACAAUAAGCUUACGACUGAAUUUGCGAUUCUCCUAGCUCAACACCUUAAGCAGUAAUUAAGCUCUUCAUAUGUUCACCUGCCAUAACCUAAAAAAAGUCAAGCAUGAUCAUGGUGAAAGAAAAGGUCCAAAGAAUCCUUCCCUUGGAAGCAAACAAUCGAAUCAUUCUUGUUGCCUAAAAGAAUCGAGCAUGAGCUUUGUUUACCCAACUCAACUGCAUAGACACGGAGAAGAGGCUUCAGAUAUAAGAACUUAACAGGGUACAUCACAAGAGCAGGAUCUGAUGAAAUGUAACAUCGUACAUUUUCUUUGAAGAUAUGGAAAUGAAUAUUCAAAGCCCAAGAUUAAUCCUGGGAAAAAUGGAAAAGUAUGGAACAACAAACUUUGAUUUGCAUCACAUGAAGCAAAGAACCACGUGAUAAGUGAAUUCAAGCAUCCUGUGGAAUUCUAUUGACACUGGCAGCUUCUACUGAUUCCUGUUCUGCCACAACUAUAGUCCUGGAAGGCCGCUUGUUAGGAGUCAUUUGGAGGCAUUGUAAAGCAAGCUGUGCUAUUUGGAAUGCAGAAUCUGUAUAUGUAAGGUAUAGGGAUGGUAUAAAUUUGGUUCCCAUUUCCUGCAGGUCGCAACAUUGUGAGCGACCAGCUUCUUCUAAAAUAUCCAGUGUUUCUUUUUCAGUAAUUGGAGCAUCUGCAGAAAAUGAAAAGUUAUGUGGGCAAUACAACUGUACAUUUUAUGCCAAAGGAUUCAAGUAGCUAAAAGGAAAACACACCUUGUAUUUCAUAGAGGGGAUUAUAGUGAACCUCACACCAGAAACACAACCAAAACUCUGCAUCAAUUGAAAGUAAGGUUAACAAAAGGAAAAACUCAAAAAACAUGGAGUUUCAAAAGACCAGUUGCACAUUGAACAAAAGCAACAGUAGAUCAAUUGCAAAUGUUUACACCUAGGUUUAAAAUCAAUCAAAUAUAUAUUGAGCCAUACCCAAGCAGCUGUUCUAAGCAAGCGAAAGAACAAAUAUUUAAGUUCCCCAGAUGAACAACAAGCAAAGCAUCACAAAGGAGGAUCUAUGCGUAUAUGUAUGUGAGCAACACUCUUUUUUCCAAGACAAACGAGAAGUAAAAUAUCAACUUCACAUUCAUCACAUUGCACGGACUGAUCAUUUGACCCAACAAAACAACUAUGAAGAAGACUAGCAAGCAAUACCCUAGGCAGAGGGAACUUAUAAAUCCAAUGGCCCAACAAUAAUCAAGCUAUCAAUAUAAGUAUCAUCAAGAGGUUAUAGACCUCCUUCAGGCUCUCCAACAUCAACCAAAUAAGCAUUGAACAUCAAUGACUCACCGGAACAAAUAACUUCAUCAUUCUUCAAAAUUCUGCAUUCUGACAGCUGCUUGCUGCCAUCAUAGGGCAUUACCUAUCAUAUAUCCGACCAUCAAUCACAGCAUGGACUAAUCUACUCCAAACAAGCUCAAUCACGGAGAGCAUUACAACCAAAAGCACAGAACAGAACAAUAUGUGAUAUAGAAAAAAUGAAACCCUAGGCAGCAUCGAGCUGCUGCCAUUAAGUUCAAUGCUGCUGCCAUUAAGUUCGAUCGAGCAAGCUAAAUGAGGGAAAACUGAUGCAGCCCGCAUUGAAGAACAACUCUCUCGACCAAGAAGAUCGGCCCGCAUUCAAGCUCGACGAAACCGAGAAGCCGUAACAAUAUCUUGAGUCCAUUUUGGAAGCUUGAAAUACACCUUGGGAGCUCGCGUGACGUGCAGAGUGAGAGGCAGCUGUCACAAUAGACCAUGCGUUUCAGCUUUCCAUGCUCUUUACUAUUUCGUGACAUUCCAGCACACGCAGACUCAAGCACGUAACUCAUUUCAUCAAACACCAAAAGUGCACACUGGACAGCCAAACACUGGACAGGCAAAUCUAGAUGGUUCACACUCACACGAAGCAUAAUUCAGCACACUAAUUACAAACACGAUCCAAAAGCAGUUCAGGAUUGAAAAAGAAAACAAGAGCACAACACCGAUCCGCUCCUAGAACUUACAUUGCCGGCUCAAAAUGCAGGCGUUGAGUCUAUCACAGAGCUGAAAGCUCUAACGUAUUCAUCCGUGGGAUUUUGUUGAGUCUGGAUAUUCUGUAUAAGGGCAACAAGGAUGGUGAUGCCAGACUUCUGUCCCUCAAGAUUCCGUUUGAUGCGAUGUUCAUUUUCCUUAAUCAAAACUCCAGAGUUAGAGCUUAAGCUGGCAGACUUGAAAUCCAUAUCCUUGGUGCAAUUUCUCCCUCUUUACCCAACCUUGAUUGAGGAUGAGGACCACAAUACCAAUGUGUGCGCAGAAGCUCUCCCUGAUGCUCAUAGAGUUCAACUUGACUAAAAUUUCUGAGAUUCUACACCCAAAGACAGUCAGCCACUGCUUCAGAUUUUCACUUGGUGAUUUGUCCUGUGCAAAGGUGAAUGAUGUUGAGCUGCGCAUGGCUCUGGCAUCAGCUCCGAAUAUGGAUCCCAAGUUGCUUUCUCAGCUGAAAGUAGCAUGGCGGAUUGGAAAUCUUUUGGAGAUUGUACAUGGGAAGAAUUUGGAAGAUUUUCUCAAAUUGAUGCUUGGCUUGUGCAAAGCUCUUCUUUUAUGAUCACCAGGUUCUACGAAAUUUUUCACGUACAUGGAAGAGCCAACACUACCUGAUGAAAGUUCUUCUGAGGUGGCAAGUAGCAUAUGACAUAUAAUGGACUUUGGUGGCAGUGCCAGUGUUUUCCUGGAAUUGAGUGGGUCUAAUGACAGAAACAAUGCCGAUAUUGCUUCUGAAUGAACAGUUCUAUUUCUGAAGGCGGCCUCCAGGGAAGGUGCUCUCUUUUUCUCAGCGAUCUUUUGUAAGUGAGUGCAAUUCUCGAGUCUCAGCGAGACACCCUCCUUCUCUACUGGUACCAACGAAUGCUGCAUUCUCUCAGUUACAACUGUAGGAGAUGUUUGCUGCACAGAAUGAAAUUAUGAUUGAAGGCAUCGUGGCUGAGAUAAGAUAUUCUGGUGCUGCUGCUUUAGCCAGUGCUGCCACACUGGUAAUCUCGGAAUUGCGGUGGGUCCCUCAUUUAUGACUUCUCCAUAACAUUUACAAUUCCCACUAAGAAGCACACCUUUCCUGAAAUGAAAAAUAAACUUAACUUAAGCAUAGCAAUAGAGUGCCUGUCUACUUCAAAGUCGCAAUAAUGAGUUGAUUGUGCUGUAAAGUCCCAGGAUGAGAACAAUAGUCAUAUGACCUUCCAGCAAACAUUCCAUCUAUUUGUUUACAUCAUAACAAAGUUAUCUCCAAUGCAAAACGAGGUUAUCAAUUUCGAAAUAUAUGAAGAAGGAAAUCGACAAGGAUCUCUAAUAACUUGGUACAUAUCAAAUAAAAACGAUGCAAUCGACAUGCAUAUCUCUAGGAGAAAUCAUCCUAAGAAAAUGUAGCUAAAAAAGUCAAAUCAAACUAGGAAAAGAACACAAAUACUCGUACAUAAUUAAGAGCCCUCUGGCUGUUUAGAGGUAUCAUAAUUUCAAUGCUUCAUUAGAUUUUCAGACAAGAAUCCGCUAAAAGGUCAUUAAAAAGUGCAUGCGAAACUUCUCUGUUUAUAUUUGCGAAAGAAUUUGAUUGCGAAAAAAAGGAAAACGUUGGUACUUACCUCAAUUUGUUUAAAGUUUGAUCACAAGGUUAGAAUUUGUCUUCUUCCACAAAUUCGUUUCUUCAUCGUCUUCUCCCACAAAUUUGAUUGACUUCUCCAAGCAAAGCCGAGAAAUUUCCUCCACCGCUAAUUUCCCACAAAGUCUUAUUGUAACCUCUCGCAGUCCCUUCAAACUUGAUAGAUCAGGCAACUUCUGUAAAGAUUCACAGGAUUCAAUAUCCAAGUAUUCCAAAGAUUGAGGUAGUUCGCCUUGAAUCUCAAUCAGAUUAUGACAAGAUUCUAUUGUAAGAAGUGUUAGUUUGUUCCAAUUGCUUAGAUCAGGGAUUUGCAUCAGUUUAAAGCCACGAAGCAGCAACUCAUGUCCACCUGUACAUUUAAACAUCUGAUUGCGAAUAUGCACAUAAACAUAUGUCUUACCCAUUAAGCUGAACAGAUUGGGGAACUCCCGUAACGAAUUGCAGGAAUCAAUUGUAAGAUAAUCCAAAAACCGCGGUAGUUCGCCUUGAAUCUCAACCAAAUUACCACAACAGGAUACUCGAAUAUACCUUAGCUUGUUUAACUUGCUUAGAUCAGGUAGCAUUGCCAGCCGUCUGACUUUGUCAAUGUGCAAAUGUCGUAAGUUCUCCAAACAACCAAGGCCUUGAAUCUCUGCAACUGCAGAGCACAAAAUCGAGAGAGACGAUAGUUUCCUCAAAUUCGAUAGAUCCAUCGAGCAAAGUGAGUCGCAACCAAAGAGACUUAAGGAGGAUAAAUUUGAGGGAAGCCUCGGGAGGCGACGCGGAUGAGGAGGGAGGCUCAGGUCUGUCGAAGAGUCAAAUGAGUCAAAUGAGUCAAAUGAGUAGAAUGAAUCGAAUGAGUCGAAUAAGCCGUAUAAGUCGGUCUCCCCUAAAAAGAGUAGUUCCAUGGAUUCCAAUUUGCUUAAAUUCCCAAUCCACAGCGGUAUCGGUUCUUCCAGAAGCCUAUAAGAUUUCCCAGCACAAUUAGGUGAGCAAAAGAACAGAUACAAUACCUUUAAGUUAGCGAGAUUUGAGAGAUCCAGAAACGUGUCCACCCUCAACUGCCCCAGUUCUAAUUCGAUGAGACUUUCAGGAAGCCUUGGUAGGGCGUGUAUUCUCACCCCUCUCAAUCUCAAGAUCCUCAAGGAUUUAUUCUCGUAGAUGCAAUCACCAAUUUUCAAGUGUAAACACUUGUUAUGAUAAUCCUUGCAGACGACUUCUAUUUUUUCAAGCUUCUCCAUCAUCCAAAAGGCAUCGUGUAUUUUGCUUAUGACACUUAUCUUCAUCUUCACUACUUUCAAAUUCUUCAACUUUUUGAUGGAAUCGGGUAGUUCUUUGAUGUUCGUGUAACUUAUGUUCAACUCAAUCAGCGAUUCCAAAUUCCCGAUUGUCUCCGGAAGCCUCUUCAAACUCCGGCAUCUUUCUAGAGAUAGGUAUUUGAGGCUUGCAAGAUCUCUACACAGCUCAUCCGGCAGCCUCUGAAGUCUGCUACAAUUGCUUACAUCUAAGAAAACCAAGCGUUUCAACUGACAAAUUAAUCUAUCAAUUUCAAUUAACGAUUUAGAACCCGAUAGGAUCAAACAUUCUAAUUUUGAAUGAGCAGAUAAGUCGGGGGUUAUCUCCAAGAGUAGGCAAUGGGCUAGAUCUAGAACUUUCAAAUUCUUAAUCACCUGUAAAAGAAAAAUCAUGCAAAGCUUAUUUUUGAAUCUAAUAAGGCAAAAGGAUAAGUAUUGUCUAGCAUAUAACAAACCUUCAUGUGACUCCACCCUUUCCAAUCAUGCGUAAUUUUACUCCAAGAUAGAUCAAGAAUAAUCACAUUCUCCAUGGAGAAAUUUGUAAUCGCAAAUGUUGGCUGAAUAUUAUGCCAAGAAAACCAUUGUAAUCGUGGAAGGAGAUUUGAAUUCUUCUGGAAUACAUUAGUUGAAAGAAUAUCUAACGGCCUUGUGUGCCAAAAAUGCUCAACUUCAAGGAACGUUAGAUUGGGUAGGUUCUUGAAGUCCUCAUAGGUAAAAUGAUGCUGAUCGUCAAACUUGAGAUGAAGAGCUUCAACUUUUUUCUUCAUCUGUCAAAGAGAAAAAUUUGAAAAACAAAAGAGUUGAAGAGAAACACAUUUAUCCAAGUUCACUGUUUUAAGGGGUUGAGUUGAGUACUUAUAUUCCUUUAAUCUUAAAAGAGCAAAAAUAUUGGUUGAGUAGGUUGUGACGGUGCUAGAGAACACAAAAAUAAUUCCCUCCUUUUGAAAAGAAAAUGUCCAUAAGUAACUUGGAGAUUUAUUUUUAUAGGGAAAUUUACCUCAUGGCUCUUCAGCAGAUCCAAUCCUUCCUUGGGAUUCCACACACAACGUUGCUUCUCAAUUUUCAUCUUACUUUCUUGACGAACUAUUUCUCUUCCGAGGUCUCUAAGUUGAUCAUGCAUCCACAAUUUAUUCUGUUCAUCAAUUUUUAUCAAAGACAUGUUCUGCAAAACUUCCAAGGUUGCUUCUGGAAAAAGUUUAGAUGCAUCCCAAAAAAUAACUACAAUGUCUUUGCGAUAUCCAAUGAAAUGACAAGCUAUAUCAAGGAAUAUAUGCUUUUGUCGAGAAUCUAAUGCAUCAUAACUUAUUUUCAGCUUAUUUUGAACUUUAUCAUGAGGAACACUUUCUAACAAGUUCAAUGUGGCAUCCCACAUUUCCUUAACUUUGCUGGAUAAAAGUGAACCUAUGACUUCAAGGGCUAAUGGAAGACCUCCAGCAAUGUAUAUCGCUCUGUUGGUAUGGUUGAUGUACUCGUCUAAAGGAGAAUCUCUUCUAAAGGCAUGUUUGCUAAAAAGUUGAAGAGAUUGAUGGGCAUCCAUGCUCGUAAGCUCAUACAUCCAGUCCACUUCCGGAACAUGGAGAACAUCUUUCCUUCUCGUAGUAAUAAUAAGUUUGCUUCCUUCACCAAACCAAUCAUGCUUGCCUACAAGUGCAUCCAUAUGAUCCUUUUCUUCCACAUCAUCAAGAAGAAUGAGGGCUUUGUGAGUAGGGAACCUAUCUUUAAUGGUCUUAAUCCCUGCAUCAAUGUUUCUUAUAUCCACCCAUUUCAUCUUGAGGAUGUCGCAGAUGAGCUGCUGCUGCAAGUACUCAAUGCCCUUGAGCUUUGACGUUUCACGGAUGUUGGAAAGGAAGCAACAAUUGUUGUACUUGUUGGAAAGCUUAUUGAAGAUGAUUUUGGCAAUUGUUGUCUUUCCAAUGCCACCCAUCCCAUGAAUUCCUACAAUCCGCGUUUCACUUAUGUGAGCACCUAUCUCUUCCAUGAUUUUACCCACAUGGUGGUCCAUAUUGAUCAAGUUGUUUGAUACCACCAAAUAAGCCUUUUUCAACUCAUUGAAAACCUCCUGGGUAACUGUUUUCGCGAUCUCACCUUCUUCCCUAAUGUUUGUUGGAGGUCAAAUGGCAAUGAGUAAGAAAAUUGUCUUGAAUCAAACUAUGUUUCAACAAGAACAAAGUGAAAACUGAAGACCUAAGUGAAAUGUAUUAUAUAAGGAUUUACUCCAGUGUAGAUGAAUUAGCAUCGAUACACAUGAUUAUUGAAUGACCUAAACUAGGAAAGAAAAAAAAAAAGGUUGUUUGGUUAUGUGAUUUUUAUAGUAUAAUUUCAAUAGCAUAAAAUUCAAUUUCAACAAAACUAACACGAAUCUAGAAAAUAAACCAAUUGAACCACAUCAAGUUUCAAUGAUACAAGGCACAUCAAAGGAAUGAUAGAGGCAAUCACCUGUUGGGGAUGCUUUGCAAGUCCCAUCCAUCUAGUUCCCCAACUGCAUUGAGAGCAGCCUUCCACUCAUGUAUAGUCGCUUCAUCAUAUCGCUUCUUGUUUUCAUGUGAAAGAAAGGCCUCUUCAUAACACUUAGUUUGGUGUCGAACCUCUGAAGGUUCCACAUCAUAAAAAAUUGGCAUAAUCUUUUGUCCCCUAAUUUUUUGGCACUUGACCAUUUGGACUAGCUCCUUGAGACACCAUGCACUAGAGGCAUAACCCUUUGAAAAUAUAGGUAUUGAGAUCUUUGAUUCACUAAUUACUCGGAGAAGUUCUGGGCCAAAAUUUUCCCCCUUGCGAAGCUCUUUGUCAUCCUUAUAGACGCGUAUUCCUGCAUCUAUCAUACUAGUGUAAAGGAAGCUAGUAAAACCUCUUCGAGUAUCUUUUCCUCUGAAACUCAAGAAUACUUCAUAUUCAUAUCCUGAUGAAUUAACCAUUCCCUGACCUUCUGUCGUAGUGUGAGUAAAAGAAGCGCUCACUGCUAUUCCAUCAUUUUUACAGGUACGUUGUUUUUUUGCACUCCUCUCCAUUGAUUUCACUCGAUCUGAUCUUCAAGAAAUACCAAACAGUAUAUCAGCAAAAGCAGUGGCAGCUAGAGAUGGAAAAUGUUUAGAAGCCUAACUCGUAAAUAUUGAAGAUCUCUGUAGGUCAUUAAACUUAGUAGCCGGGAUAAGCUAAAUAUGCAGAGUGUCAUGGGCUAGUUUGCUACAAUUGUUUAAUAAGAAUAAUUCAUUGUAGCAUCACUCUCACUUGUCAAAGUUGACAAUGCAUGUGAACAUAGGAGUAUUAAAUCUCAAGGGGCGUUUUAACACCUUAAGGAGUUUUAAAUCUCCUGGGGAGAACGUUGACAUAGCACAAUACAAAGUUUUCAUUUUAAAUAAAAUGGCUCGCUCUUCUCAAAUCUUGAGAACAUAAAUUAUUCCCUAGGAGUUCUAAAUCCUAAGGGGAGAACAUGAACAUGCUCUCAUUUGACAUAACACAAUGCAAGGCAUUCUUUUUAAAAAGAAAAUUUCCACACUUCUCGAAUUUCUACAACAUGAAUUGUUUCUUCUUAAUGUCACUUUUGCAAAUAUGACCACCACUCUCUCUAGAAUAAAUCAAAAUAUUAACCAGAGUUAUUCAUGUGGUGGGAUAGUUGUAGUUUGAAAUCUUACACGUUUCCAAAAUUCCAUUAACCAAAAAUGGAGUUUCAUUUCAUGCAUGCUAGAGUUAAAGAACCAAUUAUAAACUUAAAGUAUAACUGGUAAGUACAAAUUGACCAAUAACUUGUGAGUCUGGGCAAUUGUUAGAAAGUCACUAAAAAAAAUAGUUUUUUUCACCCUCAAACCAAAUAGUGGAUUACCAUUUUUUUCUUUUAGAUUUUACAAAUGGGUUAGUAUUUUUUCUUGUAGAAUAUGAAUGCUUACAUAGUUUAUUAAUAGUCUUGAUUGAUGUUCCAACUUACAAACAAACUAACUAUUUUUACCCCUCUAAUAUCCAAGUAUGGUGUUAACAUUGUUUCGAAUUUAUGAGUAGCAAUGUUCAUUUGUAUAUACCAUGUGAACAAAAUAACAGAUUUACCAUGUGGAAAAUACUCUUGUAACUUAUGAGCAAUUGUGUGCCUUUAUAAGUAGGCAAGUAUUUUUGGUAGUAAAUUACGAGUUGAUUGCAUGCUUUGUUAGUAGUUUCGGUUAACAGCCGUAACUUACAAACAAAUAAGUAUUCUACAAGUAUAAAUCCUUACUAUAUUAUUAACCUUGUUUCGAUAUUAUGAGUUGCAAUUUUAUUGUUAGUAACAUGUUGACAAAACAAUUGAUUUACCUACUUGAAAUAUUCUUGCAGGUUACGAAUAGUCGUUUGCUUUUACAAGUGGCUGUGUUCUUCCUCUAGUAGAUUACAAGUUCCUUACAUAUUUUUUCCUAGCGACACCAGUUUAUAUUUGUAACUUCAUAAUAAAAAAACCUAAAUUUUUAGUAGAUUAUUAACAUUGUUUCGACGUGUAUUUCUCAGUAACAUACAAACAUAUUUUAUGCAAUUGUAUGAAUGCCGGAUGAUUGUGUGUAUUUGUUUACUAGUGAUAUUGAUGAUUAUUUGUAUUGAUGAAGCGUUCUACCUGUUUACAUGGUCAACUAUAAGACAUUGAUUAGAAGCUCCGAGAUGACUAAAUAUGCCACACGAGACGACAUGUUGGUACUGUUUUGAAAUGAUGUUGCAACGUGAUUGGAUAUUGACAAAGUUAACGAUAUAUAAUGUUUGGAACUUAUAUAAUAUACAACCAAAUAAUAGUAUGGUUCUGUGUUAUUCAGCAUCUAAUGCAUAAUACAAGGUUCAAUAGCAACUUCGUAGAUGCUUCCGAUAUAAUUAGUUUGUUUGAUAAUCUAAUCGUGGUGGUCAAGAGUUUGCUCUAUCUAGGGAAGAGUGGACAUAGAGUAUUAGCUUCCUUUAUAAUUACUCUAUAAAAUUAGGAGAGGCGCAUGCCAUCAUUGUUAGGCAUCUCAAAAUUAAAGAUGUCCACACUGAAUGAUUCUGGUAUUGGCACUAGGCUCCAACUUAAUAGACUACAAUUAUGAAAAGAAGAAGAAGAAGAUUCUUCUCAUAUCUAAGCUCGAAAAAUUGUUCUGUUUGAUAUUGGUCCUAGAGAUGUGCCCCUCCACUUUCCAAUAUACUAACAGUGUCGAAAUUUUUUCUGCCAUGGACUUGCAGACAUUGUGAGACCGUUAGUCUAUAGGAAUUCCAAGUUGAAAAUAAAAUACCGAUAUACUACUAUUCAUUUGAUGUGUUAAAAUAAAAACUAAAUGCCAAUAUUGCAGCCAUUACUUCAAGUAUAGCUCAACGUUCAAAUUGGAUUGGAACAAGGGUAUGAGUCUAAGUACUUUAAAUCUAGUCUCCAUGGCUCUGCGCCUCUGCCUCUAUGAUUUGAUCAGCUUAUGUGAUUCAAGGGUCCUGUUGCUCUCAACUUCAUCUUAAGAUAAAGUGUAAAACCAAUUGAUGAUAAGAGUUGGCAAUUUACUGACCACAUGGAUAAAAUUUCAAAAGAGUUGGUUAACUACUUCAUUAAUAUAUUGAUAUAUUUUUUAAUAGUGCUGGUAAGUUAAUAUCAAAGGAGUUAGUAAUAUAUUAAUUCAUUAAAAUGUUGUUAAAUUCUCGUAUGUGCCGGCAAUUCAUCUAUGAUUUUGGUAAUAAGAGUUGGUAAUUAACCACUUGACUCGUAUGUCAGUAAAUUCUUGAUAAUGCUGGUAAUUUAUUUAACACGUUUUGAGAGUGGGUAAUUUAAUACUUCCAUGUAGUGUUUGUAAAUUCUUGACUGUGUCGGUAAUCUACUUACCACACUCAUAAAAUUUUGUAGGAGUCGGUAAUUUACUACUUUGUUGGUAUGUUGUUAAAUUUCUAAUGUUGCUGGGACUUUACUUACUAGCACAGACCAAAAUUUUCAAGUGAGUUAAUUUACUAAUGUCGUUAAAAUUUUGAUAAUCUUGUAAUUUACUAAAUUUCUUAAGAAAUGGUAAUUUACGAAUAUUUUGUUAGUCAGCAACCAUAAGGUUUGAAGCUUGAAGUACACUGGCGAAUGGUGGAAUAGCGGAGAUGAGAGCUAGAGCUCAAGAUCAGGAUGGAGUAAUUACAAAAGGCCAAGGUAGUCUCCAAUCAGACUAUUGCUGCAGUACUGUGGAAUAUUUGGAAGUCAGGAAACCAGGCCAUCUUUAGGAAUAAAAAACCAGAACCAAGCAACCUUGUGGAGCCUGCUUUAGCUGGGUUGAAGAGUUUCAACAGAUGGAACCCAAAAUCGAGCGAAUCUAGUAAGACCAGCAAAGGGUCGUCAAGAUUUUGGAACCCACCGCAGGCUGGAACACUAAAGAUAAACAUACACGGUGGCUACGAACCUGAAGCUACUAGAGGCUCGAUCGCUUGCGUCUGUCGUGAUUUCGUGGGGAGGUUGGUGGACGGAGUGGUGCGAGCAGUAGCGGCGCCUUCUGCGUUCGGGGUUGAGGCUCUUGCCCUCUUAUAGAAGCCUCCACUCUCUCUGUAUACUCUAAGAAAAGAAGCCCUUGUUCUUGAGUCUCGCAGCUUAGACUUGGUCAAGGCUGUGGAAAGUUCAGACAGGCUCACGUGCGAAGCUCGUGCUAUUAUUCCGUUGUGCAAAGAUUUAUUAUUAUCCUUUUCAAGUAUCCAGAUCAUGUUCAAAAAAAAAAAAGAAAAGUAUCCAGAUCAGCCAUUGGCUUAGAGAGGCUAACUCAGUUGUGGACUGAGUUGCUAAAACCCACGAGAGAAAGCCCAUUUAUCGAACCUUUCAAUCUUUUUCUGCUUAAUGAAACAAAAAAAAAUAAAAAUAAAAAUUCAGUCUCCAAUCUCAAGGAGCGAACGUGCAAGUGUUCGGUCACGCUUCACAGCGCACGAUGGCCCCCCCGGCGGUAGAAUACCUUUAUUUGAUGGUGAUAACAUUCAACUGCAACUUUAUAAAAGCGUCGGAAAGAAUACUCUCUCGAAAUCGGAAAAGGCCACCGUCCUUCAUCUGACAAUUCCUAAACAAUGUUCACGCUCCACUAGCUUUGAGGAAUGAAAAAGAAAAAAGUAGAAUUAGCAACAUUUCACGUGCUAUGAUGGUCCCCAUGACUAGCCAAGCUCAUACGCUUCGAUAAAAGGUUGUCUCUUCUCACAUCUCGGGAACAAAAAUUGCCCCUCUCUAAGUUUGGCUCUGAAGAUUUGGCCCUCAGCUCCCCUUUUUGAGUUUAUAAUUAAAUUGCCGAUGCACACCUCUACACACUAUUUUAUUUAAUAGUCAAAACAAUGUACAUGUUAUCUAGCACAACAAUUUGAUGGUGAAAUAUAAUAGAAAUUAAUGAGAGAUAAAUUUAUUAUAAGUGUACCAGUUUAAAAUUUUUAAUAAUUAAAAAAAUAAUUAAAAAUAAAUUUAUCGUAAAUAUAUCAAUUUGAGUUUUUCACGAUAACAAUCAUUUUCUAAUUAAUUGGCUUCUGCUUUUCUUUUCUUUUUUGAACAACUAAUUGGCUUCUGCUUCACCAGGCACGAUAUCAUCACUCCCCCAUGCGAACACCAACGGCUGACAGCUUGCUCUUUGUAAUAUUAUGCAAUAAUGUAAUAUUAUGUUAGUGGGCCCCAAAAGAAGAAACUGAAAAAGAAACUGAAAAGUCAGUAAAACAAAAAGGAGAGGGGAGAGGGCUCGGCUAAAUAGAAGCUGAGAGUUCCCUCACCAAAAAAGAAAAGAAAGAAAAGACGAAGAAGAGGAAGGAGAAGAGAAAAAGGGAAAAAAGGAAAGGAAUUUUGGCAUGUGCACGUCUCGGAUGCCUCGCCAAGCUGACUCGACUCCAUAACACAGCACCCGGUAAGAGAUCAAGCCCCUUGUUUGUCCGAUUGAAGUAAUUUUUGGAUUUAGGACUUAAAUUCGAAAAUUUUGGAAAACUGAGCGGCGAAGUCUAAUUUUGGAGUCGUUGAGCCGCGUAUUUUUGCAAGAAUGGUAAUUUAGGGUGUUGUGGAGCCGUGGGAUUUUACGGAUCGUGAUUUGAACUUAUGGUUUGUCCAAAACAGAAUUUCAAAGUUUCCCACGCGCAGUGAACAGUACGCGUCCAGCAGCUUUGGGCCCGUAUUUUGUCAUUUUUCGGCUUGAUUUUGGGAUGGCCAAGUCGGAAUUCUUGUGAUAUGUUUCAAGGGCUCUCUAUUGAAUAUAAGUACGUUCGGAUCGGAGUUCAGAAGAGAAAGUUAAGGCGCAAUCAAGUUUUGCACUUAAAUUUCGUGUUGCGAAUGGCUUGAACAAUCGCUUUGGUUAUGCGAUUUGUUAGCGCGUAGAAGUCCUUUUGUUAGAGUUAAGGCGUAAUUUAGUUGUUUCGAAGUAGAGACAGUGUUUUAUUAGAUUUUAACAUUUUUCUCGGUUAUUUGAUAGGACCUUGAAUUCGACGAUACGAGUAUCGUUCGUCGUUUGGUCAUCGACGACGAGGUGAGUGGUACUAUAUCUUCUUUGGUUUUAUAAAAUCAUGUCUUGAAGUAUAUAUAUGUAUAUAUAUGUAUAAUAUUGAAUUGAGAAGGGCAUUUUUAUUGCAUAAAAGCUAGAUCGAGCAAUUGCUACUCUUUGGUUGAUUGUGAAUCUUUGAAAAGCACAUUAUACAAGGUUUGUGGAGAAACAUAUAUGAAAUUGCUUUGCGACUGAUUUAUAAAAAGGUUUAUGAUGAUUUGAGAAACGGAUAUGAAAUGGAUGAUGGGCUAUGUUGCAAAAUGUUAUUUGUUUGGUUUGAGAUAUUGAUUUUUGGAUUGGAUUUCUGGUAUUGGAGAAUGGUUAUUUAUGCUCAAUAUGACUGUGAAUCCAGUGAUGGGUUUUUGGGGUAUGCAUACCAAGUUUAGGAUAUCCUUCUGGGCCUAGCCACCGGCUUUGUAGGUGGAGACCUUGCCAAGGGGGGAAUCUUGGUCGCCUUGUCACAAGGCGUUGUGUUGUGACCAUGGUUAGUUAUUGAGCAAAAGAUUGAUCAAUGGAUAGACCAUUGAUAUGUGUUUUUGAUGGAGAUUAUUCGAUGGAUUCGACCAUUGAUACUUGACUUUUGAUGGCAAUUCAAAUGAGUUUUUCGUAUUAGUAUAAAUUUUUGAUGAUAAGAAAUAACUUUUAUAUGAUUCGAUAUGUAUUUUAUAUAUUGAAUUGGUGUUAUGAAAUUUGGUAUUGUUUUGUAUACAUGCAUAGUGGUUGUUCGAUCUGCUUAGAAGAUAUGUACUACUCACUGAGCUGUGGUUGCUCAUCCCAUUCCUCCUUUAAUCUUUUCAGGUUCCUCAGCUAGCGGCGAAUAGAGCGAGUGCGUAGUCGGUGGGAACUUUUGGGGAGUUCUAUUUUGUUUUUGGUAUGGUUAAAGGAAGUGGUGCAAAUAAUACUUACUAGUAGUUGGAUCGUUUAAGUUUUAAACGUAUAUCUUAUUCUCUUUUGGUGGAUUAUAGAAACUCUGAUGUUGCAACCAAUUUGUUGGUUCAUCUAAUAUAUAUAUAUAUGGUUUGAGAUAUAUAUAAGUUAAUAUCAGUUUGUUGGUUGUAUUUGAGGCUGCGUCCUGUGAAAAGAAGGACGGCCGUGUCAUUCCCAUUCUUUGUGGUUUUGGGGUGUGACACUCUUCAUCCGAAUUGCGACCCCUGUCCUUGUCCUCUGCUCCUCCAUCCCUCCCCUUUCAUUCUCUGGAAUCUGUAGAUCAUCAAUUACAUGUGUCUUACGCUUUUGCCAAAAUGCCCAAAUGCUCUCAUGGCGAGGAAUUCUUUUGCCUUUUAUGGAUUGAUUUUAAUGAUAAAUAGGGUUGAGGGCCUUUCUCCUGCUAAAAAAAUCGAGCGAGUUAACUAAGUCGAGCCCCUAUGCCGCGGCCAUAUGCAACCAUGGCCGUGCGAGGCCAGCAACCCCUGUCUAUCGCGACUUCCACUGGACAUAGGUUGUGAGCUCCAUGCGGAGAAAAAAAGAGACCAAGGGAUAGCAAACAGGUCAAACUGGUGUGGAGUUAAUGUUGUCGGUGGAUUCACGCGCGAAGGUGAGGGCUUGUGAUGGCAAUGGGUGGGCGACAGUGAGCGGCGAUUCUGUAAAAAUCCUAAGCUAUAUUAAUUACUAAUUAUUCCAAUUUUUUUUUUCAUCAUAAAAAAUCGAAACUUGUCUCAGAAAUCCAAAAGUACUUUCCAUUGGAUGUUUACUUACGCACCGCUUUUCAUUAUUUUGAGUGUAAAUUUCUCUUCUAAAUUAUGUUAGGAUUAGUCUAGACAUUAAAAAAAAAACUACAAAAACAUUUGCAUGGACACUUAGUGGUUUCAUAAAGAUUAUAAUUGGUAAUCAAGAUUGUAUGGCCAUUUAGAUAAACAGCCUUCCAAGUUAGUGGUACCGCAAGGGCGCUAAUAGAAACAUUGGCGUAAACAAGUCCCCGUUCCUAGAAAUCUCUGGUUGCGUAUGAAUCGAGACAACACUCCCGUGUCUUGAUUGGUUUCCAGCCGACCUCAAUAGGCUAGUGGCGACUCCUAGAAUUACAUAAGUUGUUAAUAACUAAAAAACGAAUCCAACAUCGCGCGGGGUAUGGGCUUGGGAGAGCCCGCGCCUAAUCUAGGGCCAUUGGUCCACCUCUUUACGCAAAUACCCCUAAACCUUCUUCUUUUUCCCCGGACGGAAAAUUUGGAGGUCAUGACAGCUUGGCGACUCCACUGGGGACUUGGUUGCAAACCUUAGAAGACUUAGGCCGUAAUAACUUGGUUGGUUGUUCACUAACAUGGUCUUCAUUUGAUAGCGCGUGUCAAAGUCGCGUGGAAAACAAGGUUAGCCCGCUAACAAUGUGUUAAAUGUUUUUGUAGGUUUGGAGUAAUAAGGGGUGGAGUGUUUGUUAACCCAUCUCUUUUGUAGGGAGGCGUAGGAAUGUAUGCCGAUAUGGAUGAAAUUGAAGUGUUGUUUGGAUAUCAAUUGAUGUGCGUGCCUUUAUACUUAUCUUAGUACUACACAUUUACACACACAGCUUGCGAUCUAAAACCCCGAUCGCACUAGGAAGCCCAUAUGAGGUGCCAAAAGAUGGAACCCGUGCGGGGAAUGACCCAUGGUUAUCCACUUUUGGUCCCGCUCAUUUUGAUUAAUGAUAAAGAGAACUGUCCGACGUAAGCGCGGAGUGGGGAAAACUCUUUUGAUCUAAUCAAAAUGGGGACCUUAAGCCUUUAGAACUCCACCUUUAUGUGUCAAACCUCACAAGUUUGCAUCCGCAUGUCUAUGUGACUUAGAAAAAAAAAGGGUCUCUUCACCCACUGUAAGUAUGAUUUCUCCAUCUACUUGCUCACUUCGGAUUGAAAUUUUUAUUUAUUGGAGAUUCGCGGAAAUCAAUGGAAUGCCCUUGAAAAUAUAGGCUUGGCACUCACUUUUGAUAAAUAAGCAUUUCAAAUACCUAUGAUCUACUAAACAUAUGUUUUUGUUAAAUUUUCAAUUAUGAACUUAAAGUCACAUUUUGUAUAGAAAUUCUUCCAAAUCAAGAUUACAUUUUGGGGCAUAGAAUUAAAAUCAAAUUUUCAAUAAAACUCUUUGUUGGUCACAUUUCAAAAUUAAAAUUCAAAUCCCAUGUUGUAUAUUGAUUUUUCAAAAUAAAAAUCACCUCACCUUUGCAUGAGUGAAACCACAAAUUAAUUUUUUAAAAUCAAUGCCCCAUUUGUGUAUGAAACUUUUGGAACAAAGUGGGCAUUCAAUUGAUAGUCACGGAUCUAUCUUUUAAUGAAAUCUCCUCUUACUAAUAAAAUCUUGACGAAAUACCAAACUCUCGUAAGUGGAUACUACGGAGAAGGUAUCGUCGCCUUGAUUUCAUUGUAAGAGGCGGCUUUAUUGAAAGAUCAAUUUUUCAUUCAUAUAUUGACAUUAUCUUCCUUUCGCAGGUCAUGCGUGACAACCAUUCCUUAAAGCUAGGACGAGAAUUGUGCUUAUUAUGCUCCUCUAUGAAAGAGCUUCUUGUACUUUAUCCUUGUCAUUAUUCCUAUUAGGAAACGUGUUUUGCGUUUUGGGUUUUGAUUGUGGACCUAAUCAAAUGCCUCUGUAAAUCAUACAACUCACAUUUUCUAAUAAUGAAAUUAGAGUUCAUAAAAGUUAUACCCUUUAAAACACUUGAAGUGUUUCAAACGAACCCUCUGGGCUGAGUUUUAUGCCUUAGCUUCAAAAUGUGUGAAAAUAAGUUUCAAGAACUUGCGUAAUACUUUAUCUCUUCACUUAAUCGCUUUUGCAGGUUGAUCCGUAGAACGAUGCUUUGAGGGGGUAAGGUUGUAAUCGUUCCAAUAGGGAUUUCUUGCGCAACAACUAACUCAGUCAUCCAUUUUUGUGAAGCAGGCAAGAUGACGGUUUUGUUCAAGAUUGACAAAAGUGCGGGCCUUUCCCUAAUAGAGCGAGUCAUGAGAUGCACCAAUUCAUGCUCAUUUAUGGGCAUAGUUGGUUGAGCCAUGAACUACUUGAAUAUUUUCGCAACAUAUGAAUUCAAACAUUGUAAUUAAGUGUGAAAAGAAUCAUCAAGGCCUCGAAGAUCACAAAUCUACUGGUCUAAUGAAGUUCCACAUGCUGGACGACCUCAUAUUAAUUUGACAUUCUUCGUGGAAGAAGAAAUUUGUAGACAUUCUUUGGCAACAAACUACUUCGUUGGUUGCGAACAAGAAGCAUUUGCAAUCCCUACACUUCCAACGGUUUCUUGGCAUCCAAUCCUGUAUGGAGAUGAUUAUUGGUGGUAUGCAAGACAACACUUCGAGAUGUAGAUGUACACAAGCAAGAAUCGGUCAUCAAAUGUUGCAUUCAAAUAAAAGGUGGUAAUCGUUUCAAGUUAAAUUCGAUUUAUUUUAUGAAUGACUUGUCCUUCAACUUGGCGCAGAUUUUAGUGAGGCAAAUUACUGGCAAGCAACAAGAUUACAUGGGGAGGACAACCUGGUCCAGAAUCACACGAUCUCUAAAAGAAAAGGGUGUGUUCGUUCCAAAAGUCAGAACAACUCAUUCAUAAACUAACAUAGCCACCCAUGCUUACAGAUUGUGAAAUGGGAAAUGCAUUGAUGCAGCAAAAAUGGCGAAAAAUCACCUAGCCUAAAAGGGGUACGCGGGAAACCAAGUAAAGCAUGAAGGAUUCAAAUGAAAUGAAGAUUCAUCAAUCCAACAUAAUGAAGCUGAAAUUUUAAUUGGGGCAGAUGGCCAUAAAAUGGAUCGGGGGCAUGCAAUGCCUGAGUCACCCGACUUCUAAAAGGGGAAAAUUUCAAAUGGAAUAGACAUUUGCCAAGUGAAUCACUGUCAAUCAUGAAAGCAAAUCCCUCUUCAUAGCCAAGGAAACGAGAUGGAACGCAGUCAUCAUAUAUGCCGUAAAAGGGAGUAUACCGUUCCUAAAAUGAAUCAUGUCGAGUAUGAAAAUAACAUAUUCGUCUCUUUUUCCUUGCAGUUGAUGAAUGGGGCAAAUCACUUACAGCAGAGCAAUUUUGACCCAUGAGCAAGAUGAAACAUAGUCAAUUGAUUCAGCACGAAAAGGGAGUAUCGUUUCUAAAUUAGUCCAAUUCAAUUUUGGAAUAUAAGUACCAUGCCCUAUCUCUUGUAGGAAAAGGUGCACAUUGACCGUUGGAGCAACACCUUAUACCAAGAAGGCAUGUUAAGGCCUAACCAUCCAUUUUGAUGGAAUAAAUGGAGUAAAAUAUCCACGGAGCAAUGCCCUCACAUGUCGAAACAAUGAGUACCCCUCUCCUUUCAUCUUUGACGCCCACUUAGAAUGAGUGAAUUCGAUAACAUCUUUGAAAGGAAGACCUUCAAGGAAAUGUUAACACCUGAGGAGCAAAAGCACAUGAAGAGGAAACACAAGAUAUUUAAAGUCAGCUGCAGGAGAAGGGUAAUUCGGUAUUGUUUCCAAAAUGCCCCUCUCUAACUUCAUUAUUUGACGUAGUUCCCUUGUUUGACAGGAAUCGUCGGUAUUCGGGGAACAAGCUCGAGAAAUUGAUUUAAGCAUAAUUCAUAUCAACCAAGCAAGCAUGUGGAGCCAACACAUGACAAAGUCACCUAAGUUGGCUUAAAAUAUGUGUCGUUCUAGAGCCGGUUCAAUUAAAUAAAAAAAGAAGCGCCUUAUGGACACUACCAGCGCUUUGGCCUGGUGGUAUGGGGAAUGAAGUGGGUCUGAGAGGUACGGGGUUCGAUCCCUGGAAACAGCAACAAGGUUGCCAUGUAAAUAAUAAUAAUAAAUAAAUAAAUAAAAACUUUUGCAUCUCUUAUUUUUGCAAAAAGAGGAAAAUGCUUGAACUAAUGAGACCAAAGAUCUGAGAUUCUCUUCAAGCCUUAAAAUAGUACAUUCAUUCCGUUGUUUGCCGCCAAAUGGUGAAACUAACCAAGGGUAAUGUUGUAUCGUUUCCAAUUUUACGAUCCCUGAGGAUUCAUGUACUAACACAUUCCCUUUUGUUCUUCGUAGGGUCGCUUGACUACUAAGGCACAGGUAAGUACCCUUCUUCUCAAAAUCAAAUGGAAAAUAAAUGGGGAAUUUCCAUCACAAAAAAAGAACAUCUACUGUUUUUCUAGAAGCAAGCACAAAAAAAAAAAUGGAAAUUGAAGAAAAAAAAUUUCCACAAAGUUUGCAAAAAUCUUCUUUAUCAUUAAAUUGUUCAUCCACUUGAUGGAUCACUCAUUUCGAAUCAAAAUUCCCUAGGGAGAUUAAUCCAUCCAAAUGUUCUCAACAAAAAUGAAAGGGAUGUUACUCAUGCCAAGCAAGAAACAUUUAGAAUGAGGAAAGACAACCCAUUUCCAAACAUGUCCUUUAAACACUCUGGGAUUCGAGCGAAAAAGAAAACCUGUGUCAUUCAAGGUCAUCGAAUUCAUUCGCAAGCGGUACAUAGACCAAUAUGAUAAGAGGCAUUUCUUUCCUCUAUCAUACACACUACAGGUGACAAUAGUUAGCCCAUUUGAGCCUUUUAAUGUGAAGAAUUUUCUACAAAAUACCCCUGUCAAGAACCACCCCACGAUGGGGCAAUUAUGGAGAUUUGGGUUGACAUUAUUUGGAGAGAAAAGAUGAGAAAGGUUUCUUUACUCUCACUUGCAUAAAUCUUUUCUAUGGUAACUUCAGGUGAAUUCUUAUGGAAGCUUGAAGCAUCCCAAGGUAAAGAAGAGCAUUCUUUUCUCUACCCAAACACCGAUACCCUUUGCUUAAACCAUAUUGAGCCUAACUAUUCAUUUCUAAAACCCGAGUGGUGAUUAUCUCCCCACAUUGGGGCAGGGCACAUGAUUUACCAAUGCAAUUGGUGUUUAUAUGAGAAUAUGAAAAGCAUCUUGAAAGUCCCAAGAGCUCAAAAAGUUUGAAAGAACAAAAGUCAAGUGAAAAUUAAGGGGCAUGAAAAAGCAGUGUGCCUGGUAAAAGCAAGGCCAAUGCCCACAAAAAAGGGAGAGAGAGUGGAAGAAAAACAAUUGCAUCAAGAGGAAUAUCUCUGUGAAAGCAAAAAUGGCAAAAAAAAAUGCAUGCAUUGAAAAGAAAAUCAUUGCAAAUGCAAAAGCCAUUAUGUUAAGAUGAUUAGUCAAAGGACUUUCAAGACAAUUUGAAUUCUAAACAUUGAGUGCUUUAAAAAAUGGAUGAUAUGGUAAUGAUGCCAUGAUAAUCACCAACUCCCAAAUCCCCCUUUGACAAAAAAGUUCUAAGCCUUUUGAGCUAAGCCUUUUGAACCUUUCCCCGAAACAACAUUACAACCCAUUUCCAAAGUCUCUUCAGAUUGGGAUGAUUUGAAGUGGAAAUAAGGACUUCCUAAAGAAGAUGCCGCUCGAAGAAGUGAGAGUAAGGUUGUCUUAUCUCAUCUUAAGGUUUCUUGACUUGUAAACCUGGCGGAGAUGUCGAUCAGUGAUUAAUUCAUUUCAUAGCCAAUGAUGCUUAUCCAUUGCUAAAACCAUGACCAAACCUGCACUACGGUCCUUCUAAAAGACCUCUUUGAUUGGUCAAUGUGUACUUAUUGCGAAUGAUUCAAAGCCUUGCGCACUGGAAGAGUGAGGUUGAGUGAUCAGUUUAUUUCCCACAUGAACAGAUUGGGAUCAAAUAACCAUUUUCUUGAGGAUAUGCGAGAAGCCCUUUCUGACUAGGGAUCCUUGCUUGGCAUACUUAACAAACCUUUCUCAUAAGUCGGGGUCAUUUCGACAAGGACUUUUCUCCCAAGAGAAUUUGACGAUUAAUGGUAUCAUCCGAGCGUGAUGACAGUUUUGCGAGUUUGUCAAGUUGUCGGAAUUAGUUUGAUUUGUUUAUGCAAUCAUUGUCUUCUCAUUACCGAUACACUUUUGAUAUUGUUUCUAAUGACAUAUGUUGAAAUUGACCUCAUCUAGUAUGCUUUCGCUACUAGAACACUUGUUAUAAUGAAUACUAUUUGAUGUGCACCAUUUCAGAAUAUUCUCGAAUGACAGGUUCCUCCAGUGAAACCACACAAUUUCAAAGGGUUCAUGGGUUAGCCUUAAACCAUGCACUUUCAAGAGUUCUUGGUUACCUUUAAACCUUGCAAUUCUAAAGAGUUCAUGGGUUAGCUUUAAACCAUGCAUUUUCAAAGGGUUCUUGGUUAUCCUUAAACCAUGCAAUUUUCAAGGGUUCUUGGAUGAGCCUUAAACCAUGCAUUUUCAAAAGGUUCUUGGUUAUCCUUAAACCUGGCAAUUUCAAAGGGUUUAUGAGUUAUCCUUAAACCAUGCAUUUUCAAAGGGUUCUUGGUUAUCCUUAAACCAUGCAAUUUUCAAGGGUUCUUGGAUUAGCCUUAAACCAUGCAUUUUCAAAAGGUUCUUGGUUAUCCUUAAACCUGGCAAUUUCAAAGGGUUUAUGAGUUAUCCUUAAACCAUGCAUUUUCAAGAGGUUCUUGGUUAUCCUUAAACCAUGCAAUUUUCAAGGGUUCAUGGGUUAGCCUUAAACCAUGCACUUUCAAAAGUUCUUGGUUACCUUUAAACCUUGCAAUUCUAAAGAGUUCAUGGGUUAGCUUUAAACCAUGCAUUUUCAAGAGGUUCUUGGUUAUCCUUAAACCAAGCAAUUCUAAAGGGUUCUUGGAUUAGCCUUAAACCAUGCAUUUUCAAAAGGUUCUUGGUUAUCCUUAAACCUGGCAAUUUCAAAGGGUUUAUGAGUUAUCCUUAAACCAUGCUUUUUCAAGAGGUUCUUGGUUAUCCUUAAACCAUGCAAUUCUAAAGGGUUCUUGGAUUAGCCUUAAACCAUGCAUUUUCAAAAGGUUCUUGGUUAUCCUUAAACCUGGCAAUUUCAAAGGGUUCAUGGGUUAGCCUUAAACCAUGUAUUUUCAAGAGGUUCUUGGUUAUCCUUAAACCAUGCAAUUCUAAAGGGUUCUUGGAUUAGCCUUAAACCAUACAUUUUCAAGAGGUUCUUGGUCAUCCUAAAACCAUAUAACUUACGUGGUUAGUGGGACUGCCUUAAACCACACGGUUAGUGGGACUACCUUAAACCACACGGUUAGUGGGACUACCUUAAACCACACGGUUAGUGGAACUACCUUAAACCACACGGUUAGUGGGUUUACCUUAAACCACACGGUUAGUGGAACUGCCUUAAACCACAAGGUUAGUGGGUUUACCUUAAACCACACGGUUGGUGGGACUACCUUAAACCACACGGUUAGUGGACUGCCUUAAACCACAAGGUUAGUGGGACUGCCUUAAACCACACGGUUCGUGGGAAUGCCUUAAACCACAAGGUUAGUGGGACUGCCUUAAACCACAAGGUUAGUGGAAUUGCCUUAAACCACACGGUUUGUGGGAAUGCCUUAAACCACAAGGUUAGUGGGACUGCCUUAAACCACAAGGUUAGUGGGACUGCCUUAAACCACAUGGUUUGUGGGACUGCAUUAAACCACAAGGUUAGUGGGUUUGCCUUAAACCACACGGUUAGUGGGACUGCCUUAAACCACAAGGUUCGUGGGACUGCCUUAAACCACACGGUUAGUGGAACUGCCUUAAACCACAAGGUUCGUGGGUAUAUCCUUAAACCACACCUUUCAAAUUGUUCACAAGUACAUCCCUAGAUCACACUCUUUACAUUAAGCUUACUUGCAUUUUCAUUUUACUAUUGUAAAAAAAACAAAAAAACUAAAAAAAAAAACUAAAAAAUUAGGUGUCACAUUGUCUUUGAAAGAAAUCUCUUUGAGAUUUCUUCUAAAGAGGGGCAGCUGUUGACACCUAAAUUUUUGCCAAAAAAUAUUUCAUGUUAAAUUCUUGCAUAUAGAUUAUUUAGGCAUUUUAAUAUAGUGUUUUAAAUGGAAUAUGUUUUUACUUUAAAAGAAAAUUGAAAAAAAAAGAUUAAAAAAAAGAAAAGAAAAAAAAGUUGGGGCCAAUGAUCUAAAUGUGACUAGCCAAGCCAAGGAGGUUAGAUUGGAAUUCAAAUGGUAAGUUUGGGCCAAAAUGCAAUUUCCAAAAGUUGAGGGACCAAUUUGCAAAUUUUGCAAAAUUUGCGCCCAAGCCCGUAAAUCAUAAUCUUGGUCACCAAUUAAGUUGAAAUUGAAUUUGGGCCAACUCGAAUCAAUCAAAUUGAGCGAAAAGGACCAAAUUUGCCUUGAGUUGGGUAUUUUCGGAUAAGAAAAUGGCUAAGUUUGAGGGACUUUCUUGCAAAAUUGGGUGAGCUGGGUCAGUGGACAGGCUUGGUAGGUGGACAAAAGGCCGACCAAAAAUUCUCUAAUUGGGGGGGAUAACAUUACGGAAGGGAGGUCUUUCGAGGGAGUGGAGAGAGGAGACGAGAGGGAGAGGAGAGAGCUUGGAAUCGUCCCCCAAAGAGGCCCUCAGAAGCAACUCUAGAAAAGCAAAACCCAGAAAUUCCAGACCGACCUGAAGAGAGAAAAGUGAGAUUUUCACACACCUGUGGCCAAAAUUAGCCAAACCCUUCAACUAGAGAGUGAAAAUUCAUUCAAAGAUCUUUCCAACCAUAGGUCGCAAGUCCCAAAUGGAGAUCGGGAAGGCCUCCUAAAGCCCCCCGAAAACAGUGCCCUCCUGGCAGGCCAAGAAAGUCCGAAAUUUUUCUAAGUGUUGAGCCUGAUUGUUCAUGAGUGAGGAAAAACGAGUGCUUUUGAGAAACUUGAGAGACAAUUGAGGAAAGCCAUGACUUACAAGCCAAACGAUAAUAUAUAUAGUUUUGGUUGAUUUGAACUUCGUCAACAAGGAAGGUUUGGAAAUCUAAUUUUGGAAGUUAACGAAAACCUUCGUUGUCACCUUUUCUUCUGCAGAUCUCACUUUCAGCUCGAAGGAACCAGUUUCCACGUGCUUCCAGAGGACAAUUUCGUGGUUUCCUUGGCCAACAGUCACUUGAAAAAGGAACUAGGAAGCAAGAUUUGCAAAACGGCUCCAACCCGCAUAUUGAAGGCCGUUUUCAGUUUGAUUCUUGCGUGUUCUAGGCUGUAAUUUCUAGUCAAAUACGUUCUUUGCAUGUAGUAGUAUAUCCUUGAUACUUUACAUUCACAUGAGAUUGCUUAUGGGUUGAGAUUGAAGGCCACGAACAUGACCCGAAUAAGCCGUUUUGGAGUGAUUUGAUGCAAGCCAAGUGUUCGACAAAAUGCUCAAACUAAGCUUCGAUCUUGAAACGGUCGAUUUGAGCUUGAUUAUUGUGAUAUUCAUGUGCUGUGUUACUCCAUGUUAGCAUAGAUCGGUUUAAGGAAUUAUUUUUUUUUUUAAAAUAAUUAAAAAAAGAGAAAAAUAUGAAAAUUUCAAAAAUAUCAAAAAAUGUUAGAUAGCAUCAAAUUAGGAUAUAAAUGACAUAUAUGAAAUUUUCCUAAUUUUAAAAUGUCAUUUUCCUAAUUUAAUGCUAUUUUGGUAUUUUAUAACCAUUUUUGUAAAUAAUCCAUUUUGUGUAGAUUAAAACUAUUUAAAGUAAUUUCAUGCAUAUAGAGUAAUUUCAUGCAUAUUUGAACUCUCAUUUUGCUCAUGGGGGUCCUGUCCCGGGGUGUGAUAACAAGGCCAUGUAAUAUUAUUUGCCCGACUUGUAUCGGGUUUACCUUUUCCGCGUUUAUUUUCAAGUCAUUUCAAUUUCUUGGAUGUUUACUUACGCGCCGCUUUUCAUUAUUUUGAGUGUAAAUUUCUCUUCUAAAUUAUGUUAGGAUUAGUCUAGACAUUAAAAAAAAAAACUAAAAAAACAUUUGCAUGGACACUUAGUGGUUUCAUAAAGAUUAUAAUUGGUAAUCAAGAUUGUAUGGCCAUUUAGAUAAACAGCCUUCCAAGUUAGUGGUACCGUAAGGGCGCUAAUAGAAACAUUGGCGUAAACAAGUCCCCGUUCCUAGAAAUCUCUGGUUGCGUAUGAAUCGAGACAACACUCCCGUGUCUUGAUUGAUUUCUAGCCGACCUCAAUAGGCUAGUGGCGACUCCUAGAAUUACAUAAGUUGUUAAUAACUAAAAAACGAAUCCAACGUCGAGUGGGGUAUGGGCUUGGGAGAGCCCGCGCCUAAUCUAGGGCCAUUGGUCCACCUCUUUACGCAAAUACCCCUAAACCUUCUUCUUUUUCCCCGGACGGAAAAUUUGGAGGUCGUGACAUCUUGUUACUAAUACUAUAAGUAAACUUGAAUCAGUGACUCGCAAAUAUUAUGCGUCAUAGUUCCAUCCAAGACGGCCGUUAAAAAUCCAACAUGACCACUUGCUUGGACAUCAAUAGGCAAAUGGAGCCAAUGUAAAUUUGACGUGAUUUUAGUAUGGUCUAAAAUGACUUUAGAGAAACAAAUUGGACAUGCUUUUACCAAUGUGGAGUAUACAUCUUCUUAAUGUCACAAUUUUACGAUGGUUACUGUCAUAGAGGUGAUGCCAUAAGUGCUGAGAUACUUUCAUGCAGAUUGUAACAACUACUUUUUCGUAUACGAAAUAAUGAAGUUAACGUUCUCCUAGGUGAAGAGUGGGCAUCAACCAAUUUCAAACACAGUAAAGACAAAACAGCAAUUUAUAAGGUAUCUCAGAUAAUUCACCACAUAAUAAAUUGACAAAAUAAUGCACUUGGAAUUUAUAUAAUUUGACCUGACCUCACUAGGAAAGUUAAUUAGCAAUUCAAAGCCACUGAAACAUUUAAACCAAACCAAAACAAAACAAAGAAGAUCUGAACAAGGGUACUCGCAGAACUAUAUCACUAGUCAACAUGCAAAGUGCACGUGAGAAGAAGAUUUACAUAAACCUCUUUGUAAUUGAUAUGUAUAACAGAAUAGGAAGUACUUCUUAUCAGAAAAAAAGUACUCAAGAGAGAAGGUGUCCAUUCUUUUUUCUUGUGCAGAAAUUUAUCGAGUUUGAUCUAACAACUCCAUGAUGUGCUGAAUUUCCAAAUCUCCCGUGGUGAAUGCCUACCCGAUCAGACUGAAUUGAGGUCAUACAGCAACCCCUUUUUAAGGCAGGAAGUCCAUAUCAGACUUUCCCUUCCAUCUUGGUAGUUUGUAGAUGUAUUAUCUCUGUAAGAUGGAGAUUCUUGGUGUUUGUCCGUUAAGACUAGCAUGCGAAUCGAACAAAGUCAACCCCAAAAUCAUGCACCGCUUACCAAUUAGUCGGGGGUUCACACCAAUAGCUCUCACAAUACUAACCGAGAUACACUUCUUUCAUCACUUGAUUCGAAUCAUUUCACUGUUCCCGCCGCUCCAUGGCUUAUUGCAGCAUCAUUAUCUGGACUGCCCUUUCCAGUGAUCUAUCUUGUGCUUGUUAGACUCCUCUGGAAGAAAUCUUUGAACGGAACAGCAAAAAUAACGAUGGUAGCAACUGUGACCACACGUAGGGCAACCUCAAGUGCGUCAAUCGUUUUGCGCUUAGCACAAGUGGUCCACCUCGGCAGAAACAACAAUCACUGAGCUGCUACUGCUCCCCCUCCUCCUCGGAAGCUUCGGACGACGCUGCUGGUUCGAGGGCUUGGCCAUGGCAGUGCUAAGAACCUAUUUCGGCGGAGAUCGACCGAUCGAGGUCGUCGCUGCUCGUUCUAGAGAGAGAGAAAGAGAGAGGGGCUGAAUCAGAAUCCGAAGUGACGAUCUGAAAUAAAAAUGGGGGGAGGAGAGAGUCGGAGGGUGAUGGUGGGAUAGUCGGAGGAGAGAGUCGGUGUUGGAAACUGGUGGAAGCAGAGGAGGAUUCUUUGCGUCUUUUCGGAUUUUUGUUUUAAUUAGUUUCUCGCUUUUCCUUUUUAUCUUUUGGGGUUUGGUUUUUUCCUUUCGGUUUUUCUUUUCAUUUGUCGCAACACGCGAGUGGCGCAAAGAUUUGCCGCCAGCAAGAGAGGGAGGCAAAAUUGUAUUUUCGUUUCCCCUGCCGCAGAAUUGAGGACAGCAGCGUCAGCUCCCGCGCGAGAUGAGACUUGCGGCUCUAGGAUUAGAGGUGGUCUGACCUGCCCUUGCUGCCUGACGCAACCGACUCUCGAUGGUCUGCGAUUUUUUCCUCCGUAUAUUAAGAGAGUAGAGAGGGAAAAUUAAACGUAAUUUCCCUCCCUGAAGUUUUCGCUGUUGAAGAUUAAGUUUGAACCAAAACUACUCAAUUUACACGUACGUAUACAGGCCGGUCAUUGCUGUCUUACCGCGUGCUAUAAGCCAGGAAAUAUCUCCGUAUGAGGUAGCAAUAUAUGCAAGAUACAAGCUCGCCAAGGAUUCACUCAUCAUGUGGUUCGAAUUUGUCAACUCGGGAAAAAUAGUAUGACCAGCCUAUUGUUAAGUCAUCGCAUUUGAGGGUGGACUACAAUUUUUUCAUGUUCAUUCUUCUUUCUUUUUCAACUCAUUUCAAGUAAAUGAGUCGUGUAUGAAUUUGAUAAAAGCAUGAGAGGUGUAUAAAUCUGUUUCGUGCUUAUUAGCACGUAUGUUUGAUGAGUGACUGAUUUAUCAACACUAGCUAUAAAUGAAGGGAUUUGGGGAUUGUUCUCUACAAGAAGUUAUUGUUACACCCUUCACGCUCUUGAAUCACUCCUUGUUCUUCACUUCCGCUUGUUGUUUUGUGUACUAAUUGCUUUGUACUUUUUGAAUAACACGAUUUUUUAGAUUAAGCUUGAAUCUGAAAAUAUUUGACUCGAGAAGCUUGCCAUCGUAAUGGAGUACUCAAUUGCAAUUUCAAAUGCCUCCACUAAUAUAAAUAAACAAAUGAAUUAUAUCAAUUUUAAUUUUAGUGCAUAGUAACUAAGUAAUUGAAACGUAGAACACCCAUUUGUCCAAAAGAACAUCUCAUUCUCUUGGGCUAAAAUACAAUUGAAGGCAUCCCUAUGCGGUCUUUUUGAAUGUUUCGAUUUUAGCAAAACUUACUUCAAUGCCCUCACGCACACGACGUAAAUCACUGAAUGUGACAUUAAAAAUGCCCGCCAACAAAAUAAGAUCCCAGGGGCAAAUCAAGAAAGAUCGUGAAGAAUAUGGAGUGGAACAAAUUGCAUUUGAGGGUGAUGGUUGUUCUAACAUGCUUGUGUCACGGGCUUAUCGAUUAGGAUCGUGACCGCGUGGCGACUCGAGCACUUUAGGAUCGGAUGGAUCACCGAAGCACCUAAGCCAAGCCUUGCUCGGUCGAACGCUCACUCGCUCGCCUUACCCGGAUCGUAGAGAGAGAAAGAAUCUAGAUAGAAAAGCUCUAGAAAGAAGCUUUGCUUUAUAUUGCGGAAGUAAUGGAUGCCUACAAAUGAAAGAGGACACCCCUUUUAUAGUUGAGGGCCUCGGAUUACAUCCAUUGAUCUAGAAUUCUAUCAGCGGACGAGAUCGCACCGCCUCAACUACCGACAUAAGUGCCAAUUACCGUCUACCGACAUAAAUAACAGAACAGACUUCUGUAAUAGGACUCAAUGACGGUUUCGCCCGCCCUUGGAGACUUUGGGUAGAAGGUUCGGUGGGAAUCCGAGUGAGAGCAGGAGGUCCACGGGCGAGUUGGGGUCGACUCUGGGGAACCUCUCAGAUCGACUCUCUUUAGGCCCGUGAUAUUCUCCCCCACUCAAUCGAGCGACGUCCUUGUCGCUCUCAGCUUGAUGGGCAGCUUUGCGGGCUUUGACACGAGCUUUGUUGUUCUUGUUUCGCUUCGCUCGGACACUCAUGAACGAAGGGUCACAACCUUCGAUGAUGAAUUUGGAUUUGUCAUGCGGCUCGGUCUUCGAUUUGGACGGAGCAAGUGGCGCGCACUCGACCUCGGGGAAGAGCGCUUGGAUUGGCAUGGCGUGGGUUGGAGUAGGAUCCAACUCGACCUUUGGCUUCACCUCGGACAGCUUGUUGAUGCGCAUCACAGCCUUUAAGCUCUUGUUGAGGCGUCGGAUUGACGCGAUGGUCUUGGUGUUGACCACCCCUUUGAUCAUGGGGAUCAUCGACGGGCACUUUUGGUCGAGGAUCAUCAUGCACUUUGUCCUCAUGUCGAUCAUGGCUCCCACACUUUCGAAGAAUUGCAUGCCAAGAAUGAGAUCAUAAUCGUCAAGAGGGAUUACCUCGAACGUCAUUCUGCCCUUCCACCCGCCAAUUUUGACAUCCACGUCGGGUGUUGCUCCUACGCCAUGGAAGUCGCCCGAAUUGAUGGGCUUGUACGACUUCCCGGAUGGUUCCACGUGAAGUCCCAAGGCUUUUGCAACCUCAGUCAACAUGAACAUGUUGGAUGCGCCGGUGUCGACCAAAGCGUAAAGUGUUCGGCCGCCCACUUCGACCUCCACGAAGAACAUGUCUGUGUUUGGAGUGAUUCCUUUUCCUUUGGUUAGCGAUCGGGCUUGGAUCGAGUUUACCAUCUUCACAGCUCCAAUCCGGAUUUGUCUCCUAUCUUCUUUGGGCACCUCCUUUUCUUCCUCGAUGGCAAGGAGGGUGUUGAUGCGACCCCUCUUCGGGCACUUUUGGGUCCAAUGCAGACCUUUGCAAAUAAAGCAAGGAGAGGGUGGAGGUUGAUCGAACUUACUCGCGUAGUCCGUUUGCGGUCGACCUCUUUGGAAGUACGGCUUGGAAGACCCUUCUCCCCACAUCUUGGCUCGAUCGCCUUGAUCGGGCGCGCCUUGAGGAGUGUUUGUUCCUUCGUAGUCCGGUCGAUCCGACCUCUAAUCUCUUGCUCGGUUGUUUCUCGGCUCAACCUUGGUGAGAUCGACGAGAGACUCGGCCAUGCUAAGCGCUCGUGCAAGACUACUCACGUCCCGCCGUUUCAGCUCAAGUUGUGCCCAAGGCUUUAGUCCAUCCAUAAACGCUCCGAAAGCCUCCUCUUCGCUUAGGUUGCGAAUUUGGGGUUUGAGUUCCGUGAACUCCUUCACGUACUCUCGGAUCGCGCCUCUUUGCUCGAGGCGAUGGAGCAUGCUUCGGGCUUCUUGUUGAGCGAACUCGGGGAAGAAAUAGUCCCGGAACUCCCUCACGAAGUCGUGCCACAUGUUCAUGAGAUUGGCGCCACGUCGAAUCUCAUCGCACCUAUUGCGCCACCACAGCAUUGUCGUAUUAGACAGGAACAUGGAAGCGGUUCGUACCUUGGUUAACUCGUCUCGGAUGUUGACGGCGCCGAAGUAUUGCUCCAUGCUCCACACGAAGUUGUCUACUUCUUGGGCGGAUCGGUUGCCUUUAAACUCCUUUGGCUUCGGCACCUCAAUUUAGGGCACCGCUUGAGUAGGCACUGCACCGUUCGUGAUGCUGAGUUUGCAUAGGGCGAGCUCGGUUUUGAGCUCUUGGAUCUCCGCCUUCAUGGCUUCGACCUCAUCCCUACACGUGCUUACCUCUUCGAUUAUUUAGACGCGAUCGUUCAAACCAUCAAUCGAUGCUUCGAGAACUUCGUCCUUGUCGAACAAUGGAGCCGUGGCUUGGUUGAUGCCAGUCGUGAAGUCUUCGCGGAGCGAGCCCUCAACCUCCAUGAUCCAGUCUCGCACAUCAUCAAGACCUUCCAAGAGCUCGAGCAUAGCACUCCGGACCUUCCCGAUCUUCUCAUCGAACGUGACCGCAACAUCCACCGAGGCAUCUCUCUUCUUUGCUUUGCUGCGCGUGUCCUUGACUGGCACAGCUUCUCCAACUAUAGCCGCUUCUUGGCUUGACAUUCUCUCGAACAGUUGGUGCUCUUCAAUCUCUUGGAAACUGAUCUCUCUUUAGCUCUGAUACCACUUGUCACGGGCCCAUCGAUUAGGAUCGUGACCGCGCGGCGACUCGGGCACUUUAGUAUCGGAUGGAUCGCCGAAGCACCUAAGCCAAGCCUUACUCGGUCGAACGCUCACUCGCUCGCCUUACCCGGAUCGUAAAGAGAGAAAGAAUCUAGAGAGAAGAGCUCUGGAAAGAAGCUUUGCUUUAUAUUGCGAAAGUAGUGGAUGCCUACAAAUGAAAGAGGACACCCUUUUUAUAGUUGAUGGCCUUGGAUUACAUCCAUUGAUUUAGAAUUCUAUCGGCGGACAAGAUCGCACCGCCUCAACUACCGGCAUAAGUGCCAAUUACCGUCUACUGACAUAAAUAACAUAACAGACUUCUGUAAUAGGACUCAAUGACGGUUUCGCCCGCCCUUGGAGACUUCGGGUAGAAGGUUCGGUGGGAAUCCGAGUGAGAGCAAGAGGUCCACGGGAACCUCUCAGAUCGACUCUGGGGAACCUCUCAAAUCGACUCUCUUUAGGCCCAUGACACUUGAUUGCCACAAAUUGAGGCAAUACUCAAUUAUGAGUUUUGAUAGUUUCAAGUUUGAUAGAUCAAUCAAUGUAUGGAAGUCUUAAGACUAAAGCAUAGUUCAUCAAUAUAUUUAGAAACUUUGAUAGGAAUUUUAAAAUUACUUGCCUCAAAUUCACUGUCUGAGUCUGAUUCAGAGUCUGAGUCUGAUUGUGCCAUUAGACAUAGAUUGGCAUAUUCAUUAUCACUUUCUUCACACUCUGUGUCACUCCGGGUUUCGGCUUUGAGAGCUUUUCGAAAUUUUUCAGCUUUUCCUUUCUUCUUCUUCAGAAAAGGACAGUUGGGUCUGAUGUGUCCCUUUUUCUUACAUUCAAAGCAGACUAUGUCUUUGUUUGGUUCCUCAUCAUCAACAGACUUAGUCUGUUGUCUUUGAAAGCUUUGUUUCUUUGAGUUGAACCUUCUUCAUUUUCUAUUCAGUUUUCUGAAUCUUCUUAUCAUGAGAGCAAGCUCCUCAUCGUCCAUAUCUUCUUCAGAAUCUGUAUCAUCAGAAUCAUCAUUUGAUUUUAAUGCAAUGGAUUUCUUACCUUUUGGAUCUUCAUCUUCAUUGAUUCGUUCCAAUUCAUAAGAUUGAAGAGUUCCAAUUAGCUCGUCGACAGAUAGUGGCAUAAUUCUCUGCGUCUCUCUUAUCGAAGUCUUUAUGUGAUUCCAAUCCCUGGAGAGUCCACGCAGUAGCUUGUUUACCUUCAUGGGAUCAAAAGUUGGUUGACCUUGAUUUUCAAGACCAUUCACAAUAUCUGUAAAACGACUAAACAUGUCAGAUAUUGAUUCUCAUGGUUUCAUUCUGAAGGCUUCGUAUUGACCGAGAAGAAUGUUGAUUCUUGUUUCCUUCACUCGAUCUGUUCCUUCAUAAGUGAUAUGCAAUCUGUCCCAAACUUCUUUUGCUGUACCACAAGAAGAUAUUCUAUUAUAUUCAGUUGGUGAUAAAACACAAUAUAAUGAGUAAAUUGCUUUUGCAUCGAGUGUUUGUCUCUUGAUUAUUUCUUCCUGAAACAUUCCGCUGGUUUCUUCAGUUUCUUUUCCUCUUUCAGAGACUGAUGCAGUGGUAGGAGUAAUUCCUUUUUCUACAACGUCCCAUUCUAGAUGAUCCUUUGAUCGUAGGAAAGCUUUCAUCUUGUUCUUCCAGAUGUUGUAAUCCUUUCCAUCAAAGUAGGGUGGUCUGGUAUUGCUUUGCCCUUCCAUCAGCCCUGGUGCUAGCAUACUAGCCAUGGAUCUUUUACUAUGAAGUAAAACACUUCAAAUAAAGUAAGUACAUAGGCUCUGAUACCAAUUGAUAUUGCUAGUAUGAGUACCUAGAGGGGGGUGAAUAGGUGCAUAAACAAUUUAUAGAAAUACAGAAGCGAUUCUUAGCAUAUGAUAGAAAGUAAAUUCUCUCUUAAUUAACAAAAUGAUAUAUGAUCGAGGUAGAGAGAAUGAGGAAGAGAAAAUUGAACACAGGAUUUAUAGUGGUUCGGCUUAUUCCAAGCCUACGUCCACUCUUUCGCACUGACAGCCCACCGGCUGGAUUUCACUAUGAUCAAAAGAGAAGUUACAGCACAGCUUUGCCUUGAUUCCACAGUGUAGAUGUUCUACCACACCUCCUCAAGGUCUCUCACAAAUAUAGACUCUCUUUUGUAUACAAGUAUUCGCUCAAAUGAUUUAUCUAAACAAAUAGGAGCUUCAGACUUUGGAAUUCUUCUAUCGCGCACACCUUGAACAACUAAGACAGUCUUCCUUAUAUACUCCUUUAUGCCAUCAUACCCGUUGGCACUUACCAAAGGAAUUCCUCCAAUCUAUCCAUUGGACGAAAUCAAUUAGGAAGAUUGUUCAAGCUAUUAAAGGAACGUGUUGAUAGCCCAUCAAUCAUGUUCGCCCAUACAAUCAGGAUCUCGGUUUCCAUAAGCAGAACCUUCCAAUAAUACUUAGGCAAUCACCGGAUCUUCAAUUAUCGAGUCAAUCUUAGAUCAAUCAAAGGACUCCGUUAUGUCUUUUCCAGCCACGAGAUCUUCUCCAGUUGAUAAGGUCAAAUCCUUAACGAAAUAUACAGUUCUGGAUAACCUUUCUUCAACGGAUUAGAGACUGUCAAUGAGGAUAGACUUUGAGUCUUGAGUCUGGCUGUCCGGAGGUCUUCAGACUUUAAAUAGCAGAGUCUGCAAACCUUCAGACUAGACUGAUAGAAACGUUUUGUCAACUUCAAAAUACUUUAAGAAGAUUUCUCCAACAGCUACACUGUGAUGUAUUGAAAUACAUGCGUACGUGUCUAGCAAUGCAUCUUUGAAAGUUGUUGUGCUAUAGACAGCUACGAUGACUAAUAUGUUUGAUCGCUGUAGUUAUUAGAAUGAAGAAAAGACCUUUUAAUAUUGUCGCAAAGCUUUUACCAACGUUUAUAUCUGUGUUAUUGGAACUUUUGCUGGAUACCAUUUUCACCAUAUGAUGAUGAUGAUGAUGAUGAUAGUCGAAUCCGGAAUAGACAUUUUGAGAGGACUUCAUUUCCAACUUAAAUACCAAAGCAAUCCAUGUUUAUACAUGAAAUUGCAGAAGAAAAUAUAGGCAGUACGAUGCCGAACCCUUGAAAUGCACAAUCUACUGCAGCCCAAUGAGGCGGCAGCCAUAUGCAUCCAAUUGCAAAGGGCCACAAGAGCGACCGUACAAUCAUACGGGAAAGGAAAUCCCACUUGGAAUUGCUCUCUCCACCUGUCUUCCUCAACUUCAUAUCCUGUUGAACACAGUAGCAAUCUGUCCCCGUGAGCUUAACUGUUCAGAUGUUGAAAGGAUGUAUUCUGCACCAUGCCUUGGAGAUACAGCAAGACUGGCAUGAUGCCAGGUGAUAAGGGUAAAGAUAAAAAGUUCAUACUACUCGCCAUGCAGGUGAUGGGGGUAAAGAUAAGCGCAUCUCUCUCUCUCUCUCUCUCUCUCUCUCUCUCUCUCUCUCUCUCUCUCAAUUGUGCAAGCUUCUCUCCUCUGUUAAUUUACUACUGAUGCUGAGUUCUGCCUGCAAAGUUCUGGCAAGUUUUUUGCCAUUAUCUUCUUUGAAAUAUCAAAAAGAAAAGUGGGGUUCAGAGGUGGAAAGAAGAACAGCUUGAAGAGAAACGGAAAAGCGCAGACUUGCAACAGAAGGCAAGGAAAGCUGUUUGCUUUAAGAUGCAUGACAACCGUGCAGAUGGCCAGUGUGGUCUUCUCCACCCAAAAAACAAUUGCUUCUCGUGGCCUGAAACGGAAUUUUAUAUGAUUUGCAUCCAAAUAGAAGAAUAAUAUCGUAAUCUAAUAUCAUCUACCGCCUGCAAAGUUGCUAUUAUCUUCGUUGAAAAUUCAAAAGAAGGGGAGAGGCAGAAAGAAAAACAACAUAUGAAGAGAAACGGAAAGUGCAAACUCUCCAUAGAAGGCACAGGAAAGCAGUUCGCUUUAAGAUGCUUGAUAAACUACUAAGAAACGAUUUCAUGUGGUCUCUAAUGAAAUGUUAUAAGAUUCUACAUCAAUGAUAAUCGUACUUUGCGCUCCACUACUGCCUGCAAAGUUGCUAUUUUCUUCUUUGAAAACUCAAAAGAAGGGGCAACGUAGAAAGAAAAACCACAUCGAAGAGAAACGAACAUCAUUAACUCUCAACAGAGAGCACGACAAAGCUGCUUGCUUUAAGAUGCAUGAUGAACUACUAAUGAACAAUCAUUUCACGUGGUCUCUGAUGAUAUUUUAUAAGAUUUACAUUCGAAAUACCGGAUUGAUAUCGUACUUUAUGCUCCACUACUGCCUGAAAAGUUGCUGUUAUCCUCUUUGAAAACUUCAAAGAAGGGGGGAGAGUCAGAAAGAAAAACAACAUUGAAGAGAAACGAACAUCACCAACCCUCAACAGAAGGCACAAGAAAGCUGCCUGCUUUAAGAUGCAUGAUAAACUACUAAUAAACAAUCAUUUCACGUGGUCUCUGGUUAAAUUUAUAAGAUUUACAUCCAAAUACAGCAUCAAUAUCGUACUUUAUGCUCCACUAUUCCCUUGAAAGUUGCUAUCAUCUUCUUUGAACGCUCAAAAGAAGGGGAGAGGCAGAAAGGGAAACAACAUUGAAGGGAAACGAACAUCGCAAACUCUCAACAGAAGGCACGAGAAAGCUGUUUGCUUUAAGAUGCGUGACAACCAUGCAUAUGGUCAUUGUUGAAUUCCUACUUAAAACCAAUUAUUUCUCUUAGCCUCUGAUGAGAAUUUACAACCAUUACAGCCAAAUGGAGAAUGAUAUUUUACUUUAUGCUUCAUUACUAUAAUAUAUGUACAUAUCUAUUCAACGCAACCAAAAGAAUCAUGUUUCUCACACAUAAAUAGGACAAGUUUUUGGAGUGUCUGAAAUUUUUACAUUCAAAAUGUUAUUGUUUUGCAUCGAAAUAUUGUGACUCGACGCUGGAGAAUUGAAAUUCAAUUGUAAACCUAUCGUAUGAAUUCAAAUUCAAUCCUGAACAUUUUAAUUCAAACAAUGUUGUUUUAAACCUUUGAGUGAAAAUGUAAUCAAGUCCUCCUAGUCAAGUCUCGCCUAAAUGGCAGUCCAAUCAUUUGUCAUUGUACGUGUCCCGACUAGUGAUUUGACAUGGACAAAUUUACUCGAAACGGUGCCAUUGUUGCUCAACUCCACAAGCCGUCAACCUUGCCUAGAACCGCCCUCUCUCAAGUUGAUUUCUAUCAAUAGUCACAGCUCAGCUAGAGCUGGCACCUCCAAAUGUGGAGGCUCAGCAGUCGGUCACCAUGCCCAUCGGGCUCCUUGGCCCCUCCAUGGAAGAUGAUUGUACAAUCCUGAAAUUUUUAGCGAUGUUUGUUUUCCCUCCCUGACCCUUCCAUGCCAUGCAAGAUGAUUGUAUAACCCUUAAUUUUUUUUUUUUUGUGACGUAGAAUUUUUUGUUUAAUUUUUAAAUAAUUUUUUUCCCUUUUUUUCUUCCUUCUUCCUCCUCUAGAUGGUCAUGGGACCUCGGUGACUAGCCAGAGACGAGUUGACAAGGCCAACCUUGCCCAACCAUCGCAAGGCUCCAUCGAGAUUGGUGAGGCCACCCUUGUCGGCCCUCCUCUCUAGCCGGUCACCAGCUAUCAUCGAGGCUUGACGAGAAGAGGGAGAAUAAGAAAGGAAACGAAAAAAAAAAAAAAUGACCUUCAUUAGAAACUGUUCCUGAGGGCAAAUAAGUAAAUUCUUUCUACUUUCUGUUUUUGUUCUAAAUCUAUUUUCUGACUAUUGAUCUAUUUCGGAAAAGAAAAUUAACUAACAUUAUCAAAUAAUUUUUUUUUUCUGUUUUGGAGAAAGAAAUAACAGAAAAAUAGAGAAAUAAAAUGAUCACCAAAUAGGACCUAACUUUAUAAGUGAAUUUGUAAUUCUUCCCACUCAACCUAUGCCUAUUAUAAGUUUUCUUUUCUUUUAAUAAUUCUUCCUCUCUUCUGUCUCCUCUCUUCAUCGGUAUAAAAUGGGUAAUCAGGGAUGGGUGGCUUGUGUAGUGGAAGAGAAACCUAUUCCCAAUGGUCGACACAGCGAACUUGGGUCCAAAUUCAAAUACACCAGGGGAAGUAAACUGACCUCUUUCACCAUUAAAUCACCACGUUGAGUGUUGAUUUUAACUCCGUAAAAUCCUCUUGUUGAUUUUAACUCCAUAAAAUCCUCUAACACGUCUGCCCCUCGGGACCUUCCAGAUUAUAAAAGCAAGAGCAAAAGUCAUAUCCUAUUAUUUCCAAUCUUUAUCAACACAGAGAAACGGAUUCGUGCAUAGUUAAUAUGAAAAAACAGCUAUCCUAUACAUUGGCAUUUGAUAAAAAAGGUUGAUCAAUUUAUGGAUGACAUGCAGCGACUUGAAUUCCAUCCACACAUAGAUAACAUGCAGCCAAGGCUAUGUCAAAGCCCCAAUACAUGUAUUAGAUACUAUGCCAUCUCAAUCCACCAAGAGAAAAGGUAUGCAUUUUCGACUCCAGCAGAUGAGAUAUCCUUUGGGAUGGUAGUCUCGGAAGAUGAAUCUUGCUUCUGGUCUCCAUAAUUUGGCAGCAAUGAUGGUGAUUCCACUGGACUGGUUAGGACUACUUUUAUCUUCCUCUCCUCUAUGUAUUUACCACUUUCUUUAUCAAAUUUAAAAUUUAAAAGAAAACUUCUCAGGUUACUUGACCCAAAAGAUUAUGGAACACAAAGCAGCAAAAUCUACCAUGUAAGCAGUAAUGUCCUCUUCACCUGUAUCAAAACCUUGUCUCGACGCUGCAAGACAGGUGGAGCUACCUGCUGUGCUUACAUGGUAACGGCAUCAAACAGAAGAUAGGAUGAAGGGCCUACCCUAAUUCUUUCGAAGUAUCAGGACAUAGCUUCUGAGGCCUAUUGUGGUUUUCCUUUGUCUCAAUGUAUAUUAGGCUACUAUGGUAGGCAUUCAAAAUCUUAUUCAAAGAUGAUCCUUACUGCAAUGCGACUGACAUUGCCUUAAGCAGUUCAUGUCCUAGUAAUAAUACAGUCUUACAGACAUGUCGUGGCAAAGAAAUUGCAAAAUAAUCGUUCAGCUGAUUCAAGUACUGUGGGCAUGUCCAUCCUCACAAGUAUGUCAGUGGCUUUUUAGUAAGUAUGUGAACAUGAUGUUUCACUGACUUGAGCAGAACAAUUUCGAAUCAGAUUAUCCAUUUGGUUGAUGAUGCCUACAUUUGACCGCACACAGAAUUUCUUCUGAGACGUAGCCUUAGCCUGGAAUGUUUUGGAUAUCCAAUAUAGAUCUCAUAAUGUUUCUCCACAAUAGAGAGUUCUUAAUGCGCUGAUGUACUACUCUGAAAAUUAAAUUACAUCAAGAGAAUACAAGAUUGAAAGGAUAUUGUCCACCCGCCAUAGCCUAAAAAAUAAAACUUGAUCACGGUGAAAGCAAAGGUCCAAAGAAUAUUCACCUUGAAAGCAACAUACCGAUCAGUCUUAUUGCCUAGCGGAAUGAGCAUGAGCUUUGUUUGCUCAACUCAAUUGCAUAAACACGGAGAAGAGGCUUCAGAUGAAAGAAUUUAAAGAGAAAGGGGGCCCGACAUGAGGACAGGAUGUGAUGAAAUGGACCAUCUUACAUUUUCUUUGAUAUAAUGCAGUAAUGCAAUCUCGUCUUGUUCAUUCAUUUUCUCUACUAAUCAUUCUCUCAGUCAUUUGGUUACAACAACCAUUCACCUACUUAAUCUCCAGAAAGAAAUUUACCGCAGAAGUCAUUCUAAGAGUUUGUGGUGUGAGGGACUACGCAAAAAUGAACAAACCUGACCAAAUAUUUGAAAACGACACAAGGAAAAGAAUUUGAAAACGGGGCGACCAGUGACUGAUUCAUACAUGCCAUUGAAGCUUAUGCCUUAAGAUAUUUCCUUUACCAUUUUAUAUGAUGUUGAACCGCAAAUUCUCAAGCAAAUUAUUGUAGCACAGAGAACUAUCAUCCCCUUCACUUAUUGCCUAAUAAAACAGGUGGCAAGCAAUGCAAAUUUAACGUGGCGCCAAAAAUGAAAAUGAACCAAAUGUGCAGCACUAUAGAUACUCACAAAUUAAACUCAAGUUCAUGAGGCCGGAUCUCCAACAGCUCUUCAGCCAUGAUGACAACUAUAAAACCGAUCCACAUAAAACAACAGGUCACGUGGCAGGGUAACAACAAUCAAGCAAAAAGCUCUGCAUGAAGCUCAAUUUCAAGGUAUAAAUCUGAUCACGCGCUGUCUCUAGCAGAUUCCUCAUUUCAAACACCAAAAUUGCACAUGAUCAACAAACACUAGACAGUCAAAAAUGGCUCAGCACCCAAAUUACGAACACCAUCCAAGAGCAGUUCAGGAUUUACCAAAAAUCAGAGCACUACAUUUGGCAAUGAAAGCUUAACCAUCGGGGGAGUAUCUUACAGGUCAGAAACUUCCUUUGGCAGUGAAAUCUUAAUCUUCAAGGGAGUAUCUUACAGGUCAGAAUCUUCCUUUUGAUGGAUCCCAAUAAUGAGAAAAUCAAACUCCAGUGCAAGUUCACAACAAAGGACAUGACAAUAAUAUCAGCUAAGGGAUAUGCCAUGACUUGCACAACCCGAGAGAAAUCGCAGGAAAGACCCCAAGUCAGCAGGCCUAAAUUAUCUCUAACCACCUCUCCAAGACACAACACUAACAUAGCAUCAGCAGCAGCAGCAGCAGCAGCAGCACCAAACUCUAGUAGUCCCUGAUGACAGUUGGGUUGACUCUGACUUGGCAAUAACAACUUCGUGCCAUUUUACUCAGCAAAUGAACACAUAAUCUUCAAUACAUGUGGCACUACAAAUUCAUAAGAACCAAUGUAGCGGGAGUAGCAUUGAACCAAGAAUCCGAGAGAGCAAACAUGUUUUCCAUUAUUUGAUUUUUCAUACAAUAAAUUUAUGACUGAAUUUGCGAUUCUCUCAACUCACCUACGCUUAUUAUGAGUUUUUUCCCUCCUUCCUUUAAAAUAUAUCUUCCCCUCUUCUGUCUCCUCUCCUCAUCUGUAUAAAAUGGGCAAUCAAGGGUUGCUUGUGUAGUGGAAGGGAAACGGUCCUCCCAAUGAUCUUACUGGUGAAAGUAGACCCAAAUACAAAUCAACCAGGGGAAGAAAACUAACCUCUUUCAACUUUGUAUCACCUCACUGAGUGUUGAUUUUAACUCCUUAAAACCUCUGACACAUACAACCCUUUAGGAUGCUGGCAUCCAAAGACAAUCCUUCUGGAUUAUAAGAGUGAGAACAAAAGUCAUAUUCUAUCCUGAGUCAUAGAAGUGGAUACACGUACAGUUAAUAUGAGAAAAAAGCUAUCCUAUACACUCGCAUUUAGUUGCUAAAGGGGUUGAUCAAAUUAUGGAUGAUGCGUAGCAACUUGAUUUCCAUUUACAUAAAUAACAUGCAGCCCAGCCAAUGCUGUGGCAAAGCCCCAAUCCAUGUAUCAGAUACAAAGCCAUCUCAACCCAGAAAGACAAUAAAGUGACACAUUGAUGUUUUCUGGCAGUCAUACCCUGAGAAAAGGUGAUGCAUUUUCGACUCCAGCAGGUGAGAUAUCCUUUGGGAUGGUAGUCUCGGAAGAGGAAUCUUGCUUCCGGUCUCCAUAAUCUGGCAGCCCUGAAGGUGAUUCCACUGGACUGGUUAGGACUGCUUUUAUCUUCCUCUCAUCUAUGUAUUUACUGCUUUCUUUAUGAAAUUGAAAAUUCAAGAGAAAAUUUCUUGAGUCACUUGACCUGAAAGAUUAUGGAACAUAUAGCAGCAAAACCUACCAUGUCAGCAAUAGUGUCCUCUUCACCUGUAUCAAAAACUUGUCUCUGCACAGCAGGACAGGUGAGCUACCUGCCGUGCUUACAUGGUAACCACAUCAAACAGAAGAUGGGAUGAAAGGCCUACUCUAAUUCUUGUUGCCUAGCGGAAUCAGGCAUGAGCUUUGUUUACUUAACUCAACUGCAUAAACACAGAGAAGAGGCCUCAGAUAAAAGAACUUAACGGGGCACGACAUGAGAGCAGGAUGUGAUGAAAUGGACCAUCAUACAUUUUCUUUGAAGAUAUAAUGCAGCAACAAAAUCUCAUUUUGUGCGUUGGUUUUCUCUACUGAACAUUCUCAGUCAUUUGGUUACAGCACUCACCUACUUUAUCUCUAGAAAGAAAUUCACUCACAUGGCACUAUAAGAGUUUGUGGUGCGAAGAUAGAAACUAUGCAAAAAGAAAGAACCUGACCAAAUAUUCGAAAACAACACAAGGAAAAGAACUUGAAAAACAGGGCGACCAAUGACUGAUUCAUACUCGCCAUUGAAGCUCAUUCUUUAAGAUAUUUCUUUUACUAUUAUUUAUGAUGUUGAACCACAAAUUCUCAAGCAAAUUAUUGUAGAACAGAGGAAUAUCAUCCGCUUCACUUAUUGCCUGUAAAACAGGAGGUAAGCGAUUUGAAUGUAGCUCCAAAAUAAAAAUGAACCAAACGCACAGACUCAGAUAAACUUGCCUUCAUGAGGCUGGAUCUCCAAGAGUACUUCAGCCAUGAUGAUGACCAUAUUGCUGAUCUACAUGAAAUGGUGGAUCAUAUAGCAGGGCAACAACAAUCAAGCAAAAAGGUCUACAUAAAGCUCAAUUUCGAGUACCCAUUCAUAUAGGGUGCGUUUGGUUUGGCUUUUGGAGAAAGCCUUUGGAUAAUGCAAAGGCUCUUAGCCUAAAAACUGUUUGGUAAUUUGCAAUUUUAAAGUGACUUGGUAAGUAACAUUGGGAAAAUACUAUUUGAUAACAUAUAUUUAAAAAGUCAUUUGAUGUAAUCAAUUUUUUUAAAAUUUAUUUAAAAUUUUAAAAAAAAAAACACAACGAUGGAAACUUUUAUAUUUUCACAUUAAGAGUGAUGUAAAAGAGACAUAUUAACAAGUUCAAAAAUAAAAAAUAAAAAAAUUACAUGAGAAGUGUGAAAAAUAAUAGGGCCCUCAGAUAUACAAACAGUAAAGAAAGUAUAAUGACCAAUGGGCUAAGUUACUGAGAAUAUAAAAAUAAAAUUUAGUUGUUUCUGAUGUCAUAUGGAAAGUCUUAUCUAAAACUGGCAUAUGAUAAGAAAUGUCUCUUAUUCAGCAAUAAGACAAUUAGACAUAUCUCAGCUGCAACAUGACAGCACCAAAAGUCAUACCUUGCUCUUUUUGAAUGGACAAGUGAGCAACUCUUUGCCUUAAACGACUCCACCACAUGAACACAUUCGUGAUGGCAACCAAAAUGAGCUUUUGCUCAUGUUCAAAGCCUAAGCAUGCAAGAAAAUUAAAGAGCUCCGACUCUUGAAGAGCAAUGGACUUCUUCUGCAAACCUCAGAUUGCUGACAAAUCGAGGAUUAGCCUUAAAAAACUGUUCCUCUCAUAAACAUAAGUACAAUCACAACAUCUCAAUUCACAAGGCAGUGCAUGUAUUAAUAUACACAUCAUGGAUAUUCCAAAGAACUUACAAGAGAAGAUAACUCCUAGUAACUGCUGGGUACAAUGGAAAUGAACAUUCAAAGCCCAGGAUUAUUCCUGGGAAAAAUGGAAAAGUGGGGAACAACAGACUUUGACAUACAUCACAUGAAGUAAGAAUGAAAUAAUGAGUGAAUUUAACUGUCCCAUAGUAUUCUAUUAGCUAUGGCAGUGUCCACUGAUUCCAGUUCUUCCACGACUUUAGUCCUGGAAGGCUGCUUGUUAGGAGUCAUUCGGAGGCAUUGUAAAGCAAGUUGUGCUAACUGGAAUCCAGAAUCCAUAUAUGUAGGGUAUAGGGACAGUAUAAAUUUGGUUCCCAAUUGUGGCAGGUUGCAAUAUCAUGAGCGACCAGUUUCCUCUAAAAUAACCAGUAUUUCUUUUUUGGUUUCUGAGGAAGGGGAACAUCUGCAGAAAAUGAAAAGUUAUGUAGGCAAUGCAACUGUGGAUUCCAUGCCAAAUGAUUUAAGUAGCUAAAAGGGAAACACACCUUGUGUUUCAUAGAGGGGAUUAUAGUGAACCUCAUAUCCAGAAACUCAACCAAAGCUCUGCAUCAAUUGAAAGUAAGGUUAACAAAAGGAAAAACUUAGAAAGAAAAUGGAGUUUCAAAAGACCAGUUGCUCAUUGAACAAAAGCAAAAGUAGAUCAAUUGCAAAUGUUUACAUCUAGGUUCUAAAUCAAUCAAUAUAUUUAACCCUACCCAAGUAGCUGUUCUAAGCAAGCAAAAGAACAAAUAUUUAAUUUCAGAGACGAAAAACAAGCAAAGCAUCACAAAGGAGGGUCUAUGUGUAUAUGUAUGCAAGCAACGCUCUUUUUUCCAAGACAACCAAGGAGUAAAAUAUACCCAUUUGGAAUUUUAACAAACCAAACCCAAGAACUUCACAUUUAUCACAUUGCACCCACUGACGAUUUGAACCAACAAAACAACUAUGAAGAAGAAGACAAGCAAGCAAUACCCUCGGCAGAGGGAACUUAUAAAUCCAAUUGCCAAACAAUAAUUAGGCUGCGAAUAUAAGUAUCAUCUAGGGGCUUUUGCCCUCCUUCAUGCUCUCCAACAACGACCAAAUAAGCAUUGAACAUCGGUGACUCACUGGAAUAGAUAAAUUCAUCAUUCUUCAAAAUCCUGCAUUCCAACAGCUGCUCACUGCCAUCAUACGGCAUUACCUAUCAUAUAUCCGACCAUUAAUCACGACAUGGACUAAUCUACUCAAAACAGGCUCAAUCACGCAAAGUAUUACAAUCAGAAGCACAGAACAGAACAAUCCGUGAUGAUGGAAAUAAUGAAAUCCCAAGCAGCAUUGAGCUGCUAUCGUUCAGUUCAAUUGAGCAAGCUAAACUUGGGAAAAAAGGGUAAUAAAUCGAUAGCCACUGCAGUUUUGACAUAGAUUAGCUAGUCAAACCGAAUCACGUCCUACCCAAUCAAAGGCAACUAAAUUGCGGAUCGGGUUGAGCUGGACAUCAAUGGUAGAGAUUAGUAGUGAAAGCAAAGGUACCUUGCUGGUGGUGGUGCGGAGAGAGAGGAAGCUGUCGCAAUAGACCGUGCGCUUCAGCUUCUGCUUCAGGUGCUUCUUGAAGGUGACAUUCCAGCAAGCAUGGUCUCAAGCACAUAGCUCAUUUCAUCAAACACCAAAAUUGCACAUGAUCACCAAACACUAGGCAGGCAAAACUUAGAUGGUUCACACUCACACAAAGCAUAAUUCAGCACACUAAUUACAAACACAAUCCGAGAGCAGUUCAGGAUUGAAAAAGAAAACCAGAGCACAACAUCUGUCCAUUCCUAGAACUUGCAUUGCCAGCUCAAAAUGCAAGCAUUGAGUCCAUCACAGAGGAGUCAUACUGGAUUCCUGAAAGCUCUGACGUAUUCAUCUGUGGGAUUCUGCUGAGUCUGGAUGUUCUGUGGAAGGACAACAAGGAUGUCGAUGCCAGAUUUCUGUCUCUCAAUAUUCUGUUUGAUGUGAAGUUCGUUUUCCUAAUCAAAACUCCAGAGUUAAAGCAUAAGCUGGUAGACUUGGGUGCAAUUUCUCCCUCUCUGCCCAGCCUUGAUUGAGGAUGAGGACCCCAAUACCAAUGUGUGUGCAGAAGCUCCUUCGAUGCUCAUAGAGUUCAACUUGACUAAAAUUUCUGAGAUUCUACAACCAAAGACAGUCAGCCACUGCUUCAGAUUCUCACUUGGUGAUCUGUCCUGUGCAAAUGUGAAUGAUGGUGAGCUGCGCGUGGCUCUGGCAUCGGCUCUGGAAAUGGAUCCCAAGUUGCUUUCUCAGCUGAAAGUAGUAUGGCAUAUUGGAAACCUUUUGGAGUUUGUGCAUGAGAAAAAUAUGGAAGAUUUUCUCAAAUUUAUGCUUGGCUUGUGCAAAGCUCUUCUUUUUUUAUCACUAGGUUCUAUGAAAGGUUCCACAGACAUGGAAGAGCCAACACUACUUGAUGAAAGUUCUUCUGAGGCAGUGAGUAACAUAUGAUACAUAACUGACUUUGGUGGCAGUGCCAGUGUUUUCCGAGAAUUGAGUGGUUCUCAUGACAGAAACAGUGCCAAUAUUGCUUCUAAAUGCACAGCUCUAUUACUGAAGGCAGCCCCAAGGGAAGGUGCUCUCUUUUUCUUACCAAUCUCCUGUAAGCCAGUGCGAUUCUCGAGUCUCAGCAAAAGGGAGCUCCUUCUCUACUGGUACCAACGAAUGCUGCAUUCUCUCAGUUACUCCUGUAGGCGAUGUUUACUGCACGGAAUGACUUUUGUCAGUGUGCCUGUCAAAGAUUGCUAUGAUUGAAGGCAUCAUUGCUGAGAUAAAAUAUUCUGGUGCUGCUGCUUUAGCCAGUGCUGCCACAUUGGUAAUCUCAGAAUUGCAGUGGCUCCCUCAUUUAUGACUUCUCCAUAACAUCUGCAAAUCCCACUAAGAAGCACACCUUUCCUGAAAAAUAAACUGAACUUAAGCAUGGCAGUACAGAGUGUCUGUCUACUUCAAAGUCGCAACAAUGAGUUGAUUGUGCUUUCAAGUCCCAGGAUGAGAACCAUAGUUGUAUGACCUUCCAUCACACAUUCCAUCUAUUUGUUUACAGCAUAGCGAAUUUAUCUCCCAUGCAAAGUGAGGUUAUCAAUUUCAAAAUAUGUGUGAAGCAGCAAAUCAACAAUGAUCUCUAAUAAUUUGUUACAUAUCAAAUAAAAAUGAUGCAAUUGACAUGCAUAUAUCUCUAGGAGAAACCAUCCUAAGAAAAUGUAGCUAAAAAAGCGAAACCAAACUAGGAAAAGAACACAAUACUUGUACAUAAUUAAGAGCCCUCUGGCUGUUCGAAGGCAUCACAAUUUAAAUACCUUCAUCAGAUUUUCAGAAAAGAAUCCGCUAAAAGGUCAUUAAAAAGUGCAUGCAAAACUUCUCUGUUCAUAUCUGUGAAAGAAUUUGAUUGCCAAAAAAGGAAAACAUUGGUACUUACCUCAAUUUGUUUAAGGUUUGAACACAAGGGAACAAUUUGUGGUCGCGCAUCAAAAAGCUUCCAAGUGCAAUGUGCACUUAUUCAUCUUCUUCAUCGUCUUCUUCAUCAGAUUCGUCUUCUUCAUUGUCUUCUUCCACAGAUUUGUCUUCUUCAUCAGAUUCGUCUUCUUCAUCGUCUUCUUCCACAGAUUCGUCUUCUUCAUCGUCUUCUCCCACAAAUUUGAUUGACUCCUCCGAGCAAAGCCGAGAAAUUUCCUCCACUGCUAAUUUCCCACAACGUAAUAUUGUAACCUCUCGCACACUCUUCAAGCUUGAUAGAUCAGGCAACUUCUGUAAAGAUCCACAAUCUUUAAUCUUCAAUAUAUUCAAAGAUUGGGGUAGUUUGCCUUGAAUCUCAACCAGAUUAUGACAAUGUACUACUGAAAGAUAUGUUAUUCCGUCCAAAUUGCUAAGAUCAGGGAUCUGCAUCUGUUUAAAGCCAGAAAGCAGCAACCGAUGUCCACCACUAUAUUCAAACUCCCGAUUGCGAAAUUUUAUAAAAACAUUUUCCUUACCCACUAAGCUGAACAGAUCAGGGAACUCCAGAAACGAAUCUAAUUUAUCUAAUUUAUCGCAUCCUCUUAUUGUGAACCCCCCUUGCAGUCUCUUCAAGCUUGACAGCUCAGGCAACUUCUGUAAAGAUCCACAGUCUUCAAUGUCCAAGUGUUCCAAGGAUUGGGGUAGUUCGCCUUGAAUCUCAACCAGAUUAUGACAAGAUUCUACUCUAAGAAGUGUUAUUCCAUCCAUAUUGCUUAGAUCAGGGAUCUGCAUCUGUUUAAUGCCAGAAAGCUGCAACCGAUUUCCACUUAAAUAUUCAAACUCCUGAUUGCCAAUAUGCACAUACACAUAAACAUGUGUCUUACCCAUUAUGCUGAAUGGAUCGGGGAACUCCUGUAACGAAUCACGGGAACCAAUUGUAAGUUCAUCCAAAAACCGUGGUAGUUCGCCUUGAAUCUCAACCAGAUUACAGCACCCUGAUACUCUAAUACGCCUUAGCUUGUUUAACUUGCUUAGAUCAGGUAGCAUCGCCAGCUGUACGACGCCCCGAAGGUUCAAAUAUCGUAGGUUCUCCAAACAACCAAGGCCUUCAAUCUUUGCAACUGCAGAGCAGCAAAUGUCGAGAGACGAUAGUUUCCUCAAAUUCAAUAGAUCCAUCGAGCAAAGUGAGUCGCAACCAGAGAGAAUUAAGGAGGAUAAAUUAGAGGGAAGCCUCGGGAGGAGAGGCGGAUGAGGAGGGAGGCUGAGGUCUGUCGAUGAGGCGGUCCCCCCGAAAAAGCGCAGUUCCAGAGAUUCCAAUUUGCUUAAGUUCCCAAUCCACCGUGGUAUCCGUUUUUCCAGGAGCCCAUAAGAUUUCCCAUCACAGUUAGGUGGGCCAAAGCCCAGACGCAAUACCUUUAAGUUAGCGAGAUUUGAGAGAUUCGGAAACGUGUCCACCCUCAACUCCUCCACUACUAAUUCAAUGAGACUUUCAGGAAACCUUGGUAGGGCGUGUACUCCCGGCCAUCCCAAUAUCUCCUCAAAUGGACCCCCGUGUAAGCAAUAACCACUUAUUGCGUGGGCAUGCCUGACAUGAUUAUAACGGUCGGCGAUUUCCAUUCCCUUGACCUUCCCCAUCUUCUUCUUACAAGCAUCAUUGUUCGUUCUUUUUUCGAAACCAUUCUGCAUCUUCAUUACUUUCAAAUUCUUCAACAUUCCAAUGGAAUCGGGUACUUCUUCAAUGCUCGUGUGACUUAUGUCCAACUUAGUUAGCGAAUCCAAAUUUCCAACCGUCUCCGGAAGCCUAUGAAGAUUCCAACAAUUGCUUACAUCUAAGAAAAUUAAGCGUUUCAACUGACAAAUUGAUCCAUCAAUUUCGAUUAAUGAUUCACAGCCUGAUAGGAUCAAAUGUUCUAAAUUUGAAUGAGCUGAGAAGUUGGGGAUUCUCUUCAAGUGUCGGCAAUGGGCCAGAUUCAGAACUUUCAAAUUCUUCAACUUUCCAAUGGAAUUGGGUACUUCUUUGAUGCUCGUGUGACUUAUGUCCAACUCAGUUAGCAAAUCCCAAUUUCCAACCGUCUCCGGAAGCCUUUGAAGAUUCCAACAAUUGCUUACAUCUAAGAAAAUUAAGCGUUUCAACUGACAAAUUGAUCCAUCAAUUUCGAUUAAUGAUUCACAGCCUGAUAGGAUCAAACGUUCUAAAUUUGAAUGAACUGAGAAGUUGGGGGUUCUGUUCAAGCGUCGGCAAUGGGCUAGAUUCAGAACUUUCAAAUUCUUAAUCACCUGUGAAAGAAAAAUCAUGCAAAGUUUACUUUCGAAUUUAAUGAGAUGGAAGAAUAAGUGUUCUCUAGCAUAUAACAUACCUUCAUGUGGCUCCACCCCUUCCAAUCAUGUGUAAUUUCACUCUCAAAUAGAUCAAGGAUAGUCAAAUUCUCUACGGAGAAAUUUGCAAUCUCAAAUGUUGGGUGAAUAUUAUGCCAAGAAAGCCAGUGUAAUUCUGGAAGGAGAUUUGAAUCCAAAACAUCAGUUGGAAGAACACUUGAUGGCCCUUUGUGCUGAAGAAGCAUCUUUUCUACACAAAAAGUUUGCUCCGAGUCAUCAACUUCAAGGAACCUUAGCCUUGAUAGGCUCUUAAAGUCCUUGUAGGUAAAACGGUGCUGAUGGUCCAAGCGGAGGCGAAGAGCUUCAAUUUUUUUCUUCGUCUGCCCAAAGGAAAAUUUUUAAAAACAAGAGAGUUGAAGGGAAACACAUUUAGCCAAAUUCACUAUUUUAAAGGACUGAGUUGAGUACUACCAUUCCAUUAAUCUUAAAAAAGCAAAAAUGUCCAUAAGUAACUUGGAAAUUAAUGCGCAGGGGAUUUUACCUUAGGGCUCUUCAGCAAAUCCAACGCUUUCUCACGAUCCCACACCCUACUUUGUUUAUUUAUAUUGGUUUCUUGACAAACUAUUUGUCUUCCAAGGUCUCUAAGUUGGUCGUGCAUCCACACUUUAUUAUCCUAUUUAAUCUUUACCAAAGACAUGUUCUCCAAAACAUCCAUGGCAUAUUCCGAAUGGAAUUCAGAUUCCCAAAAAUGAACUACAAUGUCUUUAUCAUAUCCAAUUAAGAGACAAGCUAUAUCAAGGAACUUUUGCUUUUCCUUUUCUUUGUAUUCAUCAUAACUUAUUUUCAAUCUACUAUGGACAUCCUUAUGAGGAUCACUUUCCCACUUACGUAAUUCGAAAUCCCACUUUUUCUUUUCAGUAGUGCAAGAUAAAAGUGAACCCAUGAGCUCAAGAGCUAGUGGAAGACCUCCAGCAAUUUUUAUCGCCCUCUCGGAUUGGUCGAUAUACUCGUCUAAAGGAUGAUCUCUUCUAAAGGCAUGUUUGCUAAAGAGUUGAAGAGAUUGAUCGUGAUCCAUGCCCGAAAGCUCAUAACAGCUGUCCACUUUAAGAACAUCAAGAACUUCUUUGUUUCUAGUAGUAAUAAUAAUUCUGCUCCCUUUACCAAACCAAUCACACUCACCAACAAGUGCAUCGCUAUGAUUCUUUUCAUGUACAUCAUCGAGAAGGAGGGGGGCUCUUUUAUUAGACAACCAGGCUUUGAUGGUAUUAAUCCCAUCAUCAAUGUUUCUUAUAUAUGUGCAUUUGUCUUUGAGAAUGCUGGAGAUGAGCUGAUUCUGCAAGGAUUCAAUGCCCUCGCGUUCUGACAUUUCACGGAUGUUGGACAGAAAGCAACAAUCCUCAAAAUUUUCUAAAAGCUGAUUGUAGAUGAUUUUGGCAGUUGUCGUCUUCCCGAUGCCACCCAUCCCAUAGAUUCCUAUAAUCCGUGUUUCACUUGUGCGAGGACCUAUCAAUUCCAUGAUUGCAUCAACAUGGUUGUCGACAUUGACCAAGCAAUUUGAUACUACCAAAUAAGCCUUUUUCAACUCAUUGAAAACCUUCUGCAUGAUUGUUUUUGCAAACUGACCUUCUUGCCUAUUAUUCGUUGAAAGUCAAAAGGCAAUGAGUUAGAAAAUUGAGUUAAGCCAAACUAUGCUCUAACAAGACCAAAUUGAAAACUACAGACCUAUUCUAAAUGCGUUCCUCAACGAUUUAUACCAUUUUGAUAAACUAGCACUGGAACUUAGGGUAAAUGAAUGACCUGAACUAACGAAAAAUGUUGCUUGUUGGGAAUGAAAUGGGACAAAAAUUGACAUGGUGAUAUUAUUUAGCCUGAUUUUGCUGCAUAAUUUCAAUUGCAUACAAUUUCAACAAGACUAACACAAAUUUAGAAAAGAAACAAAUUUAAAUGCAUCGAGUUUAACGAUACAAGGCACAUGAGAUGGAAUGCUAAAAGUAGUCACCUGUUGGGCAUGCUUUGCAGGUCCCAUCCAUUUAUAUCCACGACUGUAGUGAGAGCAUUCUUCCACUCUGCUAUAGUCUUUUCAUCAUAUCGCUUCUUUCUUUUGUGUGAAACAAAAGCAUUUUUAAAACUCCCGGUUUGGUGUCGAACCUCCGAAGGUGUCACAUCAUAAAAAAUGGGCAUGAUCUUUUGUCCUUCAUUUUUCUGGCACUUGACCAUUUGAACUAGCUCUCUGAGACACCAUACGCUAGAGGCAUAACCUUUUGAAAAGAUAGGUAUUAAGAUCUUCGACUGAUUGAUUGCUUCAGGAAGUUCUGGGGCAAACUCUUCCCCAACACGGAGCGCGUCAUCGUCCCUAAAUGUGCGGAUUCCUGCAUUUAUAAGAUAAUUGUAAAGGAAGUCGGUAAAACCUGAUCGUGUGUCAGGCCCUCUGAAACUCAAGAAUACUUCAUAGUCAUGUCCGGAAGAUGUUGCCGUUUCCUCAACUUGUGGUGUAGUGCAAGUAUGAGUAGCCCUCUCUACGGUACCAUUCUGUGGAGCUGAAUCAUUAUCUGCACUGCCCUCCACAGCGGUCUGACCUGCUCUUUUCUUCAAGAAUCCUUUGAACAGGAUGGCAGAGAGAGCUAUGGUAGCAACCGUCACAAUACAGGGCAACAGCAAGUGCUCAAGCAUUUUGUGAGUUAGCAAAGAGAAGGUUUUUAGUUAGAAAUACAGGGGAAUGGUGGAAUAGCAGAGAUGAGAGGCGGCACUUAAAGAUCAGGAUGGAGUAACGAGGAACGGCGAGCCCGCGACGGCGAGAAAUCGCCAGAGAAAGAGUAGAGACUGAGGCGAGGGCGGCCACUGAUGCUGCGACGGAUCAGCGACGAGGCAGAGGAGGAGAAGGAUCGAGAGGAAGAGGAGAGGAAGGGGGUCGUGCGGCGAGGAGGCGGAGAAGUAUCGAGAGGAGAAGGAGAGGAAGGGGGUCGUGCAGGUGCGGCAAGCGGCGAGCGGCGAGCGGCGAGAGGAGGAGGAGAAGGGCGCGCUAGCUUUUGGGUUUUGGAAACUCAAAAAGAAUAUAAAAAGGAGGCUGAUGAGGGUGAAGUGACAGCCUGUCACGUGGGUGGGGGAGGGGAAAAAGAGUUAAAUAAAUUUGGGUUGGGGGGAAAUGGCCUGACGUGAGGAGAGGAGGGAAAAAAAAUUGAAAUAAAUUUGGGGGGGGAAUAGUCUGACGUGGGGAAGGGAGAGAAAAAAAUUGAAAUAAAUUUGGAGGCGGGGGAAAAUAUAAGAGGGAAAGAAGGGAGUGGGGGUUGGCGGUGGACCCCUCGAUUAGAUUUUUUUUUAAUCGAAAAAAUAAAUAAAUGAAAUAAAAAAAUAAUUUUGAAAAGUAAAAAUACUGAAUUUUAAAUGAUAAUAAAUUUUGAUCAUUAUAAAAGAUUAUGGAUUUAUUUAAAUAAGUUGAUUCUAAUUUCUUGUUAAUAAUCAAUUUUAUCAAUAACUUUUGUUAAAAAUAAAAACAUAUUUCUAAACAUGAAUAUGUAUUAAUUAUGAAUAUAUCUUUCAAAAUUCUAAUGAAUUGAUUUAUUAAUAUUAUUAGUGUAAAUUUAUUAUAGGCUUUUUAAUUAUUUAUUUAUUUAUGAAUUUGAAUUAAAUUAAUUAAAAAUAAAAAUAACCGUUUAAUAUACAACGUGCCUUAUCGUAUUGAAAUUCUCAAUUUUUGAGAAAUGACAUAUCGACAUGUCAUGUCGCGUGUCGAUACUAAUUAGGGAGUAAGCGCAAGAAGCCAAGGCACUUUAAAUCUCAAGGAGCAAAUGGGCAAGUGUUGGGAUUCACACUCUACAUUGUACGGUGCACACUAUUUUUCCCCCUUAUGAAUGCCUUUUGAGGAGAUAACAUUCAACUGCAAUUUCAUAAAAGGUUCUGAAGGAUUAUUCUCUACACAUCAGAAAAGGCCACCAUCUUUCAUCUGGCAUUUCCUAAACAUUGUUCACACUGCGCUAGCUUUGAGGAAGAAAAAAAAAAUAGUAGCAACAACGUUUCACGUGCUAUGAUGCAUAACAAGUUGGUCUCCAAGACCAACCAAGCACAUCCGCUUUGAUGUAAGUUGUCUCUUCUCAUAUCUUAGGAACGAAAAUUGUCCCUUUCUAAGGUUGAUUCUAGAGAUUUGGCCCUCCACUUUCCUUUUUGAGUUCAUAUUUGAUCACAUCCUUUUAUUUGAUGAGCAAAACUAAAAUACGAAUCCUACACUUCGGUGACUGUUUGAAUUCUUGCCCAAGGCUUUCAUAUUACAAAAAAAAAAAAAAUCAAUGUAUUUAAAAAAUACUUCAGCUGUGCUUGCAAACAAGUGUAAGCUGAAGUAUUAAAGUGGUGGAAUGUCAUUGGAAGGUUAAACCAACGAACAGACCAUGGCUAGCAAAGUAUCCUUCCAAAUGUCACUUCUAGAAAUAUAGACAUAGCACAAUGUAGAGUUUUCUUGUUAAAAAAAUUUGGCUCGAAUCUCAUGAACUUAAAUAAUUCCCAAAGGGUCUUACAUCUCAACAAACAACAUGAUUGCAUUUACAUUGGACACAGCACAGUGCAAAGUUUCCGGCCGGCCACCCCGGAGGAGUUGCCCUCCUCCGGGACCUUUCAUUGGAGGUUUACUAGCCUAGUAUGCUAGGAGAAGGCAGUGACCUCCCUCCAGGCAGGAUCCCAGCACUAGAAGUGCUAUGGCCGGAGAGCCCAAUGGGGACUCUAUCCUGUUUUCCUCCCCUCACUUCCCUGUAAAUGGGUUGUGGGAGGAAGCACCCUAGGAUGUCCUAUUCAGGGUGGAGCACUUUAAGGACCUGCUUAGGUCCUCACUUCUAGAAAUAUAGACAUAGCACAAUGCAGAGUUUUCUUGUUAAAAAAAUUUGGCUCGAAUCUCACGAACUUAAAUAAUUCCCAAAGGGUCUUACAUCUCAACAAACAACAUGAUUGCAUUUACAUUGGACACUGCACAGCGCAAAGUUUUUUUUUUUUUUUUUGGUUAGUGCAAAGUUUUUAUUCCCCUUAAAAUAAAAUUAAGAAAAAAGACAAAAAGACAAAAGUUUGAAUCUUUUUGAAUCUCUAUAAUAUAAAUAAUUUCUUCCCAAUGUCACUUCCAGAAAUAUGGACAUCUAGUCUCUCUAGAUUAGAUCAAAACAUUAUCCAACGCAAUUCAUUUGAUGAAUGGUUGUAGUUUGAAAUCUUACAAAGUUCUAAAAUUCCGCUGGCCAAAAAGGAGUUUUGAUAUAUGCGUUGUAAGUUUGAAUAAUCAAAUAAUAAAUUUCAAAUAUAGCUGGUAAGUGAAAAUUACAUAUGACUUUAUAUAUAUAAUAGACCAAGUGACGAUUGCAGCCAUAAGGACGUACUUAAGCUGAACUUGCACCGAGAGCAACCAUGUCUACUGAAGAGAAAAUAGCCGACCCUGAGGCGGCGAAGACGGCUGAAGUGCUGCCGCUGAAAGAGGAGGCCCUGCCUCCACCCACGAGCCCUCCCGACGAGGCAAGCUUGCUCACAGCGGACGUGGCUCUUCAAGGGUUGCUGUUUGCUUCGAUGCUAAUCGCGCUCUUGAGGACCGUUCUAAGUUUGGUUCUGGAGAUUUGGUCCUCUACUAUCCUUUUUGAGUUCAUAUUUAAAUUUUGAUGCACACCAAUACACACGCUUUUACUUGAUGGGCAAAAUUUUAAUAAUUGAGUCGAGCCCCGAUACCGCGGCCACAUCCAACCACGGCCGUGCGAGGCCAGCAACCUCCGUCUGUCGCGACUUCUAUUGGACAUAGGUUGUGAGUUCCGUGCGGAGAAAAAAAGAGACCAAAGGAUAGCAAACAAGUCAAAUCGGUGAGGAGUUAAUGUCGCCGGUGGAUUCACACAUGAAGGUGAGGGCUUGUGAUGGCAAUAUGGGUGGGUGACACGUAAAAUUCCUAAACUAUAUUAACUAUGACACUAAUUAUUCCAACUUUUUUUUUUCAUCAUAAAAAAUCGAAACUUGUAUCAGAAAUCCAAAAAGUACUCUCCAUCCAAGAUGGUCAUUAAAAAUUUAAUGUGCCUGUUUGCGUGGACAACAGUAGACAAAUGAAGCAGACAUGACUCGGGAGAAUUCCACCAAAAAGCCUAAACCUUGCCUGGUGCGACAAUGGAACCCAAUUUUUUUUUACCUGUUACUAAUACUAUAUAUAAACGUGUAUCAGUGACUCGCAAAUAUUAUGCAUCACAGUUCCAUCCAAGACGGCCGUUAAAAAUCCAAUGUGACCACUUGCUUGGACAUCGAUAGGCAAAUGGAGCCAAUGUGGAUUUGAUGUGAUUUUAGUAUGGUCUAAAGUGACUUUAGACCACUUGUCAAAGUUAUAAGUUUUUAAAAAUUAAACCUCCAUUAUAACAAGUUAUCUCUCACAAUUUUUAGGGUCCAGGAAAUGGUAUAAUUUGGAGAUGCAGUUUUUUUGAAUAAUAAAUGGGACGAAUUCAUCUCUAUUUUAACUAAAAGAGCUCCGAGCUUAAUUUGAAACUAAUAUACAAAAUAAACGAGCUUCAACUUAUUCUCCAUUUAUUUCUUAAAAAAUGAAUGAUUUGGAAAACACUUUAUAUUGUUCAUAAAAAUGAAUAAAUUAAAGAUAUUUUCAUAAUCUAUCAAAAUAUUUAGACAUAAAUUAUUAUUGAUAGUUAAAAAAUUCAUUAAUUAAUUGUUUCAAGAAAUAUAAAUGAUGAUUAUUAUUUAUUUUUCGCGAAAUAAACGGAAUGCCAACUUUAACAAAAGUGUAAUGGAAAAUAUUCUUGCUUUGCCUUUUCCUUUUUCUCUAUGUGCUCGAGACCUUACAUUCGUCCACCCUCUUUUUAGCAUUUCACUUAUGUCCUUCUUCUUUUUGGGACUAGAAAGAAUAUGAAGGGAUAUGAUUGUUCACUUUGGAUCUCUUUAUUGGCAUCAAAUAUAUGGUCUAUCGUCAUACCAAUCUGACAUCUAUCAACGACUUUUUUUGGGGUAUGGAUUCAUCAACAACGUUAGCGUGCAAACACUGGUACAAUUUUGUGCCGAAGGGUUAUACUUUUCCUAAAAGAGAAAAAGAAAAAAGAAAAAAACUGGAAUUGCCCCUCACGAUCUUCCUUCUUUGUUUGGUGAAAAAUCAUUUUUGGAAAAUGUCUUUCCUUACUUUCCAGUGUUUGAAUAACGUAAAGCUACUCGAUCCAUAAAAACCUUUACCAUGGGCUAAAAGUAAUAAAUAAGCUUAGAGAAAAAUGACUUGGCAAGAAGAAUUGUUUUCCUUGAUUUUUGUCCUAAUUUAUUUUGUUGUUAUUUUCAUGGAUUAUAGAAUAAACGGUGAUGAUAUUAUAUCCAGUUUGUUAGUCAUCACAUGUUACUUUUAACUGUACAAGCCACCCUUAAUGAAUUCACUUAUACCAAUUAUGAUCAAAUCAAUUUCUUCAACUUGUUUUCAGCACAAUCAAAAUUUUGUGUUUACUUUUUCUGAGAUUGAAUUUCCUAAAACAUUUUCCCGCAACAAAAAAAAUUCUCAGUGAGAUAAACACAACCUAAGAAUUUGUUUUCACAUGAUGUUAUUCGAUUGAAAGAAAUGGUAAGAUGGAAUUAUCAAUGAUAUGAGAAUUGGACAUCGAUUUGUUGUCAUAUGAUUAUUUGGGGUUGAAUGAGAGAAUAAUGAAUCGGUGUAGGAUUUUACAGAAUGAUCUUAGUGAAAUAUUUUUACAAUAAAAUCUCUACGUUUAUGGAAGUUUGAUUGGGAGGCACAGAGUGCCAAAUAAAUGGGUCAUUGGUGUGAUUCCUUCUUGAGCAAGCUGGUUCAUCGUGGACUCUUGCUAGUCCAAGUCUUUGUUGACUUUGACUUUGCCCUUCUAAUCCCAUGACGUUUCUGUCUUGCUUGCACCACUCCUUACGCUGUUCUAUCUUUUUUUUUUUUUUUUUUGCUCUCUUUUUUAGAGUGGUAGCUAAUGCGAUUUUAAAUCUAAUGAUAGUAUUUUGAUGCAAGGCAAAAUUAUAUGUAUACGGCACUUUUGUCAUUCAAUUAAAUUAGAUGUUAUCAACUUUUCUAUUGAUUAAUGAUAGGAUUGGCUAGAUUAUUUAAAGAUAAAAGUUCUUUGAAUAGAUGGUAUUUGUUUUGCAGGUAUUUUUCAAGUUUCUAAAUCAAUUCCGUGGCUACUAAACAUUUUGUGUUUCACAAGAGAAAGUAGCCACUUCGCAACUAAAGUUUCACGAUAUUGACUCGAUAGAAACCAAAAUAGCCAAAGUCAACUUUUUUCAACCAUUCUUUAGCCAACCAAAGUCACUUGUAAAGAGUUGGCCCUUACAAUAUCAUAAGCUUUUCACGAUCUAGAUAAUGAUCAAUUCCAUGAUGAAUAAACAAAGCAUUGCCUCCUCUUCAUUGAUCUCUUUUGAUCUUCUCUCCGAGAAAAAAGGUCAAAUUGUAUAACAGCAAAAUCAGUGCAGCACAUUGUGAAAUCUAAAUCACUUUUAGAAGCCAAAAUUACAAAUGGAGAUAUCCAUGGGUCAUUAAAAGUAGAACACAGGAUUUGUUGACUAUGCUGAGAGCUGGGGGCAGUUCGUAUUCUAAUGAUAUUGUCUUUGUAGAGUUUGCUUUCACCCUGAAACAAAACCGCACGGUGGCCAAUGCGUCUUCCUUUCUUCCAUUGAAUCAUCCGAGAGCACUGUGUCGCCAUAGAUGCCCCCGCCCUUGCCCACAAAUUAACAAGAAUGAUAGGGCACGGGGACCCACUCGUGGCUUUGCUUGAACAUAAUUGUAGUGUCGCUUUCAGGACAGGGGCGUGUCCCAAUCGGGGAAAAAGGAUCAGGUCUAUUUUGAAGAAAACGCCCUGUCUGUUUUUCUUUUUUUUUUUUGGUAAGAGGUAAGAAUAUUAUAGCUAAAGAAACAAGGAGUUACAAGGAGGCAAGACAGACAGGCGACUCCAAUCAUGCACUCAAAAUGACACAGGCGUCAUACUGAGUGGAUGGGAGGCGGGGUGGAUUCCCCAGCACAUUUGGAGUCUUCGGUUACGCGGGUUAUCCGGAACUCUUGAGAAUGUGGAGGCUCUAUCUUUGACAACUUUCCGAAGACGAUCUUUGAGAGCGGGCAGGAAUAGGCUUUGAUUCCGAAAGAUGAUGUUAUUUCGCUCCUUCCAUAUAAGGUAGCACAGGGCAGCAAAUGCAAAGCGAGCAAUGGAAUGGUGGAAGCAUGAGUCCGAGAGAUGGAUGACCAUCCACUGUAGAUUCUCUUUCCAAGGACCAUUUCGCCAACUCAAAUUACAUUUAGAAGCCCAGAAAGAGGCCAAUCUACCCGUAACUGAGCAACCAAAGUAUAAGUGGUCGAUUGAAUCUAGCCUACUUGAGCAGAACGCACAGGAACCAUCCGGGAUCCUCCCAUACGACAGAAGCAAGACCUAGGUUGGCAAUCUAUUCCGAGUGAUCAGCCAUAGAUGGGUCUGAUAACGCGGGGGAAGAGUGGAGCUCCAGACAAAUCGAGACCAGUUAACCAAAGAGCCUCUAGCUCGAAGCAUAGUCCAUGCAGAAGCAGUAGAGAACUGACCUGAAGAGUGGCCAAGCCACACCAGACGGUCAUCCUGAUUGUUGAGGCUGGGGAGAGGAUCAACCCAAGUCUGGAUAGCAACAGCUACAUUAGACGGGAUAGACAGGGCAGCAAUACCUAUAACAACAGAAGCAUUCCGAGGGAUACGAGAGCAAUAUAUGUCACGAUCCGAGAAUAACUUGUUGAAUGGGCCACGAGGGUGCCAGGUAUCAAACCAAAAAGAAGUCGAUAACCCAUUACCAAUGUUCCAGGCAAAAUACCUCUGAAUCAAUUCACGCAGGCCAAAGAGUUUCUUCCAAGACCAAGAACAAACGGUCGGUCUAGGCGCAAUCCAGAAAUUCUUGUGUUUUAAGAAGACUGAAUGUAUCCAUUUGGUCCAGAGUGAUUCCUUAUCAGAGAAAAGCAGCCAUAUAUGCUUAGUCAUGGCAGCAAUGUUACUAACUCGAAGUGAGCGAAUACCUAGUCCUCCUUCCGCUUUAGGAAGGCAGACUUCUUCCCAACAAACUCUAGCACCACCAGAACCAAGGUUCAGGCCACGCCAAAGAAAUUGGCGGAAGAUCUGCUCAAUUCGAUUAAUAACUGAGGAGGGGAGGAUAAAAACCGAAGACCAGUACACCUGAAUGGAAUGGAGAACAGAUCUAAUAAGUUGGAGUCUACCAGCAGUUGAAAGGAAACGGUUAGUCCAUGACUGAACUCUCUUCAUUAUAGCAUCCACCAGAGAUACACACUCUUCCUUGCCUAAUCUUGAGGAAAUUACGGGGAUGCCAAGGUAUCGAAAGGGCAAUGAUCCAAGGUUGAACCCCGAUGCAUUAACCAUUGUGUUGGAGAAAUCUUUCCAGAAGAUUUUGAAGCUGACAAAACAUUUCUAUCAGUCUAGUCUUGAUAUCAUUGGUUUAAAGUCUCAAGACUUUGUAAUCUCAAGACUCAAGACUCAAGACUCAAGACUCAAGAUUAUUCUCACUGACAGUCUUUCUAAUCCAGCUGCGAAGGAUAUCCAAAGCCGAAGUAUAUGGUUGGGGAUUUGAUCCAAUCCUCUGGAAUAGAUCCCUUGGUUGGAUAAUCAUUUCGGAUUCUUUUGAUUCUUAUCUAAGAUCAAUUGAAGAUCUGAUGGUCGACGAAACAUUCUUGGAAUGUUCUAUUCUUGGAAACCAAAAUCCUGAUUGUAUGGGCAAACAGGAUUGAUGGGCUAUCAUCAGAUUCCUUAAAUAGCUCGGAUGAUCUUCUUAAUUGAUUCCGUCCAACGGGUAGAUUGGAGGAAUUCCUUUGGUAAGUGCCAACGGCUAUGAUGGCAUAAAGGAGUAUAAAAGGAAGACGUUCUAGUUGUUUUAAGUGUGUGAUCGAUAGAUAAAUUCCAGAGUCUGAAGAACCUUGAUUGUUAGUCGAGACUGUUCAAGCGAAAUUGUAUACACAGAGAGUAGUUGUACUUGGUGAUACCUUGAGCGAGUGUAGUAGAUCAUCUACAUCGAGAGAUCAAGGAAGAUCAACACUGUAACAUCUCUUUGUUCAUAGUGGAAUCCAGCCAAUCGGCUGUCAGUGCAGAAGAGUGGACGUAGGCUUGAAUCAAGCUGAACCACUAUAAACCUCGUGUUUAAUUCUCUCUUUCUUUUACUCAGUCUUACGAUUGUUUUUUAAUCCUUCAUCUGUUUAAGUAUUGCGCAAACUGCAAGAAAAUUUUCAUAAACCUAUUCACCCCCCUCUAGGUAUUCGUACUAGCAUUAUCAAUUGGUAUCAGAGCUUGUGUUCUUACUUUAUUUGAAGUGUUUUACUUCAGAGUAUUGGGGAUGAGACCAAACCAGGCAGCAAAAGUGUUUACUCCAUCCAUUAGAAGGCUUAGAGACGGCAUGGUUGCUUCCGAGAAGAGCAACACAUCGUCAGCGAAGAAUAGAUGGGAUAACUUGGAGGGUUUACAACGCCAAAAGAACCGAAAUCCGGGUUUGCAGGUGCGGGCAUUAAUACUGCCAGUAAAAACUUCCAUUACAAGAGUAAAGAUAUAUGGGGACAGAGGGUCCCCCUGUCGGAUACCUCUCCCACUAGGGAAAAAACCAUGCAACUCACCGUUUAAAGCUAUAGAGAACUUGGGGGUUCUGAUGCAUGUCAUAAUUCGAUCAAUAAAUGUGGGUGGGAAGCCAAAUGCUUGGAGCGUCGACUCAAUAAAGUUCCAGUCAACUGAGUCAUAAGCUUUGGAGAAAUCAACCUUAAUAAUGUUCUUUGGAAAGUAAGGCUCAUGGUGGAAGUGAGCAAAUAAUUCUUGAGCAAGCAUGAUAUUAUCACUUAUCCUCCUCCCUUUAACAAAAGCGUUCUGGGGGGGACUAAUUAUAGAUGGGAGCAUAUAAGCUAAUUUGUUGGCUAACAGUUUCGUGAUACACUUGUAUAUAGUGUUGCAACAAGCAAUAGGACGGAAGUCAUUUACCGUGGAAGCAUUGGGGGACUUCGGGACCAAGGUUAGAAUAGUGGUGUUGAUCUCACGAAGCAGCUGGCCUGUAGAUAAGAAGUCCCGAAUUGCUAAUAGAACGGAAGGGCCUACAAUAUCCCACGAUUGCUUAAAGAAAUCAACAUUAAAUCCAUCCGAGCCAGGGGCUUUUCCAAUGGCCAAUGAAAACAAAGUAGUUUGGAUUUCUUCUUCAGUGAAUGGCUGAGAGAUGGCUUGGAUCUGAUUAUCAUCGAGCGUAGAAGCCAGAUUCGCACGAAUCUCUUCAACAGACGGAACGGCGGAGGGGGUAGCGUCUGACAGCAGAUUUUGAAAGUGAUCAACAAAGAGUUGCUGCACUUCAACUUCAUCAGUAAUUACAUUACUACCAUCAAAAAUCGAGAGAAUUCUAUUCCGGAGAUGGCCUCGCUUCACCGAAUGGUGGAAGAAACUGGUGUUUAAGUCACCUUCUUUAAGCCAUAUGACCCUUGAUUUUUGUCUGUAGAAAGAUUCUUCCUUGAGGUGAAGGUCAGAAAAGACACGGAGGUGGUCCUUUUCCGCAUCAGCUAGAGCUUGAUUAUGAGGGUCAAACUGAAUAGCGUUUUGAGCUUGCACGAGAAGACGUCUGGCGUCAGAAGUUCUAGCCAAAAUAUCAGAGUAAGCCUCCCUGUUUAAUAAUUUGAGUCUGCAUUUCAGGGACCUAAGCUUACUACAAAGGACAAACAUAGGCGUACCAGAGAUACGCAGCUCCCAGAUUUGCCGAACCAACUCAAAGAAGUUGGGGUGUGACAUCCAGAAAUUGAAGAACUUGAAGGGUUUACGCGAGCUAGGAACAGGGAGAAUCCUGACCACCAUAGGAGAGUGAUCAGACACUCCAGGGGCAAGAAAGUUGGCUUCCGAAUAGGAGAAGGCCGAGAUCCAAGCUGCAUUAGUAAGAACUCUGUCUAUCUUUCUUUGCCUUUGAUUAGGACCAGACGAAGUAGACCAAGUAAACCUGUUACCCACAAAGCGGAGAUCAUCUAGACCAAAUUGGAUGAGGCAAUCUCCAAAGUCUUCAAAGGCUGGGAUCCAGUAAUUGGAUCUAUCUGCUCUAUCAGAAGCAUACCGAAUGACAUUGAAGUCACCAGCAACAAUCCAGGGGAUGUCCAGACAAAUGGAACUAGUGGAGAUCAGAUCAUUCCAAAGCGGUCUUCUCAGGACAAAAGAAUGCUCCGCAUAGACUACCGAAAGAUUAAAAGCAACACCAGAAAUAAAACACUUCAACCGGCCAUGAAUGGCCUGAGCAGAACAAGCUGAGAUGCAAAAAGAAGCGGCCAAGGGGUUCCAACCCACCCAAAUACGACCCCUGAUGGAAUAAGAGUAAUUUGUAGACCAAGACCACCCAGGAAGAAGGGAUGCCGAAACAUGGGAAUGGGCAGCAGGGGAUAUUUUAGUCUCCAAAAUACCAAUACAACAGAGGCAGUUAGUCCUCACAAAAUUCCUAAUCUCAGCUUGUUUGAGGGCUUGUCCAAGACCCCUAAUAUUCCAAACACCAAAAAACAUAGGAAUGAGAUAAUAGGAUUACCUUCUCUUGCCACCUCGUUUCCUUGCCGAGUGUGGCAUAAGCUUCGGGCCAGCAGGAAUACUUGCCUCAGCAGAUUCAGAGCGGAGGAUUCCUUUUUGACGAACAGGGGCCUCCUGAUUAACCUUCGGAGGGGGAAAUUUAUCGCGUUCCUCCGGUAUGGACGAGGGCACCUUACAAGGUGAUACAGAUUCACCAUCAUCGGAACUGAUAUCUUCAUGAUUUUCAUCUGAAGGUGCAGACUUAUUCAAGCCAGGGGAAACCUGUCUUUGCAUCACAGUAGCGGAAUCUGGGUCAAUAGAGGUGGCAGGGAGUAGAUCAAAGGAAGGAUGAUGAUCCUCCUGCCUGGUUAACUCUGGUUGCCUAUGAAGGGCCAUUGAAAUCUGAGGCAUCGGAUCUCCAAUCUGGUUUCCUUCAGAACGGGGGGACUUGGGACGAUUCGGGACCGGAUCAUACAUCAGGCCAUCAUUUGCAGGCGUCGGGGCGUGCUUAUUGCGUUUACCACGCACUUCACGCCAUUCGUUUGGACGAGGGACAGGUGCCUUCGGGACUGAGGGACCAGGUUUAGAAGGACCUGAGGAAUUGGGGGCAGGACAUCUAUGGCCAAAUGAAGAGCAGGUUGGACAAAGUGUCGGGAUCCACUCAUAUUGGACUGUCACUGAUCUAAGCUCACCCUUCAUCAUAAACUCUAUAACUUCAGGGAAAGAGUUAGACGUAUCAACUUCUAUACAAACUCAAGCAAAAGCUACCAUUGCCAUCUGUUCUGUUCGAUUAUCAACAAAUAAGGGCUUACCAAUACCACUUGCCAGAAAACUAAUGCCAGCAGCAGACCAUAGAGCCACAGGGACGUUCCUGAGUCGAAUCCAGAUGGGGACAGUAUUAUGAGUUGAUUUCUUGAGCUCCAACAUAGGGUGCCAUUGUUGCAGGAUCAAGGGGAUUUUGGCUACUGUAAUCGGGCCUCCAUCCAAGACUUUCAUCCUGAAUUCACUAUCCGGAAUGUGAAAGAAGUAAAAACCAAGGUCAGCAGCAAUAACUUCGACCAAGUGAUGGCCCCAGGCAUUCUUGAGGGCGUCCUCUGUGAGGUGGAAGGGUAGGCGCUUCCCAAUGUAGUAACCAACCAGACAUUCCUCCCAUUUCGGGUGAGUAGAUUCGAGAAUCUCCUCCGGCAUCUGCAGAAUCUUAGAGUUCUCAAUUGUGGCCGGAGGAACAAAGGAUAAACCAUAGCCUUUGGUUGCCGAACGGGUCAGCAGCCCAGGAGCGAGCAGGAGGGGGAGUUUCCUUCACAGGGGGAAUAUGUACAUUCAGAAAUGGCUCCUCCGGCGCCUUAUUCGGGGCAUUCGGACGCCCUUUGGCCUCACGACCGUGGAGAACAGGGAUAGAUGCAGUGUCACGGCUGAAGGAGAUCUUCCUAUCCUUUCGAUUUAGACCAGCAGAGGCAUUAUCACACCCAACAGCAUUUAGCCGAGCAGGAAUACCCAGCAGAGGACGAGCCCUACGAGCCCUGCUUCGUCCCCUGCUUCGCGAACGCCCAGAGUGGGCGCGAGGUCCUCUCAGAGCCGAGGAGUAUCGCAUAACAGGGUUGCGAGUGGGUGUGGGGGAGUGAGGGUGCUCAACCGGAGCAACAACAUGGGCUUUACCCCGGUUAUCUUCCACCACCUCAGAGGAGGACACCAUUCGGAGACGGCGAACUCGGAAUUUCAAGCCCUAAAAACUCAGAUCCGAGAUUCCAGCUGAGGAAGACAUACCAGGGAAAUUCGCUCGGUAGAAGACAAGAUCAGAUGUAGAGGAAUGUUGUCUCCAAGCGUGGGCGCAAUCGGCCGGCCAGAACGGCCGGAAAUGGGAGACGCGCAGGCGAUGAACAGUGCUCGCGCAAACCCAGUCGAGAGCUUCAGCUUGAACAGUAACUUCUCCUCGUUUAAUGUUUAACUCACGCCCCAUCUGUUUUUCGUGCUCUCCAAACCUCAAAAAUACAAAGGAAGUUUGGGAAAAUAUGGCAAUUUCAAUGGGGGACGCGUGGGCUAAAAAUCCAUGAUUUCGGGGUUGCGCUGCCAACUGCGGCAUAUGGACUGGAUUACACCUCUCUUCACUUCCUAUUCUUCGAGCAGGUCUUGCCCGCUCGAGCACCGGGGCAUGUGAACCUGACUCAUGCACAUAUGGAUCAUGUGAAUUCUCCAUACGUUCCAUCUCACCCAUUGGUAUGCAUGACCCCAGAUUGAUUUAGCAUAUUCUUCCUAUUAAUUGGCUCCCGCUUCACUGCACCCGAUAUUAUCAGUCCCCUCAUGUGCAUGUGACCAUUGACAUUUGACAGGUCUACGUUCCAUCUACCAUGUGAGUCAUGUGACCACCGACAGUUGACAGGUCUACGUUCCAUCCACCAUGUGAGUCAUGUGACCAUCAAUAGUUGAUAGGUCCAUGUUCCAUCCGCCAUAAUCAUGGCCCCUUGUCCUUUUCCCUUUGCUCCUCUCCUUUCUCCCCUAUCAAUUGCAUUUUGUCUUUUUGAUGCUGCCAAAAUACCCAAAUGCUCUCUUGGCGAGGAAUUUAUUUAUCCUUUUCUUUAUGGUAUUGAUUUUAAUGAUAAAUUGGGAUGAGGGCCUUUCUCUAUUCCUCAAAAAAUCUCUCGAUAUAGAUUUGAGAGUUUAAUAAAUAUACUUUUGGGGAUUCAAUGCUCUCAUGCUUUAUUCAUGUAUAGAUUCUCUGCCCCAGUCUCAAUGAUGAUCGUAGGAGUUUUAGCAUUUCGUUGAAUUACGGAGAUUUGUUCCUCCACACAUUAUAAUUGUGUUUAUCUAACAUAGUAUGGUUGUUUUUGUACGAUGAUGGUAUAGAGGAAGCUGAAUCAAGGCACGCACCAUCAACUAACAACAUCAUAAUUAUUGAAGAAGGAAUUUUUGGCGUGUACUCAUCACUGACACAGACUCGAGAUCUGGUGAUUGGUUACCAAUUUUGUUUGACAUAUAUGUUCAUGUGGAGUGAGUUUGUGCUUAACUUUGCAAUUGCUCCAUCAAUCCUCCUUUUGUUCUGGAUUUGGCUUUGUUUUUCAGUAUUCAUGCUCUAUUUUGAUUUGCUUUGUCAUGAAAAUUAUUUACUUAUGCAUCAUUUUGAGUAAUGAAUACAAUUUUCCUUCGAUCGAGGGAAAAAAAAACUAAGUCAAGCCCCGACACCACAACAUUCAACCAUAGAUUUGUGGCUCUAGCGACCUUUGCCAGUCGCGAGUUCCAUGGACAUAGGUUUAUGAGCUUUGUGCAGAAAGAAAAAGAGAUGAAGGCAUAGAAGACAGACUUGAGCAGGUGAGGCGUUAACUCGCCGAUGGAUUGAUGCAUGAAGUUGAGGGCUAGUAAUGCAAUGGGUGGGCAGCAAAUUCGGCAACGCUGAGUGUGCAAUUUCAUAAAAAAAUCCUAACCUUUAUAUUUACCGUAAUACUAAUUAUCCAAGCUUUAUUUUUAUCAUCAAAAUCCCAAACUUAUAUGGUAACCAAAAAAUAUGUUCCAUCAAAGUUUGGUCCAAGAUAAAUGUCAAAAAUCUAACGUGGUGUCUUGGACGACGAUGAACUUAAAAAUCUGAAUAAAGCUUUUGAAAGAAAACUCGACUUAGCAACUUUUAGGGUCCAAGAAGGGAGAUAAUCCACUUGGCGGUCCUUUUUGUAAAACAAACGAGCUACAAUUUUUACUUCGAAGAAAAAGUGGGAUGGAAUACAAAUUCUAGCUUUGCUUUUUAUCCUUUUCCGCUUUGCGCUUGAGACUCACAUUCGUCCACCUUGAUUUUAGCAUUUCACUUUUGGUCUUACUCCUUAUCGGGAGAAGAAAGCAUAUGAUGGAUCUCUCUUUAUUUGGAUGAAGAGACCAAAAUAUUCAACAUGCCCAGGUUUAGAAUUUUUUUUAUCUUUCCUUUUAUUUAGUUUCUUUUCUAGGUGAACUUCGUCUAAACUCCACGACAACUCCUUCCACAUCGUUCCUUGACCUUUUCGCACGUUUCUUCCUUUGCUUCAAAUCCUUGAUCUUCCCCUCGUUGGCACUGCUCUCUGCUCACACGCCUCCAAAACCCUAACCCGAUGCCCAUGGCCAUGGUCAUUUCCGGUGAUUGACGAACUGACCUCCUCAAAGUUGCCGGGGAGUGCAUGAUCGAUGUGAACGCUCCAACACCAGCAAGACCUUCAGACUUCGAUGGGUACAGAUGUGGACUAAAUGAACCUAUUGGUAUUUGAUAAGGACGACAUGGAGGAAACACGGUGAGGCAGCCAAGGAGGAAAAAUAAAAUCCCGCAAGAUACAAAGGUGUAAAAUUGUUUGGUUCCAGAAUUCAUGGGCUCUUAAGUCUUUUCAUACAUACAUCCGAAUUUGACAAAAGCAAAAUUUAAAAUUGAAGCAAUUAAUCACGAUUGACUCUAUGAGUCAAAAAAGACUCUUGGGAAGUAUAAAAUUCAUCGAUUCGAGACCAAUGGAAGAUCAAAUUGUUUUCUGAUAGCUUUAGCUUUGAUUAAACUCCACUAAACUUUUGUUUUAGUAAAACAAACUCCAAAGGUCUCAUUGCAAUUUUUUUUUUUAAUCGGACUCCUUCCAUUUAAAUUGAAAUUGAGUGUCCUCCAUUAUAGCUCAGAAGCUCCAAGAAGAAGAGAAAAUAGGUGGGUUCCCAUUGCCUUAACUCAUCUCUUUAUAAAGGAAAAUAUAGACUUCGUAUUAGAUGUGGGCCUUAACUAUCAAAGACCUUUACUCCUUCACGAUAGAAAUAUCAAGGAAAUAAAAAGGAAAGAUCUUUUUCAAUGACUUUUGGGUAGAUCAUUGAACUUAGAAGCCAUAGGAUUGGCUGAACAUGCAGAGAGAGUUGUGGGCCAGUUUGCUACAAAAUUUGGUCAAUAAGGAUGAUUCCUUGAAGCAUCAUCCAGCUUGCCAAAGUUGACAAUUAUUUACAUUUCUUAACACAAAAAAAUCACUAGACCAUGUGAUGCAAAAAUUUUAGGAUUAGAAUCAACUUUUGCCCCCCAAAUAAAUGGCAGAUUCAUUCAAAGUCAAGUCAACAAAAGCAGACAUCAAAUUUUGACAAUUGACAAGUGUAUCAAAUUGGGGUUUUAUCCUUUGUUUGUCACAUAUGUAUUGGUUUGUGCUUUUUCCUAGUAUUAAUCAUAUUUAACGGAAACUAAUGGAGGGUAAAUUUGUCACAAUGUGCUAGUUUGGAGUUUUUGGUGAUCAAAAAAUUAAUUUGAGAUUCACGGGUAUAUAAGUUUGAGAUUUUUCGUGGUAUUAACUCUAAAAACAAUAAGAUUUAGAGAAACACAACUUGGCAAGAAGGAAUCAUUACCCUUAUUUUCUUGCUACGCUUUAAAGUGAGAAGAAUAUACUUUAUCAAUGCUCAAUUUUUCUACAUUCCCAAAGCACGAUUAAUCUAAUAUUUCACAAAUAUGAUUUCAUAAUUUCUAUCUUGAUUUCUUUGUAAUCGUUUUUAUUUCAAUGGAUUAUAGAAUUAAUGAAGAAGAUAUCAAUUCUAGUUUAUUAGUCAUUCCAUGUUACUUUUAACGAUACAAGCCGCAUCUAGUGGAUUCACUUAUUACUAAUUACGAUAAAAUCAGUUUUUUCAACUUGUUUUCACCAUAAUCAAUUUUUUCUGAUUCCCUUUCUCUGAAAUUGAAUUUCCUAAAAGCAUUUUCCCGCAGCAAAAAUCAGCGAGAUAAAGACAUCCUCAGAGUUUUUUUUAUUUAUUUGAUUUUCUAAUUUCAUAUGACAUAAUAUGAUGGGAGGAAAUUGUACGAUGAAAUUAUCAACGGAUAUGAGAAUUGGAGGGAAAUUUGUUGCCAUGUAAAUUUUGCAGGUGAUGGGAGAACGAUCAAUCAGUGUUGGAUUUUACAGAGUGAUAUGGUGACCUUUUUUUCUCUUCUUUUUGAUAAAAUCACUACAUUUAUGGAUGUCUGUCCGCAAGGGACAAAGUACCAAAUGAAUGAACCAUUGGUGUGAUUCCUUCUUGAGCAAAGCUGGUUCAUCAUGGACUGUUGGUAGCCUAAGUCUUUGUGGACUUUGACUUUGCCCUUACUGGUAGACUGUUCUUUUAUUUAUCUAUUUUCUUUGGAGAGUGGUAGGUAAUGCAAUCUUUAAUCUAACGAUUUUAUUUCGAUGCAAGACAAAAUUGUAUAUAUACUGCACUUCACAUGAUAACUAAAAAUUCUAUGUUUCACGAUGGAAAAAUAGCCACUUCACAAUUGAAGUUUCACAAUGCUAACUCAACAACAGCCAAGGUAAGUUGCAUAUACCAAAAUCAGCUUAUGUCUGUUGGAGAAAUCCUCAUGAAGAGUUUUGAAGUUGACAAGAUGUUUCUGUCAGUCUAGUCUGAAGGUCUGCAGACUCUGUUAGUUAAAGUCUGAAGACUUCCGGACAGCCAGACUCAAGACUCAAAGUCUAUCCUCAUUAACAGUCUCUGAUCCGUUGAAGAAAGGUUAUCCCGAACUGGAUGUUUUGUUUAGGAUUUAACCUUAUCAUCUGGAGAAGAUCUUGUGGCUGGAGAAGACGUAUCAGAAUCCUUUGAUUGAUCAAGAUUGAUUCAAUGAUUGAAGAUUCGAUGAUUAUCUAAAUAUUAUUGGAAGGUUUUGCUUAUGGAAACCGAGAUCCUGAUUGUAUGGGCGAACGGGAUUGAUGGGCUAUCAACACGUUCCUUUAAUAGCUCGAACGAUCUUCCUAAUUGAUUCCGUCCAACGGGUAGAUUGGAGGAAUUCCUUUGGAAAGUGCCAACGGGUAUGAUGGCAUAAAGGAGUAUAUAAGGAAGACGUUCUUAGUUGUUUAAGAGAGAGUGCGCGAUAGAAAAAUUCCAAAGUCUGAAGCUCCUAUUUGUUUAGAUAAAUCUCUUGAGCGAAUACUUGUAUACAAAAGAGAGUCUAUAUUUGUGAGAGACCUUGAGGAGGUGUGAUAGAAUAUCUACACUGUGGAAUCAAGGCAAAUCUGUGCUGUAACUUCUCUUUUGAUCAUAGUGAAAUCCAGCCGGUGGGCUGUCAGUGCGGAAGAGUGGACGUAGGCUUGGAAUAAGCCGAACCACUAUAAAUCUUGUGUUUGAUUUUCUCUUCCUUACUCUUUCUACCUCGAUCGUAUUUCAAUCUGUUAAGAAUUGCUUCCGUAUUUGAGAAAAAUUGUGUGUGCGCCUAUUCACCCCCCCUCUAGGUGUUUAUACUAGCAAUAUCAAUUGGUAUCAGAGCCUGUGUACUUACUUUAUUUGAAGUGUUUUACUUCAUAGUAAAAGAUCCAUGGCUAGUAUGAUAGCACUAGGGCUGAUGGAAGGGCAAAGCAAUACCAGACCACCUUACUUUGAUGGAAAGGAUUACAACAUCUGGAAGAACAAGAUGAAAGCUUUCCUACGAUCAAAGGAUCCUCUGGAAUGGGACGUUGUAGAAAAAGGAAUUACUCCUACCACUGCAUCAGUCUCUGAAAGAGGAAAAGAAACUGAAGAAUCCAGAGGAAUGUCUCAGGAAGAAAUAACCAAGAGACAGACACUCGAUGCAAAAGCAAUUUAUUCCUUAUAUUGUGCUUUAUCACCAACUGAAGAUAAUAGAAUAUCUUCUUGUGGUACAGCAAAAGAAGUUCGGGACAAAUUGCAUAUCACCUAUGAAGGAACAGAUCGAGUGAAGGAAACAAGAAUCAACAUUCUUCUCGGUCAAUACGAAGCUUUUAGAAUGAAACCAGGAGAAUCAAUAUCUGACAUGUUUAGUCGUUUUACAGAUAUUGUAAAUGGUCUUGAAAAUCAAGGUCAACCAACUUCUGAUCUCAUGAAGGUAAACAAGCUACUGCGUGGACUCUCCAAGGAUUGGAAUCACAUAAAGACUUCGAUAAGAGAGACAUAGAGAAUAAUGCCACUAUCUGUUGAUGAGCUGAUUGGAACUCUUCAGUCCUAUGAAGUGGAAAGGAUCAAUGAAGAUGAAGAUCCAAGAGGUAAGAAAUCCAUUGCAUUAAAAUCAAAUGAUGAUUCUGAUGUUACAGAUUCUGAAGAAGAUAUGGACGAUGAGGAGCUUGCUCUCAUGAUAAGAAGAUUCAGAAAACUAAACAGAAAAGGAAGAAGGUUCAACUCAAAGAAACAAGGCUUUCAAAGACAGCAGAUCAAGUCUGUUGAUGAUGAGGAACCAAACAAAGAUGUAGUCUGCUUUGAAUGCAAGAAAAAGGGACACAUCAGACCCAACUGUCCUCUUUUGAAGAAGAAGAAAGGAAAAGCUGAAAAAUUUCGAAAAGCUCUCAAAGCUGAAACCUGGAGUGAUACUGAGUGUGAAGAAAGUGAUAAUGAAUAUGCCAAUAUAUGUCUGAUGGCACAAUCAGACUCAGACUCUGGAUCAGACUCAGGAUCAGACUCAGACAGUGAAUUUGAGGCAAGUAAUUUUAAAAUUCCUGUCAAAUUUUCUAAAUAUAUUGAGGAACUAUGUUUUAGUCUUAAGACUUCUCUCAAAAGUAUUUCCAAACUAAAAAAGGAAAACUCAGCUCUAAAACAAAAGGAAAAUGUUUUAGCAGAAAGAGUUAAAAGUCUAGACUUGUCUGUUUCCAAUCUUAAAGAAAAUAAAGAAAAUCUUUUAAAAGAAAAUGCUUUUUUAAAAACAGACUUAUCUAAUAUAUCAAAGAAAUUUUCUAUGGGUUCUGAAAAACUUGAGAAAAUUCUUUCAGCACAAAGACCUUACUUCAAUAAGUCUGGUCUAGGUAUGACAGAAGAAACAAUUCCCUUGAUUGAUUUUCCUAAAGUAAAAGAAAGAAUUAAGAAAAGGCUUUCGAGUGAGGUUUACAAAAAUCACUUCAAGAAAGUCUUUGUAAAACCUGUAAGUAGAAAUGCUCUCAGAUGUUCUAAGUGCAACAGUCCGGAUCACUUUGAAAAAGAGUGUCCUAUGGUAUGGAAACCUAUUAAGAAAGUAUGGGCUAAUACUGUUUAUCUUACUAACACCAAAGGACCCAAGAAAAUUUGGGUACCAAAGAAAGCUUGAGACUCUUUGUUAAAUGCAGGUCUCCAUCAAGAAACAGGUAAAGUGGUAUCUUGACAGCGGAUGCUCAAGACACAUGACAGGAGACUCAAAUUGCUUUAUAAAGCUUGCUCAAGUAAAUGGUGGAAAAGUUUCAUUUGGAGGAAACAGCAAAGGAAGUAUUGUGGGAUUUGGAACCGUGAAAAUUGGAACUCUCACAAUAAGUAAUGUUUCCUUAGUUGAAGGACUCAAUUACAAUCUUCUCAGCAUUAGUCAAUUGUGUGAUACUGGUUUCAAGAUCUCCUUUCAAGAAGGAACAUGUUCCGGAAUCAGUAAAGACUCUACUCAAUCUUUUCUGGGUCGAAGACAUGGGAACAUCUAUCUUCUGGAUGUGAAAUCAAAUGAAUCACAAUGUCUGAUCUCAAUUCAAGACGAAGCAAGCUUAUGGCACAAAAAGCUUGGACAUGUCAAUAUGAAGCAAUUAGCCAAAAUCUCAUCAAAGCAGCUUGUUCGAGGUCUACCAAAAUUGCCAUACCAAAAGACUAAUUCAUGCACUCCAUGUAUUCUGGGAAAGCAGGUAAAAAAUUCUUUUAAGCCAAUAAAUCAUGUCUCUACUAAUCAUGUUCUACAGUUGCUGCAUAUGGAUCUCUUCGGACCAACCAGAACUCUAAGUAUUGGGGGUAAGAAGUAUUGCCUAGUAAUUGUUGAUGAUUACUCCCGUUUUACUUGGGUAUAUUUCCUUUUAAGUAAGUCCGAAACCUUUUCGUAUUUUGAAAAUUUUGCUAAAAAGGUUCAAAAUGAAAAAGGUUGUGUUAUCUCUAGUAUAAGAACAGAUCAUGGAGGUGAAUUUGAAAAUCAAGAUUUUACAAAGUUCUGUGAUGAAUCUGGCUGUAAGCAUAUGUUUUCCUCUCCGUAUACUCCUCAACAAAAUGGAGUUGUGGAAAGAAAGAACAGAUCUCUUCAAGAAAUGGCUAAAACUCUUUUAAUUGAAAGUAGAAUUUCUUCUCGAUUUUGGGCAGAAGCUGUUUCAACAGCUUGCUAUAUCAUCAAUAGAGUUUUCUUAAGAUCUAUUCUUCAGAAAACCCCUUAUGAGUUAUUCAAAGAAAAGAAGCCUAUUGUUUCAUACUUUCAUGUAUUUGGUUGCAAAUGUUUUAUAUUGAAAAAUGCAAAAGAUCGAGUUAGUAAGUUUGAAGAAAGAUCAGAUGAAGGUAUCUUCCUUGGAUAUUCUAUAUCAAGCAAAGCUUACAGAGUCUAUAACAAGAAAAGCCAGUCUGUAGAGGAGUCAAUGAAUGUCAAAUUUCAAGACUCAAUGCAAGAUGAAUCAAGUUAGACUCAUCAAGAAGAAUCUGAACCUACUUCAGACCCUCCAAAGUCUACAACUCAAGAAGCAUCUCAGACUCUUGAAAACCAGCAUCAGGUUGUUAAUGAAGAUCCAAAUAAAGAAAGAGAUCAUCAACCAGACAAAUCAACAAGUAACUGGAAGCAUAAGUCCAGUCAUCCCAAAGAUCUUAUAAUCGGCGAAAUAAAUGAAGGAAUUCGCACAAGAUCCAAAAGGCGAGAAGAGUCUAGUGCUGUGGCACUCGUUUCUGAAAUUGAACCAAAGGGCAUAGAAGAAGCUUUAUCUGAUGAAAGCUGGAUUGAAGCUAUGCAAGAAGAACUCAGACAGUUCAGCAUAAAUGAUGUUUGGGAAUUGACAUCCAAACCAAAAGGAAAAACUGUUAUUGGAGCCAAAUGGGUGUUCAGAAACAAAAUGAACGAGAAAGGAAAAGUCGUACGAAAUAAAGCAAGACUUGUGGCCAAAGGAUAUACGCAAGAAGAGGGAAUAGACUAUGAUGAGACUUACGCUCCAGUGGCAAGGUUAGAAGCUAUUCGACUAUUACUUGCGUUUGCUUGUUAUAAGAAUUUCAGGUUAUUCCAAAUGGACGUCAAAAGCGCCUUCCUAAAUGGAUUUAUCCAUGAGGAAGUUUAUGUGGAACAACCGCCAGGGUUUGAAGACCCAAAGAAGCCAGACUCAGUCUUCAGACUGAAAAAGGCUUUGUAUGGUUUAAAGCAAGCACCUCGGGCUUGGUACGACAGGUUAAGUAAUUUCUUAUUACAAAAUAGUUUUGUCAAAGGUAAAAUAGAUACGACUUUAUUUAUCAAGAAGGAAAAUAAAAGUUUCUUACUUGUUCAAAUAUAUGUGGAUGAUAUUAUUUUUGGAUCCUCCAAUGAAAGUCUGUGGUAGAAAUUUUCAAAGUCUAUGCAGGAUGAGUUUGAAAUGAGUAUGAUGGGAGAAUUAACAUUCUUUCUUGGUCUUCAAAUAAAACAAUUGAAGGAAGGAACUUUCAUUUUUCAAGAAAAAUAUGUUAAUGAUCUUGUCAAAAGGUUUGGACUGGAGAAUUGCAAAAAGACCGACAUACCAAUGUCAAGUUCUUUAAAGAUAGACAAAGAUGAAGAAGGGAAGAAAGUUGAUCAAAAGCUGUACAGGAGUAUUAUUGGAUCACUUCUUUAUCUUACUGCCUCUAGACCUGAUAUUUUGUUGAGUGUUUGCAUCUGUGCUAGGUUUCAAUCAGAUCCUAGAGAAUCCCAUCUCAGUGCUGCCAAACGCAUCAUAAAAUACGUUGCUUCAUCAUCAAGCAUCGGUCUUUGGUAUCCUAAGAAGGGAGACUUUAAACUUCUGGGAUAUUCAGACGCAGAUCUAACCGGUUGCAGAGUUGAUAGAAAGAGCACUUCAGGAACUUGCUAGUUGCUUGGAAGCAGAACAGUGUCUUGGUUUUCAAGGAAACAAAGUAUUGUGUCUCUUUCAACAACAGAAGCAGAGUAUGUAGCUCUUGGAAGCUGCUGUUCACAAAUUCUAUGGAUAAAACAACAGCUAAGAGAUUUUGAAAUCGAAGACUCAUGCACAGAGAUUAAUUGCGACAACACCAGCGCUAUCAACCUCACCAAAAAUCCAAUUCUCCACUCAAGAGCGAAGCAUAUAGAAAUUCGACAUCAUUUUAUUAGAGAUCAUGUUCAAAAUGGAGAUGUUUCAAUUCAAUUUGUUGACUCAAAGAAUCAGCUGGCUGAUAUUCUCACGAAGCCUUUGGAGAAAAAUCAAUUUGAGUCUAUACGGACCAGACUCAAUAUUUUGAGGUAUGAGGAUAUCAAAGUCUAAAGACUUUCAAACUCAGGCUUACAAGACUUUAUCAACAGUCUUGUCUCGACCUUCAGACUGUAAGUCUUUCUCUAUCCAAUCUUAUCUUGAAAAGGUACGAUCAUCAGACUGUGUUUAAAUUGUUGCCGUAAAUAUUACAUCGAUUCAUUUUCAAAAGGGAAGUUAUUUUUGAAAUAGCUAUUUUUACGGAUAAAAUCAGUUAUUUUGAAAAGGCAUAUUUUUAUUUCCUUUGUGACGAUUCGUUUUCUCUUCUUUUUAACCGAACGAGCACUAUCGAUUACUCUCUCUCAAAAACCCUAGAAAGCAUCGAUCUUCCAUUCCCGUUUGUCUACUUCUCUAAAUCUUCAAAAAGUUAUCAUCUUUUCUGGGAAAGUCAAGCUAGGAAACUUCCAAACACUGUUAAAGAUGUCUUCUUCACGAAAGUCGUCAAGAAUCGCAAGCAGUGGACCAUAGAGAAUGAGUAAGGGGCCUACGCACUUCGAUCUUACUGAAGAUGAAGUUUCUCCAGAUCAGCAACCGAGCCCACAACAUUCUCAGCAGCGUCAUUCUACAUCAUCUAGUCAUCAAGGCAUUGUUCAUCAGGAAGAAAUCAUCGAGGAAGCAGACCUCGUAAGAGUUCAAAAGCCUGCUUUUAUCUACAAGCUAUAUCGUGCUUUAAAAGGAAUUCGUACUCCCUUAAACUAUGUUGAUAGUUUUGUUAAAGAAAAAGGAUAUAGGAACGAAUAUAUCUUUCUGAAAAGAAUGGAAAGUUUGGGAAUCGCUCGUAAAGGGGUGGCUGAGGAAACCCUUGCGAAUAUCCCAAGUGAUCCUUGUGACUGGGGGCCAAAUCCUGUAGAUGGGAAUGAUGAUGACAAUCUGUUCAGUCUAUUUCAACCGAAAAUGGGUAUUGCGGCUGAAAUUCAAGGAAAAAGGGGAGAUUUGUUCAGAUCAAAGGAACAAAAGGAUCUGUACUCGAAAUUGCUGAAGCGUGGGGUAAUAAACCCUAGGAGUGUGGACUUUGAUUUUAUGGAUGCUGUGAAAGUGAACUUGAGGGAAAAGUUCAGUUAUCUUCAACUUGAAAAGUUUUGUUCUGACUCAACUGAGGCUUAUGCUAAAUUGACUGCUUACUUCUAUUCAAAUCUUAGCUUUUAGAUGCGAAUAGAUUUUCCUUCAGUGUCAAAGAACAAGACUAUGUUGUGGAUAUGGAUAUGCUGGCAGAUGUGUUAGAAGUUGAGAGAGGCAGAUAUCAACCGAUUAAAGUUUCCAUUGCUCGGGCCACACUUGAAUUGGUGAAGGACAGGAGAAUAGAAGAGAAUCACCUACUCAAGGAUGAAUGCAUUCAACAUCUUGCUUCACAAGACUGUGAUUAAUUGCCUUCGGCCGAAAUCAACUUCCAAAACUGAUGUUUCAAGCUCUAAGGCAAAAUUGAUGUAUGCCAUCCUCUGUGGAAAGAAGUUUUCUCUUCCUCAUACUGUCAUGUUUCACAUGUAUAGAGCAGUGAUGAAGGACAGAGGUCAACUCCCUUACCCAAGCCUUGUUACGAAGUUAUUCAGACAUCUGAAUAUUCAGCCUCCGCAAAUCUUUUGUGUUCGAUCAUGCGAUCAUAUGGUGGUAGGACUGAAAAUGGUGACCAAAAUGCGUCUGAAGGAACUGAGCAAGGAAUUGGAGAAAUUCAAGGAGAAGACUCCUGCCAAGUCUCAUCAACUCUCUUCUGCUACUAAGAGAAAAGGGAAGGAGCCCAUGGCUGCUCCCUCAAAGAAAAGAAGAGCUCUCCUCGUUGAGGAUGAAGAUGAUGACGAUGACAUCACCAUCUCUGCAAUGGCUUUGAAGAACUUAAGUCGUUCUGUUCCACAGAAAGAAUCGGAACAAAAGACGAAAGAAGCAGAGGAGAAGGAAGAAGAAGAGAGAGAAGCAAAGGAGAAGGAAGACGAAGAAAGAGAAACAGAGCAAGAAGCAGAGGAAAAAAAGACCCGAAGAAGAAAGAAGAGAAUGAGAACCUGAGGAAAUCUCUUCUCCACCUGUAGGCAUGAAAACAGGGGGAGUUCAGGAGAAAGGAGUGACAUCUUCAUUUCCAGAUGAAAGUGAAGGAGUCAGUCGUUCGCCUGCAGACCCAGAAGAUGUUUAUGCAUCUCAAUUUCCAGAGGAAGGUCAUGAAGCUUCAUCACCCAACCUGCGAGAUUAUGCUGAUCCACCAUCGUCUGCUUUUACUCCAUCAGAACGAGCAGAAGCAAGUACUCAGACUGAUAAUGGAGCAGAUUUUCGCAUAAUCAUGGAUAUUCUCUUGGAGAUGAAAGGUCAGAUUUAUGCAUUGGGAUGCGAAGUUCAAAGCUUGAAGAAUGAAGGUUAAGCUUCUUCCUGUUCAUUAAAUGAAAAGAUGCAAGCCCUCUCUAUUCAAAAUCAGGCAAAUGCCAAGAGUGAGGAGGUUGUACAGCUAAAGGAAGACUUUAAGAGGCUGGAAGGCAUUGUUCAGUCUAUGGAAGAUUUCCAGCUUGUCCGCGUUCCCAAGCAAUCUUGAUUUCAUCUCAUCCUUUUUAAAUGAUGACAAAAAGGGGGAGAGAUGCAUGAUUUGAAAACUUUCAAUCUUUUUAACUGUUUGUUGGAUUGUGUUUAACUGUCUGUUUGUUUUUGACAGACUUUGACUUUGUUUUGUGUCUGGAUAAGAACUGCCUAGACUUAGAUUUGACUGCUUCUAUUUAUCAAUAUUGAUAUCUUAUGAAUGGCUUAAUCAUAUAUUGGACUAACCUAUUUUCUGUGGUUGCAGAUUCUAGUGUUAUUCUAUUAGCCAUUUAUUUCUAUAAGAUAUGCAUAUGUGGUUGAGGAAUGUUUUGCAGGUCAAAGUUAUCCAAAUCUGCAGGAAGGUUUUGUCACCAUCAAAAAGGGGGAGAUUGUUGGAGAAAUCCUCAUGAAGAGUUUUGAAGUUGACAAAAUGUUUCCGUCAGUCUAGUCUGAAGGUCUGCAGACUCUGUUAGUUAAAGUCUGAAGACUUCCGGACAGCCAGACUCAAGACUCAAAGUCUAUCCUCAUUGACAGUCUCUGAUCCGUUGAAGAAAGGUUAUCCCGAACUGGAUGUUUUGUUCAGGAUUUAACCUUAUCAUCUGGAGAAGAUCUCGUGGCUGGAGAAGACGUAUCAGAAUCCUUUGAUUGAUCAAGAUUGAUUCAAUGAUUGAAGAUUCGAUGAUUAUCUAAAUAUUAUUGGAAGGUUUUGCUUAUGGAAACCGAGAUCCUGAUUGUAUGGGCGAACAUGAUUGAUGGGUUAUCAACACGUUCCUUUAAUAGCUCGAACGAUCUUCCUAAUUGAUUCUGUCCAACGGGUAGAUUGGAGGAAUUCCUUUGGAAAGUGCCAACGGGUAUGAUGGCAUAAAGGAGUAUAUAAGGAAGACGUUCUUAGUUGUUUAAGAGAGAGUGCGCGAUAGAAAAAUUCCAAAGUCUGAAGCUCCUAUUUGUUUAGAUAAAUCUCUUGAGCGAAUACUUGUAUACAAAAUAGAGUCUAUAUUUGUGAGAGACCUUGAGGAGGUGUCAAAGCUGGUUCAUCAUGGACUGUUGUCAGUCCAAGUCUUCGUAGACUAACUUUGCCCUUCUAAUGCCAUGAUAUUUCAGUUCUCUCGCAACCCCUCAUAUGCUGUUCUGUCUUAUUUUUUUUUUCUCUCUUUUUGAGAGUGGUAGCCAAUGUUAAUGGCACGGUAAAACGAGGCACAGGGAGCUUAGGUUUUAGAUUGUUGGCAUUCAUAUCAAUAUCACAUCAAACAAUCUCAUACAAUUCAUAAUCUAAUGAUUGUAUUUCAGUGCAACGGUUUUUGCAUGUAUGCAGCACUUUCGUACUUUCCAUUUAGUUAAAUUAGAUGGUAUCAACGUUUUUAUUGAUUGAUGAUAUAAUUAGCUAGACUAUUUAAAAAUCAAAGUAUUUCUAAAUAGAUAGUGUUUGUUUGCAAGUAUUUUUUUCUUUUUAUUUUCUAAAUCAAUUUUGUGGUAAUUAAACAUUCCACAUUUCACAAUAGAAAACAAAAUCUCGCUAGAUCAGAGGUAUAAAGAUGUUCCAUUAUGAAAUUCAUAAGUUCUUAAAUCUUUUCAGGCAUAAAUCCAAGUGUGAAAAAAACCAACAUUUAAGAUUGAAGUUAUUAAUCGCAAUGACUUGAUGAGUCAAAAAACACUUUUGGGAAGUAUCGAAUUCCCAUUUGAGUAGCAUCUAUUUUCACAAAUCUAUUUAUUCACUUGCUAAAUAUUAAAUCAUGAUUUGAUCAUAUCACUCAAUGUAUCGAUUUUAGUAUGCUUAUUUAAAUUUCUUGUAAAUAACUUAGAUUUAUUGGUUAAACUUCAAAUGAUGAAGAGCUCAUGCUUAUUGAGUAGAAGCACACAUAUUUUUAACAACAUUAAAAGAAAAAAAAAUCCACAUCUUGCUAGCAGUUAAAAUUAAAAUGCUAUCUGUUAUGUGAAAUGUUGAAUGCAUGUUAUUUUACAAAAUUCUUAUAGUAAUUAACCCACCGAGGACCUCAAUAGUCAUUCAAGGCAAAACUCCCUUGAAGAAUCCGACGAAAAUUCUUGUUAAAAAGCAAAGUGAAUGAUGAAAAUAAAUAAAGCAAUACAGCAAAGAAAAAGAAGGGGUCAUCCUAAUGUGGAAAAGAAGUCCCGCCAAUGCUUUAGCGUGUGCCUUUGGUAGUCCAAGUCUUCGUAGACUUGGGUCAACAUUGGUGUGAUUCCUUCUUGAGCAAGCUGGUUCAUCAUGGACUGUUGGUAGUCCAAGUCUUCGUAGACUUUGACUUGGGUCAAUCAUUGGUUUCAAUCUUCUUGCACCACCCACACGCUGUUUUGUCUGAUUUUUUUCUCUUUCUGAGAGUGGUAGCUCAUGCUAAUAGCACGUUAAGACGAGGCACAUGGAGCUUAGGUUUUGGAUUGUUGGCGUCCUUAUCAAAAUCACAUCAACCCAUCUCACGCAAUUCUUAAUCUAGUGAAUGUAUUUUGAUGCAACACAUUAUAUGUAUGUGACACAUUCCAUUUCCAUUUAGUUAAAUUAAAUGGUUCCAACUUUUUUAUUGAUUGAUGACAUGAUUGACUAAAUUUUCAAGAGAGAAGUUUUUUUGGACAUAUAGUGUUUCUUUGCAAGUAUUUUUCUAUUUUUUGAAUCGAUUUUGUGAUAACUAAACAUUCCAUAUUUUACGAUAGAAAACAAAAUCUCUCUAGAUCUGGAGGUGUAAAAUUGUUCCAUUUCAUAAUUCAAUGUUCUUAAGUCUUUCUAGGUAUAAAUCCAAGUGUGACCAAAAAAAAAAUUUAAGAUUGAAGUUAUUAAAUCACGAUGACUCAAUGAGUUAAAAAGAAGAAUCUUGGGAAGAAUCAAAUUUCUUGAAUUGAGAGUGAUGGAAAAUUGAAUUUGUUCUCUGAUAGCUUUAGCUUUCAUUGUCACUCCACUAAAAUUUUGUUUUAGUAAAAUGAAAAUCUCGUCCCAUUUUUUUUUUUUGAAAUCAGACACCAUCCAUUUGAAUCAAAAUUGAGUUUCCUCCUUUAGCUCAAAAGCUUGGGAAGAAGAGAAAAUAUGUGGGAUCCUGUUGCCUAAUUCUUACUCAUUUUAAAGGAAAAGAAAGACUUCUCAUACAAAUGUGGACCUUAAUUAUCGAUACAUUUUUUCCUUUACCCUAGAAUAUGCAUAGAAUCAUGGGCCAGUUUUGCUGCAAAAUUGGUCAGUAAGGAUGCUUCCUUGCAGCAUCAUUGCGGCUUGUCAACUGUGAAAAAAUAUUACGUUUCUUAAUGUGGAAAAUCACUAGACUAUGUGGUGCAGAAAUUUUGGGAUGAGAAUCUACUUUUGCCCCAAAAUAAUUCAUUCAAAGUCAAGUCAACAAAAGCAGACACCGAACUUCCAAAACAAGUUCGUUUCCCCCAUCCUAAUUAAGGUGAACUCCGGUCGGUCCAAUUUAAUGGGCUGAUCAGGCCCAGGCCCGGAAUAACUCUGAAGCAUAAAGCCUAGUGGAAUUAUUGGGCUUGAUCUUGUCAAAGCACUCCCCAAUGAUCAAUUGAAUUAAGAAAAGAUUACAUUUUAUUUCGGAGGUGACCCAUCCUUCGCAUUUAACCUGUUGUUAGUGUCAAAAAUUGCUUGUCACAAAACGUUGUAGUUGAACAUUAAAUCCAUGCAUUGUGCUGAUUAUUAUACAAAACAUUACUAAAAUAGAGUCCACAAAACCAAUGUGUAAGCACAGUCUUGUGUCGUAUUAAAACUUUGAGCCACCAACAAGUGUGGUAAAUAAGCUCACGAACAUGAUGUGACCUAUUAGAUCUCAUUUGGAAUUUAACUCAAUUAGCAUUUCCACAUUCACAAUUGAACUUGAAAGCCUCUAUGAUGACUGGGAAAAGUUUAGCGAAGCCUCUCUAAUGACUAUAAUGACUAAAAAAAAAUAUUGACUCCCCCUGAAUUCAAGUAUGAAAGUUUUCUAUUUCAGAUAAUGUUUUUGGAGGUGUGGCUCUUUGCUCUCUCAGUUAAUGCUUGUGGAUUAUCUAUUACAAAAGGGGGAAAAAGAGGCAAAAAUAAAAGAACUUAUGGACAACGCGAGAUUAUUCCAUGUUAAAAUUUGAGAAUUGGAAAAAAAAAAAUUCGCCACACUUCUAUUAAUUUGAAAUUAAACGAUUUGGGUUGCUAUUUCAGAUUUACCUCGACAUUAGAUGAUGAUGUCAAACCAAGUCCAUUUGCAGCUAGAAACAUUUUUUAGUAUAAUUAAGCUUGAAUCUGAAAAUAUUUGACUGGAGAAGUUUGCCAUCAUAAUGAAGUAAUUGCAAUUUCAUAUACCUCCACUAAUAUAAAUAAACAAAUGAAUUAUAUCAAUUUUAAUUUGAGUGUAUAGUAACCAACUAAUUGAACGGUAGAGCACCCAUUUGUCCAACAGAAUGUCUCAUUCUCUUUGGCUAAAAUACAACAGAAGGCGUCCCCACGCAAUCUUUCUAAAUGUUCCGAUUUUAGCAAAACUUACUUCACGACGUAAAUCACCGAAUGUGACAUUGAAAAUGCCCACCGACAAAAUAAGAUCCCAAGGGCAAAUUAGGAAAGAUCAUAAAGAAUCUGGAACGAAAUAGAUCGCGUUUGAGGCUGAUGGUUGUUCUGACAUGCUUGAUUGCUGCAAAGUGAGGCGAUACUCAAGCUUUUCAAGUUCAAGAGAUUGGAAAUGCUAUCAUCAGCUCGUCGCUCGGUAUGAAUAUGUAGACAAAGAAGAAUUUCUAGGAGUCUUGGCACUUGGGGUAUCUCAACACAUGUCGGUUUCAAAAUCUUCCAAGGUGAACAUCUCCAGAUAUCAUAGGAAUUUCUGAUUAGCAAAUUUUCACUAAGCUCUGCAUCUAUUCUUCUAGCUAUUCCUGAUUCCAUACUGCACUAGUUAUUGUUCUCAUGAUAGAGAACCUCAUCUUCAAUACUUUCAAAUACUUCAUGUUCCCGACCAACCAGGCAGCUUCUCUAUGUCCAUGUUCAAUUUAUCGAACUUAGCAAAUGAUUCCAAAUUCCAGAUUGAGUCUAGUAGUGUCUUUAUUGACUUGCAGUUCCUAGAAGACUAGUGUUCGAGGCUUACAAGGGAUCCACUUGAGUUGGGAAGCUCCACGAUCCUAGCUCCUCACAGAGAAAGCCUCGAUAGGGAAGUUAGGUGACAGAUUGAAAGUUUUAUAGUCAAUGAGGAACAAUGGGAAGCACAGAGGACCUGCAAGCUCUUCAAUUCUUGACAGUCAGGCAUAUGCUUUAUUGAUGUUAUACAGCAAUCCCUUUUUAAGGCAGUUAAGUCCAUGUCAGACUUUCCCCUUCCGUCUUGGUAAUUCCUAGAUGUAUAUUCCCUUUUAAGAUAGAGAUUAUCGAUGUUUGUCCGUUAAAACCAGCAUGCGAAAUUGCGAAUUGAACAAAGUCAACAUCUAGCAAGCUAGUCGCAUAUCUUUCUCCCAAAUAUCAUGUACUUUUAUUCGUGUGAAGUCCACCAUCAGGUUAGUACCGAGUUAUCCAGAGUUAGAUUCAUCUACUAGUAAGAAUACUUUGAGAGACCUUGUUUAGCUUUCUUAUACUUGUUUCAUCGUUUGAUUCCAUCAUUUCUCGGUUCACGCUGCUCCAUGGUUUAUAGCAGCAUCAUUAUUUGGUUUGCCCUCUCCAGUAAUCUUACUUGCUGCUCUUAAUCUUCUCUGCUCCAAUGGUCUAUAGUCGCAACUGUCGCCACACACAAUGCAACCUCAAGUGGUGAAACAACAAUUGUUGAGCUGCACAGAAAUUGGGGGUGGUCUGACUUGGCCUCGCCUCCCGAGUCGCAAUGGGUCCGAAUUUUAUUUUAUUUUGAUAAAUUAAAAAGUGUGGGAAGAGAUGACCAAUACGGUUAUCCAUUCUUGUUGUUACAUAAAGUGUUGUGCAUGUUACAAAAUAUCUCCAUUGAGCCAUAACCACUCGAUCCACCGACAAGUGUGCUAGUCUAUCACCAUAACUAAUAUGCCAAAAGCUUGACAAUAUAUCCACAUAACGUUGUAAAUACCUAAAAUACUAACCGGUGAAAAGUUCACUCAUGACAUGAUUCGAACUCAUGAAUUAAUAGAAGAUGGCAUGAUCCCUUCAUCAUUGGGUUAUCAUGCUUGGGGUUGGAUUGUGAUUCCGACUUUAUAUAUAUAUAUAUAUAUUCACUUUCAAGGUGAAUGAGUGGCGCAUGAGCCUAAUCCAAAAAGGAAUGAUCUAUAAAUCUGUUCUGUGCUUAAAAAAUUUGACUUAAGUCAAAUGAGGUGUUUAUGUGUUUAUGUUACCAAUAAAAGAAGAGGUUUGGUGACUGGUUUCUAUAAAAUUGAUUAAUUUACUCUUCAUAAUUUUCUAUAAAAUUGAUUAAUUUACUCUUCAUAAUUUUCUCUUGGAAAUUUUGUCCAGGAGCACGCCUCAUUUUAGCAAAACUUCCUUCAUCGCCCUCACGGAAACGACGAAAUCACCGGACGUGACACCGAAUAUGCCCGCCGACCGAGCAAGAGCCCGAGGUCGAAUCAGGAAAAUUCGCAAAUCCGUCGUCCUCUCCUUCCCUUCCCCCCCACCCAAAAACAAAAGCUCGCUGUAGCUUUCGAUCGCCAUCCGCCGCGAAAAUCGCUACGGAGUCCACGAACGCUGCGAAGACCAGGAUUCGAGGGUUGAAUUCGAGCAAUACGGAUGAAGACCGCAAUCGAUCUCUCCACCUCGCCGGGCGAUCGCGCCAUUUUGAUUGCGUGAGAUUGGAAUGAUGUCGUCGCUCGGCAGAAUGGGGAGUUGAGGGUGAUGGUUGUUCUGAAGUGCUUCAUUGCCGCGGGUGGGGGGCGAGAGGUAAUUGCAAUUUGUGUUCAUGUCAUCAAUUACUGCUCUGAUCCUCCCACUUGAUUGAGAUUGGGAGUCUAGUAUCGAGCAUGUCGGUUUUGAGGUUGGACAGUGAGGUUUGUAGUGUGAAUUUGGCGGAUUAUACUAUUGCAGAAAUUAUUUGGUUGGAUUAGCUAAGCUCUUGGAUUACCGAAUUUGGAUCAAUGCUACAACUGGAAUAUGGUCAGAUUGAUCGAAUUUCCUUAUAUUUGUUGGAUACAAAUAUUUCUUCCCGCUGUUUCUACUUUGGGGGUAAAAUUUGUUGAGUGUCUCACAGUGAUUGACUAUCGGCUAUUUGGCCUUUCUCCAGUCGAGUAAUGGACUGUAGCUUGUAGGUUUCAGUGGACUAGCUUUAUGGGAAAGAGGAGCCUUAUGCUUUUCACUUAUUCGCCUUUCGUUGCAUUUGAACAUAUAGUUCUUUAAGUUCACGAACGAGGAUGGCAGAAAUAUACUGAAAUAUUAUUUUGAGUUGACGUUUCCUUGAAGUGUUCCUCUUACUUGAUUGUUGAUAUACCUUGCUAGAGACAUAAGAAACUUGCUCCAUUGCUUGUAAUUAAAUGAGCUUUUGACCACAUUUUCAAAGUGAAAUUUUCUCAACUGGUAAAUGCAGAACUCAGACUAAGGUCCAAGGCUUGUAAAGCUGCUUACAAUCGCACUCUUGCCAUGACAUUUAUGGAGUAUUCAUCUGCUGUGAGUGUUCUUUAUAAAGAUUUUCACAUUUACCUAGAGCUUGUUGUUGUUAUUACUCUUCAGGUUUCACCAUUUAAAUACAAUAACUUUUGCAGGUUUGAUGCCAGAUUUGACAAAACUUAGUAGUUGGACUUGUCCUAGAUGUGAUGGAAAGACCCAGGUAAUUUAAUAUGGUUUAAUAUGACAUUGUUGCUGAGGUUGCCUGAAGAAUGGAUCCUCAGUACAGUAUUAAAUGGCCAAUUCUUCUAAUGAGAUUUUGUGGGCAUAUGCUGCCUCCUCUUAUUAGAUUCUGAACUGGUAGUUAAUGCCUUUUGAUAUGAAAGCAGGGGUUUGAAUUCAUUGAAUUGAUAGUGGGCAUUCAACACUGCUUACGCGCAGAUUAUUUGGUUGCAGUGGCUUACCAAUCUGCAAUGCUUGCGAUGCCUAUAUGUUUAAAUUGCAUCUAAUUGUUUAUAUCUAUUUCUAAACGUACAUAUAUGUUACCUGUAGGCAUACGUUGGGGUGGCCAAGGAUCUUAAUGCUGUGAUUAUAGCUUUUAGAGGUGCACAAGAACAUAGGUAUGCAUGUUAACUUUAGCAACUCUUCUCCUUACAAAUGACUUGCAAAAGGUUUUGAUGAAAAUUUAAGCUAAGAAGAGCAGCCUCCUGUGAGUGCAUACGCAAGACCCAUGGGUCGACUGUCCGUAAGAAGGGAAAAGGGUGAAUCAUUUCCACCAAGAUGCGAAAGUUACCUUCUUGUAAUUUUAGAUUGGUUCAUGAGAAGAUCACAUACUUCACUAAUUUUGUUCUGUGAAAAAUUCUAUCACCUCUCUUUGUCAUUUGAGCUUUUCAGUUAGUGAUUACUUCUUUUUAUGUCUAUAGCAUACAUAAUUGGGUUGAAGAUCUCUAGUGGAUAGUGGAAACAGCUUGACGUACUACCUUGGCAUGCAUGGUGCCCUGGAUAGCUCUAAAGAUGAUUAUGCCUCUUGCAAGCUGUGGAUUCUUCUUGUUUGGAUUGAGUUACAGUCUUACUCUAUUUGUGACAUCCCGAUUUUUCCAAAUCCUAUUUUCAAUAAAUUGAGACGGGCAUUUCGUUGGCACGCAUAUAGUUCUUUUCCUUGAGUCGGCCACUCAUGUGAAAACUAGUCUAUCGGGUGAAACUGUUAAGAAUUUCUAAUGCAUCAGACUCGAGAAUUUGACCAGGAAGCAACCUUUCGACCGAGCUAGUCUGCAAGGGUCAUUACGGCACAAUUAAAAUCGAUUAAAGAUCGGAGAUAGGUCGACUCGACAGAGGCAUGUGAUCAGGUGUGGGUGAUUCUACUAGAUCGCACAAUUCAUGUCGAUCGGCACUGGACCGACUUUUCUAUCGAUUGGGUACCCUGUGUUCGUAUUUGAAACCUUGAGAUUACCCCGACAAUCGAAAGUCGCAAAUGUUUCAAAGAUGUACAUUGUGGCUUGAGAUGAUCAACCACAGGUCAAAUGCAUGAAAGUUUCUAAAGGCUACCCGGUAGGUUGGGCCGCGCUAGUAUCGUGCCAAAGUGAAAUUAACCGUGCAAUUGAGAUCGAAUUCAGAAAUUGGAAGUCUGGGUGUGUCACAAAUCAUUUCAAGAUCAUUGAAUCAUCUUUGGAAGAUUUUUCAUGUAAGCCGAGUUUUUCAGCAAUUAAAUCAGAAAAUGGUUAAUUUGACCCGAGAAAUCAAUAGGCCCGCAUUUGGUAUUGCUAUUAGGACUUAAGUUGGUUCUAUGGACAAGUGAAGAUGUAAAUUGAAGUGUGGUGACAUUGGAUUAAUUUUAUGAACUUCAAUUGGAAGAGAAUUGAAUGGAAUUGGAGAAAUUAGUGUACAAGAAUUGGACCCCGGCGGAAAAUGAAAUUUGCAACCAUUGGAAAAGGUUGUGGGGGAUUGGGUGAGUGGAGUGUGAUGUCACCCAUGAGGUCAUGUGGUGGGCCAAUUUGUUGGAUUAAAGAAAAGGGAAAAAGGAAAAGAAAUUGGCCUCCCUUCUUCUCUCUCCUCCCUCUCCUUGCCGUGGGAGCGUUUCCUCCUCUCUCCAUCUUCAUCUUCUUCUUCGAAAACCCAACAGACCAGCGAACCAGAGCAGCUCCGCCCGUCGCCGUUCGUCCUAGCCGGAGGCCGUUGCUCGUCCAGCCGCACGCAGCUCCGCCUCUCUCUCCCCCUUCUGCUGGUGUCGGCUUCUUCUCCUUCUUCCUUGUGUUUUUCGAAACCCAGCAUAUCUGGGAAGACAACAGAGCAGCCAUCUAGCUACUGGAUCGUCGUUUCGCGCCUCCGCCCUCCGCCGUUCGCCGCCGGAUCAGCUGAUUCGCCCGUCGUGCUCAGUGGCCAGCCCCGCGAGCUUCCUGCUCGUCUCGCGCCCGUCUUGAGUUCAGCAACGUCUCGAGCUUCCCUGGCCGCUGUUCCUAGUCGUCCUCCAGUCGUGAGCUGUCGUCUCGCCGCCGUGCAGCAGCCGGAACCAUCGCCUGGACCGCCGAAGCCCGCUUUGCCCGUUUCCAGCAAGCGGAGUCGCUGGUUCUUCUUCUCUGUUCCAGCGGCCAUUUCAGAUCUGGUGGAGCUCCGCCGGAGCCGUCCAGCCCACCUCCGGCCACCGUGAAGCCCCGCCUAGGUCCGAUUUGGUCUCCUCUGUCCAUCUUGGCCCUUGUGCGCCUCAAUCGGUGUCGGAUCCGCCCUCAACCAGCAACGAGCAGAAGGUUGCAGAAAUGGGUGUGGCAGCCCAUGUUUGGCCCGUUUUGGCCGCCUUCCCAAGCCCGGAUGCUCGGCCCGCUUUGAGGAAAGUCGAUCCUCGCGUCGUCCCUGUUGUUUUGGUUCGCUCGGCUCACUAAUCCGGUGAGUUUAGCUCACUAAACCUCGCUUAGAGGGUUAAUUAUGCUUUAGGUGUGCUUAGCGUAAGUUGAUUAAGCUUAGGUGGUUAAUUUAGUUGAUUUAAUUAUGAUUUAGAUUAAGAUGUUUGUUUAAUCUAAAGUAUGUUUAAUUAAAUGCUAAGAGAGUUUAUUUAAAGUUAAGUGGGUGUUUAUAUCAAUAUAAACAUUGAUGUGACAUAAAGGAAUUUACCUUUGAUUUAUUUAAAUAUCUCGAAAUUAUUUAAUAAUUUAAUAAUAUAUUAUUAUUCGAAAUUAUUAAAAUAUUAUUAUUUAAUUAUUUUCGGAAUAAAUUUAAUUAUUUAUUAAAUUCCGAAAAUUUUCAUUGGGACCUUAUUUGCUCAGAAUUUCGUGCCGAUCAUUGCUGUGCUAGUAGAAUUUGAAAUUGAUGAUUGGUUGUGAUGAAUUGAGUGUGAUUGUGAUUUAUAGGGAUUCUUUAUGAAAUCCCAAGUGUAGAAAUUGAUGGGAGAUUGGCUGUGAAAUACCACCUAUUAGAGGUCGUGCCCAGUGAGGCCGUGAAAUACCACCUUGGAAAGGUCGUGCCCAAUGAGGCCGUGAAAAACCACCUACAAGAGGUCAUGCCGAUGAGGCCGUGAAAUACCACCUAUUAGAGGUCGUGCCCAGAGAGGCCGUGAUAAACCACCUAUGAAAGGUCGUGCCCAGAGAGGCCGUGAUAAACCACCUAUGAAAGGUCGUGCCCAGAGAGGCCGUGAUAAACCACCUCUGAGAGGUCGUGCCCAGAGAGGCCGUGAUAAACCACCUAUGAAAGGUCGUGCCUAGAGAGGCCGUGAUGAACCACCUUGGAAAGGUCGUGCCCGAUGAGGCCGUGAAAAACCACCUACAAGAGGUCGUGCCCAGUGGGGCCGUGAAUUGCCACCUGUUAAAGGUCGCGCCGAGUGGGGCCGUGAUGCCACUGAUUUAAAUUUGCCGAGUAGGGCCGUAGUUGAGAGCAAUGAUUGAUUUGCUAGAAUGACAUGAAAUCGGCCGAGUCGAUUGAUCGCUGAGACGAUCCAAGUGGUUGAAUGGUUUGAUGAUGUGAUUGUGACAUGGUUGUUUGGUUAUCAUAAUUGUACGUGGUUGGAUUAUAUAAAUUGUGCUAACCUGUAGAUGAAGGCUGAGGCGAGGUAAGUCCUCUGUGUGAUGUGGCUAGGCCACCCGGGGCGUAUUUUCUUUCUAAUAGGGAUUUAGGGGGUUGAACUUGCUGAGACAUCGUCUCAUCCCGGUUGUGGGAUUAAAAUUUCAGGUCCCUGGUGGACGGAGCGGCCAGAUCGCUUUGGUUGGCCUUGAGAAGUUGCAGAGGUGAAGUCAUAAGGGUUGGAGAGCGUGUCCUGCUAGUUGGUUGUAGGAUAGUCCCCCUUUUGUCGAGCUGGUCUAUUUUGUAGAAAGUCCAGUGUUGUAUUUAAACCCCCCUUUGUGUUUGUAAAUGAGUGUUUGGUAUUGUGAUUGAUUGCCUGCUUUUCUAUCCCAAGUUAAAUGUUGUCAGGGGAUUUGUUUCGCUUCCGCAUGCGUAAAGAAAUGAAUGGGUCGGCGACAUAUCCUGGGAUGUCACAUUUUUUAUCGACCGCAGUGGGAUGUGCGCGCGCUCGGGGUUCGGGGCGUGACACUAUUGAUUUCUGCUUGGGUUAAUCAUGGAUUUUACUAUUCUUAUUGAUAUGACAAUUCAACCUGGUAUUUUGGAUCUUGUUAUAAGAACCAAGGAUUUAUAAGGGGACAUCAAUGUCAUGGUGACAGAGCAUUCUAUGGGAGGGGCUAUGGCAUCCUUUUGCGGAAUUGAUCUUGUGGUAAGAUAGUUAAAAACUGCUAUGGUCUGGAAUUGUGAAUUUUAUUGUUUUUUUUUUCCUAUUGCGUUCUUCCAAUAUUCAUAUGGUAAUAUGUUAAGAGUCAACUGGAAUUCUCUGCCAAAUCUGUGCUGAAGAGUCUAGGCUAUUUAUACGGAUCUUGAACUUUCUAUUGCUCUCAUAUUUAUAUUCACAAUUCGUCACAGACAGCAUCUUGUUUUCUUUCGGUUUUGGUAAGUCAAACCAUAGACAAAACACAAGCAGAAUGGGGUGCAAAUAGCCAUUUAUGCUAACCACCGAUUGUUUAAGUAUCUGGCAAUGUAAAUUGAGUCUUACCCAUAAAGCUAUGGAGCUUCAAGUUGGUCGAAUACCUAAAUAUAGUGGAUAAGGUCACUUCCAACUAAUCAUUACAAGGUUUACUUACUUGCUGGAAAAUUUAUGGAAUUGUCGAUAUGUUUAUGGUAUGGACAUAUAACUUUUUAAAGCACUUGAAGCUCAAGUUUUAUGUCAUGUAAUCUUGAAGUGCUAAUGCAUUUUAAGAUAGAUUAUAUAUCAAUCCUAAAUUUGUGUUUGGUGUACUGUUUCUAUCUAAGCCUCUCUCUAAUCAAAAGAAGCAGCUCCUCUUCAGUAGGACUACAAGGCCAGAUAUGUUGUAGGCUGGAGCCAAUGCUAAGAUGUCUAAAUUAUGCCUUUUCUCUCAGCUUUAUUGGACAGAGUGUUCCAGGGUACAUUUGGAGGCACCUGUUGCUCAACUGCUACCAGAAAUGGUGCCCAAUCCAAAAUCAUGUCCCAUUGAUUCUCUUCUCCAUGGCAAGUGGUGAUUUUUUAGAGUUAAACUUUAUCUUGAAGUCUGAUUACACUCAUGUUCAUGUGGCCUAUGAUAGGAUCAUAGGUUGCAUGGACUUUAGACUAUACCCUUUCUCAAAAUAUUAGUAGCAAGUAUAACACUUGUCCUAAAACUUUUAAAUGAUUUAAAGUUUUAUUUUUGUUUACUGGUUUCUUGCUGAAAAUUUUGUCGAGCCAAUUGUGACGUCAUGCCCAUUCGUUGCAAUCCUUUUUAAGAUUGAGUUUCUCCUUCGCUACUUGUGUCAGUAAAUUUUGUAGUUCAAGGGGCCUUUUCAUCAGGAACCGGGAAUUUUUUGUUUAUGUCAUUAGCAGGAUGUGACUAACCCCACCAACAUCCAAGUGCUUCUUGUGGAAGCAAUUAAAUGCGCUUCAGUUGUAAGUUUGCGCCCAAUCCCACUAUUCCAUAUCAUUAACACCUUUUUGUGGUGCUGACUGCUGAGGGUGGGUUUGGUUUUGUUGUGUGUGGGGUUUGGUGUUGGGAAACUUAUGGAUGGGAUCUUGACAGAGUUAACGCUAGACCUUCAACCCUUAUGGAGACAAAGGGCUGUUCUAUUGUUCACCUUUGUAUAUGAAAUGCAAUAUAUGGUUAUUGAUGCAUAGUGUUUUUUUUCCCAUCUUGGAAGGGCUAUUGAUGUAUUGACAUUAAAUUUAUUUGGCUGUCUAAUUAUGUGUGCUGAAACUGUCUUUUCCAGACCAGCAUUUGCCUUAUUUACUAAACAGAAGCACUUUAUUUCCUGGUUAAUCAUGAAGUACAGAAUAUUCAGGUUUAAACAUUUGGACAACUCUGUAUUGGCAAUGCAGUGUUUGCAUCUUACUACAGUGACUGCAUACCAAAAACAUUACGUAUUCCUCCUGGACAAGAUUUUGUCUUAUUUGCCUCCGUACUAUUUUUGGUUCCCACAGAAGACGUACCAUCAAUUCCCUAGAGAGGUAUGAUGUUGAUCAUGACAGAAUAUCAAAUAAAUUAUGGGGAAUUGUUGAUGACUGAAUUUGAGGUUUGCUUUGCAUCUCAUUUGACCUGUCUAACAAGUGAAGUAUCAUAUAUUCCGGCAUUGUAUGUACUCUCUUUUUUCAGCUUAUAAAUUAUGACUGUCUUGUUUGUUUUUCUUCUUAACAAAGCAGGGUAGUUUGUAGGACUCAUUACGUUUUAAACUUUUUUUGAGUAACUCUCAUUCUUGCAAAAGCCAUCAUGAGUUUUUCAUAUCGAUUCCAAAGUUUAGGACACAUAAUAAUGUUUAUUAUACUCUCUCUCUCUCUCUCUCUCUCUCUCUCUCUCUCUCUCUCUCUCUCUCUCUCACUCACACACAAACGCACGCGCGCGCGUGCACGCACACACGCACUAUGUCUACUAAUGCGUAUAAUUAUUAGCGACUAGCUCAAAGACAGCCACGGUUGAACAUUUUAAUGUGAGAUGAAAAUGAUUUGAUUCCACCUGCUUCUCUAAUACCUAAUCAUACUCAUAACAGUUUUCAUGUAAUCGGAAUCUUCCCUUUAUUGUAGGUAUGGCUAUAUAACAUAUGAUUUGGUAGUUAUCAGGUUGAGAAAGUUUGUGAUACCUCAGGAGAAGAUGCAUUAUGCAGCAAGUGAUGAGCUAGUUUCAGUCGAAGCUACUUGUUCAAACAAUUAUUUUGUGGAUUUAUCAUGCAAGAUGCAAUAAGUUGUGAUGGACCAGCUUGUUCUAGAGAAUCUCUGUCCUUUGUUACUAGGAAUAUUUGUGGACAACCGAUCAGGGUAUUUUCCUGCAGAUUGGUACCGGGUAACAGCAUUGUGGACCAUUUAGUCUUUCUAUAGUGUGCAAUUAAUGGCUAAGACAUGAGAAUCGUGCAAAAUCGUCACGGACAUUAUUGACGGAAUGUGGAGGCGAAGAUGUCAAAGGAAAUCUUAUGCUUUCCAGGAAUCCUUUUGUUUCUGCAUCGAGGCCGCAUUCAGACUCUGAUGCCAAGAGGAAAUUCAGUUGAAAUGCUCCUUGGUCAGUACCUGGAUUCUCAAAGAUCAUCAGGGACCUUUGUGAUGAAGUUUGGUCACAAAAUGCAUUCCAUCGAUCUGUUGUCCAUAUCCAUCACAAGAUACAGAGGAGCUCUACUCUAAUUUACUCUGAAUGUAAAUAGCACAAAGUUGAAGGUAUCAUCCUUGUAAAUACAACUCCGUGGUUUCAAUUGAAUGAAUAUGUUCGCAAGUUUGCCUGUCAAUCUAUUAUUGGGCUUGGGUCUUUGUUACCUGACUUGAUGCGUGGAGGCUGAGCUGAGCUAUAUUCAUAGUUGAAUGACGCAGCUAUUCCCUUUUUAUAAGGUGAAACAAAGACUACGUUCACAGACCACUUCUCAAUCUAUGACACCUUACCUUCUCCUACAGGCACAUUGGCACAUAAGAUUUCUUGGCAGAACUAAGUACUUCAACUAUUUCCUCGUAGGGAAUUGUGCAGAUGAACUGUUAAAUCAAACCAUCUCGGAGACAGAUGAUGACUUUGUCUUACAUCAUUUCCAGUGGCAACCUUUGCAAAUUUUUUACUUUAGGAGGUAAACAAUUUAUAUCAUCUUGCCUUUGAUAUGUAACAAUGAUCAUAUGAGCAUUUGGAACAAGGGUUGUAAGCUUUUACCUUCUUUUUUUAAUAUGUGGGAAUUAACAUUAGUGGAAACCUGAAGAACUAAAAUGCCUUCGUCAUUUCAAAGCAUAUAUUGCCAAUUAUGACCAUUUGAAGCAGAUAUAAGUCCUUGACACUGUAUGAUAAGCUAGAGUUUGUACAUUACAGUAAAAGCUAGAGUACAACACCAAAACAUUGGGAAAGGUAUAUUGUUCUGUCGUCUUAACCCUCGCCAUUGUGAUUUAGGCACUUCUGCAAUCGCAAAUUGCCAGCUCCAGAGGCGGACAUGGCAAUCUGCUCUUGCUAAAAACUGAGAGGGCCCAAAGUAGAUAGAGCAAUUGGGAGUUUCUAUCAUUAAGAAGAUAGAGCAAUUGGGAGUUUCUGUCAUUAUUCUAAUAAAAUAGGGCACGAUAACUCUUGAAACAAGAUGCGACUAGUACAUCAGAAACUAAAUUCGGAGUUCCACGACCAAUGGGCAGCGAGAUAUGCAUAAAUUAAGACGAGCUCACGAGGAACUACAUCUUCCUCACUUCUUCUCAAUUAGCUUUUCGAUCAUGUCCGCAGCUUCCUGGACAUUUGUGAUACUUUGAGCACUUUCUUCCUCCACACCAAUCCCGAAUUCCUCCUCAAGUCCCAUCACAAUCUCCACCUAAAUUGCAAAAGAGCAAUGGUCUCAUCACAAUCCCAAUUUAUUGAAUGGAGUAAGCUGGUAAGCGUCGGAAUCAGAUAAGCAGAAAAAACAAUUCCAACAUCGCAGAAGUACCGUCCUGCACCGCUUCAUAAUGAAUGGAUCAAGUGAAAGCUCAUUAAAGUCUGCAGAAAAGGAAAGAAACAUGUGGAUGAACGGCUUAGGGCCCGUUUGGUUCGGCUUUUGGGGGAUGCAUUUGCCAAAAUGCAAAUACCUUUGGGUGAAUGGGGUUUUCCGAAAUGCAAAUAUCGUUUGGUAAAAUUUGCAUUGAGAUGCAACUUUGGCCAAAAUGCCGUUUGGUAAAAUUUACAUUUGCAAAGGACUUUUAUUAAAUUAAAAAAACAAAAAAACAUUUUUCUUUUAUUUUUUUGAAAUCCGGCCACCGGACCGCCGGAUCCGGCGGCCGGACAGCCGGAUCCGGCGGCCGGACAGCCGGAUCCGACGGCCAGACAGCCGGAUCCGGCGCCGGAUGGCCGGAUCUGGCCGCCUGGGUCGCGCGACCUCAGGCGUCGCCUGAGGUCCGGCGACGGUCGCUGGGGUCGGGGGACCCUUGGCCGGCGGUCGCCGGCGCAUUGCCGGCGCGCGCGACCCCUUGGCCGGCGGUCGUCGUCCUCCGAUUGGCUUCUCUCCGGUGAAGAUGAACAGUAGAAGUUGCAUUCCGAAAGCAACUUCCCAAUGGACCUCUCCUCCUCCAUUCCUCUAAAGUCCCUUCAAGCCCUUUGAAGAUGCAAUUGCAUCUCCCCAAAGUCCCCAAAAUAUUGAACCAAACACCACUCACUUUUGCCCAAACCCCUUUAGAGGCCGAAAGCCCCUUCUAAAUGCCGAACCAAACGGGGCCUUACAAUGUACAGAGAAUCGGCUUCCAUGUUAGCAAAUUUUGACUCUCCAGUCACCGUAGCAUCAUCUGGUAAAGCCAGCUGCUUCCUUACUAUUUGGCACACUUUAUCCACUGUCUCCUUUUUAGCCUGCUCACAUCUCAAGUGGAUUAUUUACAAGUUCUAAAACCUACUUAUGGAUGGUCUUCACACUGAGUGGUUAGAAGAUUGGCAAGACCAAUCCAAGCAUUCCUCCAGAGCAAGCAAAAUUAUAUGUUGGAACACGGUAUGAAAAAUAUUCUGGGCAUCCACUUUCCCAGAAGAAGCAUGUUUCAAAUGACAUGAUUAUAAUCACACAGCAAGAUCGUUCAACAUGAGACGAAAAUAAUGGCCCAGACUUCAGAUACAUAAGAACUUGUAGUCACUUUGCUUUGCUUUAGUUUUGCUGUUAUAGUUGGCUUGACAUAGUAAUACAGACCGCACCCGAAACCUGGAAGCGGCGUGCCUUGAGAGAAGGGAAACUUCUGCCACUGAUAGGAAGGGAAACAGAAAAGAAAUUAGAUGUCUUGCUGACAGGUACCUUUUAAAAACGUCAAAAGUGAGCAUUACCAAGGUGCUAAGUAAGCUCAUGGUGCUACACAAGUCAGGUCUAAAGUACGAUGCCAAAUGUUUACUAAUGUUUCAAAGAUCCAAUCUAGUUCAAAGGCAAAACCUCAACCAGGUCAGCCAAGCCACAUCCCAAAUUGCACAGAAAAUUCGGGCGAAUUACACUUUGCCGCCAAGUUUUUGGCAUAAUGGCAAGCUACCCAUGAUGUUUCAAGUUUUGCAUCCUAGACUCUUUGAAAUUGGACACCACUUGCAGCAAAAUGUUCUCGUAAAUCUGACCACGUGACCGCACGUGAUUAGUUAUGACAGGAAAAUUGGACAUAUAUCAUAUUUAUAUGUGGAAAAAAAAAACGGGGACUACCCAAAAACAUAUUUUAAAACUAUCUAUUGAUAUACAUUUGGCAUUGAUCCAGUCAAAUCCUCGUCGGAAUUGUAGUCUCAUGCUCUCAAGUGCAAUAUAUUUUUUUAUAAUUAUUCUUCUACUUACUAUAUGUAUGUGCUAAUAUGACAAAUUUCCUCCGUACUCAGUCACGUUGCUGGAGCUCCAAGUGGAAAUCGAUCGAAGUCAAUCCAGGGAACGCAUUGCAAUCUAUUUCUAAAAUUCAUGGGCAAAUUGCAAAAAUUGAAACAUCACUGGCCAAUAGACGACAACUGUGAAAGCUUGGGGGGCAAUAUGUAAUUUGCCCCAGAAAAUUUACAUAGUUUUCAGACCAGUAGAUUACUAGCAAUUAUUAGACCAACAUCAAACCUCAAGAGCCUUCGGAAGCUAAUGGAGAUGCUACUAUCAGCAUCACCAAUAACCACAAAAAUGAGACAGAAAAAACAAACUGAAAUAAGUUGGAAAAAAAAAAUCGCAUAAACAUGCAAAAGCUGCUAACUGAGAGCAACUCAACAACACAUCGAAAAAAAGCGAACUCGAUUAGGCAUCCAUCUAAUUAAUUCCGGAAUACAAAAGCGGUAGGAAACCAAAAUCAAGUAUAGCUGGCCUGAACUCAUUAUUAACCCCAGACAGCUCAUCUAGUCAAGCUAGACAUUUGAAAUCCUUAUUCGGCGGUGCUGUAGCUUUCCAAUGUGCUCACAAAUGCAUGCUUUAGCGAUGCUUACGCAGUUCGUCCAUUCCUAUAUCUACCCAGACUAAUGCCGCAAACGUGACCGUUUUUUAACUUUAAAACCGCUAGAACAUGUACUCAUCUCUCAAUCAAAUCCUUAACAUAGCCAAUAAUUCGCUCUGUUCGAUCAAUCAUCACACAUAUUUUCCAACACAAACAUUCCGAACCAGCAUCUCCGGUCCCAUCCGGCAGAAUUCAUAAAUCCAGGCACUAAACAAAUUGAAAGUAGACCAAUUUCUUCCCUUUUUUUUUCCCUAUCAAGAAGAAUGGAAAUCCACUCCUCGAUCAAUCCACGGAAAAAAGCUGAACAUUUACCACAACCCAAUGGACAGAAAAACACCUCCAGCACCAAAAACAUGAACACGUUCAUCCCAGUCUGGUAAAAAGCUAACGUCCAAGCUGACAAUACGCUUCGAAAAUACCGCCAGCGAUCAAGCGCCAAUCAAACAAAACUAAAUAACGCAGAAUCGACACUCCCCAUCGUUAAAAAACGCAUCAAAGCCUCGUUAGUGGCUUAAAGAACAGUAAUAUAUCUUCCUUUGAUUUGUGAGUGGGGCAAUGGGGUGCAUAUCCUGAAAAAAUGCAGCUCAACCAAAUGAGUGAUGCCGCUUAGCAUAUGAAAGCCUUUUAUUGAUCAAGAUCCCACGAGAAAUUUUACCAGCCCAAGUUCUACUUCCAAGAACAACUUCAAUUCGGCAUUCGGAACCUUAUUUGACACUUCUCUCAACUAUCCUACCUACGGUUCAUCAAAAAGAAAAACAAAUAUGGUGGGAAAGAAAGUAGAGACCCAAUCAAAAGGCAUUGGAACAGUGGAUAAGCACGACGAAAUGAACAUAAGCAGUACGGAAAAGUUAAAAAGACAAACGAAAGAACAAAAGGGAAAAAUCGAAAAGAGGAAGCAUCUCUGCCAAUAAAAUGCAUAAUCAAAAGAUAUCCUCCCCAUGCAAGUAAGAGAAUAUUAGACCUAUCACUCUGAAGAACAAUUAACUCCUACAAGAAUAAGCUGAACAAGCUUCUUCCCCAUUAUUUUCCACUCGUACACAAAAAUAAUCAACUAAGUGAUAAGAAAAACUCAAGUACCAGAUAAUAGAAGGCAGGUAGUGCAGCACAUUAACACAACAUUACGUAGACUUAAAAGGCUAAAUGAUUACCCAGCUGAAGCUAAACAGAAACUAAACCAAAAAUAAAAAAAUGCGCAUGAAAAACAGUUCUGAGAAAUGUGCACCGGAACGCCGAAUUCUUUAGCAACCUCCUCCUGAAAAAAUACAGCAGUUUUUGUAUUCACUUGGUUUAAUAUGUGUUGAAGAAAUCCUUGAAACUGUAAACAGAAAAGACAAUCGCCAGAGAUGACCAAAAGCUAGUUUGCUAGACAUGGUUAUACUGUUUCGAUAGGAUAUUGCAGCGUAAUUUCACUGUGACAAAGUCAACGAUGCCUGGUGUACACCGUCCAUUCGUUUCCAAUGUACAGCCAAACAGCAGUGUGGUUUUGUGCUCUUCAGUAUCUAAUGCAUAAUGUAAGGUUCAUCAGCGAUUUCGUGGAUGAUUCCGACAAUUUGUUUUCAAUAAUCUAACCGCAACGAUUGAGAGUCCACUGGGGAAGAAUGGACACAAAACAUCAGAUCCCUAUCCUAUAUUAGGACGGGCACAUGCCCACAUUGUCAGGCAUAUCAGAGAUGAAGAUGUCCACUGUUAAUGAUUGUUCAAUAAGUUUUAUCACUAGGCUCCAAGCUCAUCAUAGACCGCAAUUUAGGAAAAAAAGAAAAGAAAAAAGAAUGGCUCCUCUCAUAUCUAAGCACGAAAAUUGGUUCUUGAUGUGCUGCAACAGUCUCAAAAUUCUCUCUGUCAAGGACUUGCGGACAUCGUGAGACCAUUAGUCUAUAGGAAUUUCAAGUUCAGAAUAAAAUACUGAUACACUGCCAUUCAUUUGAUAUGUCAAAACAAAAAAUAAAGCGCCAGUAUUCUGGUCAUUAUUUCAAGUUUAGCUCAACUGCACUUGAACAAGUAUAUUUGUUAUAAGUCCUUUAAAAUCUAACUCCGCGACUCUAUCAUUAUGAUUUGACAUGUGAUUCAAGGUCCUCUUGUUUUCAACUUCGUCUUCUGAUGAGUGUAAAACCACAAGGCGAUAGCAAUAGGGGGAGUGAUAUGUAGGAACAACGAUCAUCUCUCCAACCCCAAUGCGCACAUAGAAAUCCCAUAAAUCACAUCCAGUUGCUCCAACCCUUGAGUCUGUUCUCUGUUUGACAAUUUUUGGUGUCGAGAACCGAACCACAUCACUGUAAUUUUACGUAACUAAGGUAUAAAAGCUGCUUAAGAUUAGUUAUGGAUUCUCGCGAUGCUGCUUAUUCGAUUCAGUUGCUCUUUGCUACUUCUCCAGUUGCUAAAUGAGCCACAACUUCCUGCAAAGAAACAUAGUACCAUUAACUUUGUUAAGAGUUAACCAUCUAAAUCAGAAAACCAACUCAAACAGUCCGUCUGAGAUGUUUGUACCUCUUGGUCUUCACGUCAAUGUUUAAUGCGCAGUAAAUGUAUCAAAAUCAAUGGAAAAGCAUGGGAUGCGUAGAUUAGCGUGAACAUAAUCUGCGUCAAGACAUAUGUCUGCGAACCUGUACGUGUGAUCUUAUGACCCCGAACACGUCUCUAUUAUUCAAACUCAGCAGUUAAAUUCUCGGAAGAUUCAUUCAGGUACAUCAUCAGGAGCAGGGUCAUUUUCCUUCUUCCCCAAUUCCUCUUCCUUUUCCAGUCCAGUUGGAUUCUUCUCUUCCACCACCACUUUAUCAUACUCGCCCUCCUUCACCUGUUCAUGCCGAGGCAAGUUGUACUCGGAGGAGAGACCCUCAGACACAAUCCCUUCUGGCACUUCCUCGUCUCUUCUGGGAGAGAAGUAAUGAUCUGGCGAGUCGUGGGAUGUGAACCUCCCUGGCUCUGCCUCUUCCUCUUCUACUAGCGGUUCUGUCUCCGGCUCUAGCUCCUGCCUCCAGCUCAAUCUCCUUUUUCUUCCUCUACACGCUUCUCUUCCUCUCUGUCUUCAUCCACGGCCUUUGUUUCUUCUACUUCUUUGUUCUCUUCUUCUUGUUCAGGCUCGGGAUGUUCAGUUAUGUCCUUAACAUCAGCCGCAGUUCCUGUACCCUGGCUCACCGCAUUAUUGAUUUCUUGUUGCACGAGUAAUGCCGCGCCAUUCCCAAUUGCUUCCAUCUGAGGAAACGUUCUGUUCCACUUGUUUGUUCUUCUCGGGAUUGGUGCUCGAAACUCCUGCUUUCAGUAAUGGUGUUUCCGGUGGCACCAGCAUGCUUCGACUCCGCGCAACGCAUUUUCGUAAAAGGAAACGUCAAUCGAAAGGAAUUAGAUUUGGGUAUUGAUUCUCUCUCCCUUUGUGCGUCAGAUUGAAAUGAAGUUUCGGCUUUCGUUUUCUUUGGCUGUUGCAGUUUUGAUUUGCUGAGGCGGGUUGUAUCCGUGGUUGACAAAAGGAAGGAGUUUUUUCUGUUGUGGAUUGAGGGUGGAGAGGAGACAGUUGCAGCUUAAGUUAAAAAGGGGAGUUUCUCCCUCCAAUCUAGAAAACGACAAUUCGUUUCUUAUUAUCGGUGGGGUUUUCCUUUCAUUUUUUCCAACCCAACCUUAGUUCAAUGAAAAAACAUACUUUAGAAUUAACAAAAUUCAAUAUUUAAAAGACCGAAUUAGUCCUACUCAAAAACUUAUUUAAGUUUCUCGCCCCAUGUUUGAGCAAUUUAAUUUUCAGUUGAUUUUGAGUACUUUUGAUGGUAAGACUUUAGGACUUGUGGAUGGACUUUUUUGAGAGAAAAUGACAAUUCUUUUAUGCAAAGAAACACAAGGUUAAUCGACAUAGAAAUACGAAAAGUGAGGUAUGUUUUUGAUAUUUUAUAAUGUCAAUCGACCUCAUAAAUCAAAAUUCAUAUGGUCGUGAAACAUGAGAUUGUUUGCACUUAAUCUGAUCGAAAAUUGAACUUACCUAAUUUUCCAAAUUCACAAAUAAAUCCUUUCAUGAACCAUUAAAAUAAAAUUGAUCAAGAGUAGGUAUGUAAAAAGUGAAAUAUCACAUAAAGAAAAAUUAUAAUAAUGUUAGCAAACGAAUAAUCAAAAUAUUACCAAAAGAUGAAUUAUGAUUGUUCCGCACCGUAAGUGGCGAUGGACGCCGCCACAGGGGAACAUUACCGUAUUCCCUUCUUCCUCCUCGUCGGAGCCGUGCACGCCGCCGCCACCGCCGCCGCGAGAGCUCGCAGGGUCCGCCGCAUUCUCAAGCCUCCGGUUCAUGUCGGCUCGGCUGGAUUCGUCCCUCCGGAUGACCACCGAGUCGCUGAAUGCGCUCGGAUUCGUGCGCAAGCAAGUCGAGAUCACAGCUCCUCCUCCUCCGCUGCUCAGUCCCUCGGUUUUCGCAGGUAGCGUGCUUGUUGUCGUCUGUUAGGCUUUUCUUUUUUCGCUGCUGAGGAAUCUCGACGUGGAUUGUAGAUGCCAGACUGAUGGGUUCUUGGUCAGUAGGGGGCCUUCUUUAGGUUGAGUUUGAUGUCUAGAUAUGGGGCGGCGGUUGGAGAAUUUUAUGAUUGAUGAGGAAGUCUGAAUAACUUAUUCAAGGGAUGUGUACCCGGUGGAGCGGUCGAGUUGAAGUGGAGGGAUGAUUAUGCUGUCGGGAUCGUGCUUGUUGAUCGAGACGCCGUAUUUUUUUAUUGUGUUCAUCGUGUUUGCUUCGUAUAUUUGAUAUUGGAGACAUGAUUCUGUAAUAGAAUGAAUCGCAUCGAAUUGUUUCUUCUAGUCUAGCGCUUCAUGUUCUUCAAUGUCGGUUCUGGGUUGAAUUAGUUUGUUGAUACAAAACGGAGCUGCGUUUCUCUUGGCAGUAUAUAUAAGGUUUUGAUGUGAUUGUCAUUGGAAUUCACAGGGCCGGCUCGUGGAAAUAGAUUGCCUGCUUCCCCUUGGUCGAUAAUUUCUAGUUUACCAUAUUCUUCUGAAGCAAGUGCUGAAAUGGAGGAACCCACAAGAUUUUUUGCUUUUUUCUAUCUAAUGUGUGUCUUUACACAUUGUGGAGUUCUUUUUCCGAUAUUUGGUUCUUGUAAUAUUAUGCAGAGACCGUGAAGGAGAUGUAUCAUAAAAUUCUUGAAUCUGCUAAUAUGAAAAGAACAAUGGCUCCAAACGCAUGGACGUGGUCGAUGAUUGAAAAUUGCAAGAACAGAGAGGAUAUCAGAGCUUCUCUUUGAUGUCUUGCAGAACCUACGCAGAUUUGUCAGUUGACUUCUUGCUCCAUUUGAGAAAUAAAGUUUUGAUUUGUGACUAGUUGAUAAAUCAAUUUGUUUUUUUCUUUCGUCGCAGAGAUUGUCAAAUCUUCGAAUUCAUGACUGCAACCUUUGUCAGGAAGUCACAAAAGCAUCUGUGCAUGCAAGGGCUCUUCAUUUUGGUGAGCUCUAUCUACACAAGUUGUGUGCCAAGUUCAAAAAUUUUGUAUCUUGCUAAUAUAUUUACCUGAUACUUCUUCUGCAUUCGAUUGUUGCUACUUACCCUAUCAUUAGCACAAUCAUUUUGUUGUGUGUUGUUGAUCUUUUUACCUCAAGCCUGUCAUGCUUGGAGAACAUAUUCAGUUGCUUAAGAAAACUUUUGACCACCUCGCUGGUACUGGUAGCUAGUUAUGCUUUUGUGUUUCUUUUUCCCCCCUUGAUGCGUCCAUUAUGUAAACCAGAAUUUUGUCCUACACAGAUGCUACAUGUCUAUUAAGCAUGGGUAUGGAAAUAACAUGACACAUAUAACAUAUUCAAGAAAUAGUUUUUCAUGUUUGAAUGUGUAAAGGCACAUUCAAUUUAAAGCACUUAGGACAUUGUUAAAUGUGUAUUAACUUGUCUUUUGUGAGUAACAUGUUAACCUGCUCGACACGCUGCAAUGUGUUUAAGUAGUUAAAGGGGUCAAUUUAUUUUACAUGUACAAACUUGUUAACUCGUUGAUGACUCAGACAAUUUUAAGCUCAAUCCAACUUAAUAUGUGUCAAAUGCUUAUUCUGUAAAUAGGUCUUUUUGCACAUUGCUGGCUCUGUAAGACUGAUUUCUUGAAUGACACCUCCACUUCAAGUUAUUGAGUUCAUUAUCCAAGCUUAGCAAAGAGCAUUCACUUUUUGCAGACGUGUUUUUAUGAACAUUAAGCUUCAGUAGUUAUCAGUUCGAGCUGUUUCUAGUAAUUAAGCUCUUCAUAAUUUUCAAGAAAAAUAAAUCAAAUCAAACUGCAGUUCCAUGGUGUAACUCAUUUUAGGAGAUUGCAGCAAUUAAUUGUCACUGGGCGUACAUGAUUUAAUCAGAACCUACAUCUGUAAAUCCUUAUUUAGGCUAAGAAAUUAAAUUGCAUGGUGCACUUAAUCCGUGAUGAUAGAAACUAAGGGUUGACAAAAUUGUAGGUAAGAAGGCCUUGUGGGAGCAUAAUGUCUAUGGAUUCACCCCUACAAUUGGCUCGGCAAACCAUCUUUUGGUAAUGAUGAAGUGUAUCUAUAUCAAGCAAUUCUUUUUUCCAUUUGUUUUAUUUACACAAUUCUUCUGCUAACUUGGGGUAUUGCAAUGCAGCAAUAUGCUAAAGAGCACAAAGACGCUACCCUCAUGCAGGAAGUUAUGAAGCUUUUGAAGAAGAAUAACUCACCAUUGCAACCCACCACGGCCGAUAUUGUUUUCAGGUUCACUUCCGUGCUGUUUCUCCUGAGAAGGAUGUUAUUAUCGUGUAGUAAGCCAUUAUUGCACUUAAUUGUGUGUUAUGUACUGCAUAGUUAUCAAGCAAUUUAUCCAAUUUAUAAGUGUCAUUUAUAUGCGAUUUAAUCAACUUGUUUUUAUUUUGAAUCAUUUUGUCUGCACUACUACUCUCGAUCUAAUAGUUUGCUCAUGUUAUUUGACAUCCUUUCUUUCAUGGAAAAAUUUUGCAGCAUUUGUGAUGAUACAGACAAUUGGGGGUUGCUCACAAAGUAUUCAAAGAGAUUUGUCAGAAAUGGAGUGAAUUUGCAUAAAGCUGCAUUUGACAUCUGGAUGGAGUUUGCUGCAAAAGUAGGUGAGAAACACUUGCUCUGUCUUCCUUCGCUGCUCUCAAGCCCUUGUCCCUCAACAAUCUAAUUUUCCAUUUCUUCCCACAAAUAGUUCUCUCAUCCAGGUCCUACCUCUUACUACAAAAGAUGGGAUGUGCUAGAAUAUUUUCUUCUGUACAAUGAUUUCUUUCUCUCCUUAAACAAAAGGGUAGAAAUAAGAAAUGAAAAGAAUUUUCGCUGCGCCGUGUCUUUCAAUGUCUUUGUUUCUUUAAUUGUUCUGAGAUUAUGCUUCUUUAUCUUAUUUAGUGGUUUGACGAAAAUUACCCUUUUCAGGAGACAUUGAAUCUCUAUGGAAAAUUGAGAAGUCAAGAUGUGAGUCCAUGAAGCAGAACACUGUGGGCAGUGGGUUCUCGUGUGUGAAGGUAAUUUACAAACACAAACUGUUGAAAUCACAAAUAUCAGACCCUGAAAGCACUAGGUCUUCUUGCAUUAGAAAAUCUGAUAAUGGGAACACAUUAAUAUUGCAAUACAGAUCAGUACAAAGUUCUUGGUAAACCAGGUGAGAGGUCUAUGGCCCUGUUUGGUUGGACUUUCCCAAGGGGCUUUCGGGCCCGAAAGCCCCUUGGGGAAAAAAAUUUGUGUUUGGCAAUCAUUUUCAAAUGCUACUUGGCCAAAUACCAGCAUCCCAAAUGCUGAAAGCCCAAUGCUGGGUAGGACCAGCUUUGGGCAUUUCAGAAAUGCCGGUUCACUGUUCAUAAUCCACUGUUCAUCUUCUUCCCCCUUUCUUCUUCGUUCGUCUUCGUCUUCCUCGCCGGCUGAGAGUGCGGCUUCUCCGGCAGCCACCACCGCCGCGUGGGGGUCCCGCGUCCCCGGUGACCACCGCCCGGGGUGGCGAGACCCGCGGGGUGGCCUGAGGUCGCGCGGACCUCGGCCGGCGUCGCCUGGUCUCGCGCGAGCCAGGCGACCAGGCGAGGCCAGAUCUGGCUGUUCGGCGGCCAGAUCUGGCGGUCUGGCCGUUCGGCGGCCAGAUCUGGCGGUCUGGCAACCAGGCGACGCCGCCUGAGGUCGCGCGGACCUUAGCCGGCGUCGCCUGGUCUCGCGCGACCAGGCGACGCCGGCUGAGGACGCCGGACGGCCAGACGGGGCGGCGGGGAUCUCGAGAGGCCAGAUCUGGGGCGCGGGCGACGCGCGANNNNNNNNNNNNNNNNNNNNNNNNNNNNNNNNNNNNNNNNNNNNNNNNNNNNNNNNNNNNNNNNNNNNNNNNNNNNNNNNNNNNNNNNNNNNNNNNNNNNCGGAUGACAUGGUCUCAUGCACCAGAGAUCUGCUGCUGAGGUUACGUCGACGUUAGCAGCCCUGCCCAGGUAUCGCGCGACCAGGUGACGCCGCUUGAGGUCGCCCGACCUCGGCCGGCGUCUCCUGGUCUCGCGCGAGCCAGGCGACCAGGCGAGGCCAGAUCUGGACGCCGGACGGCCAGAUCUGGCCUCCGCGACCUCCGGCGGCCAGAUCUGGUGGUCCGGCGACGGCCAGAUCUGGCCGUCCGGCGGUGGCCGGCGGUUGGCCGGCCACCGGAAUUUGAUUUCAAAAUUUAAAGAAAAUAAAAAAUACCAAAAGCUAAUUACAAAUGCAAAGUUUACCAAACGGUAUUUAUGCUAAGUUGCAUUUCAAUUCUAAAAUUUACCAAACGGUCUAACAUUUUCGAAAGUUCAUUUCUCUAUAUUUGCAUUCUCCAAAUGGCAUUUUUUAAAAGCCGAACCAAACGGGCCCUAUGGCCAGAAAAGGCGAGAGUUAAUGCUUGAAUAAACCAAAUUUUGGCUUACCCCCUAGGACAUGAAACAGCUAUGGGCAUGAGAAUGCUCUGUCAUCACAUGAAGGAGAUAUAACUACUUUUUCCAUAUUUGGAAGCAUUUAUUGUGGCUUUUAGCACUCCAGUUUAGGAUUAAAAUUUAACUGUCAUUUACUUGUUUUGUGGUGAACUAAAUGGUUUUAAAACCUAUUUUUUGUGCAGGGAUAUUUACUUGAAGGCAAACCUGAGGAGGCUGCUACAGUCACGUCUUGAAUCAGGCGCUCCUCACUUCUCAGAGCAUCUGUAGCUAUUAUUAAUAUGCUCAUCAUCACCGUCUGGCAUGAUUGCAAUCCUGAAUUACCUCAGCCUCUGAACUAGUCCUUCAAUUUUCCAUAUACUGUCAAGGAAUAAAGCAAUUAGUGGAAGAUGUACAGAAUUGUCCCCCAAAAUGUGCUCAGAUAAAAUUACCGUGACAUAUCCUCUCUCGAGGGGGAUUGGGUGAUUUGGGUUUCGUAUUUGGUGCAUGCUAUACUAUUAAAAUAACAUGAGUUAGUUCCAUGGAUCCUAAUAGAGUUCGAAAGUUCAUCUCAGACUCCUCCUGAAUGGAAUAAAGUUGGAAAUACACCUAUGUAGGCUCUGUUUGUUCAGAUGUCGCUUCUUAGGUCCCACAAUGUGAAUGCCUUGGAUUGAUGCCAGAGUUUACCUGAUGCUAAGAGGUCCAGCAUCAUGGUUGAACUUCAAAAGCUUGUCAGUGAGUGGCUUUUCAAGGUUAUCAAACGGAAGAAAGAAGAUGACCGCAUGGUACUUCCUUUGACUAAAUAUCCAUCACUUUGGGUAGAAGUAGAAAUAUUGCUUGUUUGCAGUUAUAUAUUGCUCUGGUAAUGUUUUCUCAAUCGUUCCUGUUGCUGGAUGUAUAUAUGCUGCAUUGAACUAUCUCAAAAUAUUUAAAACCUCUCAUUCUUUUCACUCAUGUAGGCAUUGGCUGCUUCUCUCAAAUCCGAUAUCCCGGCCAUGGUUAGUUCCUUAUUAAACAUGGGCUUGGAGGUGAAUAUGGAACAACUAACCACCGAAGGCACCCUUUGUUAAAGUAUGACGGAAUUGGAGAUUGAAUGCACUAGCUGCAGAUCUGUCUCCUAUGUGGACCGCUAAGGUUGCCAUGUUAGUUUCAACCGAUUCCUCUGAGAAGCAAGACAAGCGUGGUACUCAUGUCUCGAGCAACAAGCAUCUGAAGUUCUCUUGUGAAGGUCCCUGAACCAUGAAAAGAUAUGCUCCUUCUUGAUUUGAAAGUUGUCACUUCUGUACUUUCGGAGAAUGAUUCUUUUCUUUCCCCAAAAAAUCUGAGUGCGUUGGAGACGAUAGAUGCAUCAUCAGCAAUUGAAUUCUGAGAACAACCUCGGAUGACUAGUUUUUGCAGAGAGGAUUCUUUUGGCUCACGCACUUUAGAUUGGACCAAAUGGGCAGGUAAGAGAGACAAUUGAUAAAGUGGUCCUUUCAAUUUCAAUCUCGUUUGGCAGCCUAUUUUGUUAAAUUUCUGACAGAAUUUCGCUGUCCAAAAUUAAGUGAGUGCAUUUAAUGCCGACUCAUUCGAUGUUGGCAUACAGUGACCGCCAUCGCUUCCUGAUAUAAUCGGAUUGAACUGUCAAAUUGUGGUGCCAAAGUGCAUAACAUACAUUACAUCCCUUUUUACAUCAUCAAAGUUAAUGAAAAACCUGAAUUACCAGAAAUGGCUUUGGUACCCACAUGCGUGGGUGGGUGCAUGCGUGCUUGCAUGCAUUUUGUACAUAUAAGGCAUACAAGAGGUAACAAACGCAAUCCUCUAGAAUUAAAAUAAUGUGCAUUAAUUAUAUGCAAGUUUUAGUAGGGAAUUGACAUAAUUGUAAUAAGUGUGGGACUUUUUUAGUAAUUUUCCCGUAUUUUCACUCAAAAGUUUAGGAUUACUAUAGGACUAAAUUUGAAUUAAUACAAUAAGCUUACAACCGAAUUUGCAAUUCUCCCAACUCAACACCUAUGCUUUAAGUUUUUUUCUUCUUUUAAUAAUUCUCCCCCUCUUCUAUCUCCUCUCCUCAUAUGUAUAAAAUGGGCAAUGAGGGGUGGCUUGGGUAGUGGAAGGGAAACCGUCCCCAAUGAUCUUAUUGGUGAAAGUUGACACAACUUCAAAUUAAAGGGCAAGAAAACUAACCUCUACUCACUUUAAAUCACCACGCUGAGUGUUGAUUUUAACUCCUUAAAAUCCUUAACACAUCCAACCCCUCAAGAUCCUGGCAUCAAAAGACAAUCCUUAUGGAUAAUAAGAGCGAGAGUAGAAGUCAUAUCCUAUGAUUUCCAAUCUUUCAUGAGACAUACCAAUGGAUUUGCAUAUGGUUAAUAUGAGAAAAGAGCUAUCCUAUACACUUGCAUUUAGUUGAUAAAAAGGUUGAUCAAUUUAUAGAUGACAUGAGUGACUUGAUUUCCAUUCACAUAUAAAUAACAUGCAGCCCAUCCUAGGUUGUGUCAAAGCCCCAAUACAUGCAUUAGACACCAUGCCAUCUCAAUCCCAAAAAGCAGAAGGGAAAUAUUGAUGUUUUCCGGUCAUCACACCCUGAGAAAAGACUAGGCAUUUUUUAUUCCAGCAAGAGAGACAUCCCUCCGACGGAAAUCUCGAAAGAUGAAUCUUGCUUAUGGUCUCCAUAAUCUAGCAAGAACGAUGGUGAUUCCAUUGGACUGGUAAGAACUACUUUUAUCUUCCUCUCCUCUAUGUAUUUACCACUUCCUUUAUCAAACUAGAAAUCUAAAAGAAAUUUCGCAAGUUACUUUACCAAAAGAUUAUGGAACAUAUAUUAGUAAAACUUGCCAUGCCAGCAAUAAUGUCCUCUUCACCUAUAUCGCGAACUUGUCUCUGCACCACAGGUGGAGCUACCUGUUGUGCUUACAUAGUAACUGCAUCAAAUAGAAGAUAGGAUGAAAGGCUACUCCAAUUCUUUCAAAAUAUCAAGACAGCUUCUGAGGCCUAUCAUGGUUUCCCUUUAUCUCAAGGUAUAUUAGGCUACUAUGGCCAGCAUUCAAAAUCUUAUUCAAAGAUGAUCUUGCUACAAUGCGAAUGACUCCACCUUUAGCUAUUCGUACCCUAUCAAUAAUAUAGUCCAGUUGACAUGUCACGGCAAAGAAAUUGCAUAAGAAUCUUUCAGCUGAUUCAAGUACUGUGGGCAUCUCUCCUCACAAGUAUGAUAGGGGCUUUAAUAUGUAUAUGAACAUGAUACUCCUUGGACUUGAGCUGCACGAUUUUGAAUCAGAUGCUCCAUUUGGCUUGAUAAUACCUGCAUUUGGCCACACAGUAUUUCUUCAGAGAUGUAGACUUAACCUAGAAUGCUCUGGAUCUCCAAUAUAGAGUUCAUAAUGUCUCCCCAAUACAGAGCUUUAAAUGCACUAGUGUCCUCUGAAAAUUAAAUUACAUCAAGAGAUACAAGAUCGAAGGAAAUUAUUCACCCACCAUAACCUAAAAAAAGUAAAGCAUGAUCAUGGUGAAAGAAAAGGUCCAAAAAAUCCUCCCCUUGAAAGCAACAUAUCGAUCAGUCUUGUCGCCUAACGGAAUCGAGCAUGAGCUUUGUUUACCCAACUCAACUGCAUAGACACGGAGAAGAGGCUUUAGAUAUAAGAACUUAACAGGGUACAUCACGAGAGCAGGAUGUGAUGAAAUGUACCAUCGUACAUUUUCUUUGAAGAUAUAAUGCAGUAAUGCAAUCUCGAUGGAUAUUCCAAAGAACUUACAAUAAAAACUCCUAGUAACUACGGGGUACAAUGGAAAUGAACAUUCAAAGCCCAAGAUUAAUUCUGGGAAAAAUGGAAAAGUGUGGAACAACAAACUUUGAUUUACAUCACAUGAAGUAAGAACGACGUGAUAAGUGAAUUCAAGCAUCCCAUGGAAUUCUAUUAGCACUGGCAGCUUCUACUGAUUCCAGUUCUGCCACAACUUUAGUCCUGGAAGGCUGCUCGUUAGGAGUCAUUUGGAGGCAUUGUAAAGCAAGCUGUGCCAUUUGGAAUGCAGAAUCUACAUAUGUAAGGUAUAGGGAUGGUAUAAAUUUGGUUCCCAUUUCCUGCAGGUCGCAACAUCGUGAGCGACCAGCUUCUUCUAAAAUAUCCAGUGUUUCUUUUUUGGUAAUUGGAG
rnacentral:lncRNA from 1 species